GACAUAUUGACGAAACAAGAAGUGCAUGAAGAAACGUCAUACAUUGAUUACCAAGUACACCUAAGACCACAAUAACGAUAAAAAUCUAUACUUUGUUUUCUUAUUUAUUAUUUUUCUUUUAUUAGUUAUUUUUUCCCAUCCUCCUUGAUGGAUUUCUUAGUAAGAUAGUCGAGUGAACAAGUAGGUCAUAAGAAACAUAAAUCACCAAGUACGUAUAUGGCCUGUAAUUGGCUUUCCUUAUUAUUAGUUUUUCCUUUAUUAUUCAAAAUUUCCCUCCUCCUGGGCAUGAGAUUACGGUAAUAUCGCCCCUUAUAACCGUAUUAUUCCGUGCCGGCCUUCGUAGAACUGUCUGAAAAAAUGCAUAUCCCCGAGCAAACCUAAACGUUUUGGUGCCACCAACUAUUGGAUCUUCUCUCGCCGGACUACCAACUUGUAAGUUAUAUCCUGCUCCUUGGAAUUCCAAUGUGCUACCGUUGUAUUUGAAGUUGGAGAAAAUGAGGGAAAAUAUGCCCAGUGAUCUUGAUCCAUCACGGGAUGAAGCUAUCUCAAUGCCUUGGGCCCGACCAAUAGUUGGAGAAUUGUUGCUGAUGCCUUGUGUUAUGUUAAAAUCAUUAACAAUAAUGGUUCCAAAAUUGGAGGGAGUUCUCGGCUUACCAGGGGCGCCGGCAACUGCAACACUGGUGGUAUUUGGUCCGCCCGUAAACACUUGAAGGUACACAGUAAUAUUUGUUUCCUUUCCACGGCAGCAAUAGUAAGGGUCAAGACGAUUAGCUUCUGAACAAACAAAGAUUGCUAGUAAUAGCACAAGGGAAAUUUGGAUGGAUGCUAAAGCUGAACCUUUUGCCAUUUUGUAUGUUGAAAGGCUAGCUGAAAAACAAAGAAGGAAGAAACAAAAUAGUUAGAUGGUAAAGAUAAUUUGUUCAAUGACCGUAUUUAUAGGAUAGAGGAGGUAGCAGUUGCAAAUGGUUAAAGUAGAACAAUUAAAUCAAUCUUGACUUUUGAUUUUUCUACAUAUAAAUGGUUUAAAUGAAAUAAUAUUACAUUUCAAAGAGUUAGGUAUAGCACAAAAAGUUUUAAAAGACAAUUAAACAUCAAUGGGUGGCCACCUAUCACGAUAGGUUUGUGUAAUGGUGUGCUGUACUCAGCAGAUAUAUCAUUCAAAGUUCAGAGCCAAGAAUUUCUUUUGAUAUAUAGUGGGAUAAUGGAGAACCUUGAAUACAUGAAACACAUUUCCCUAAAAAAAAAUGAAAUACAAUCGAUAAGGUUCUGGAAAAGGAUUAACUCCACUCUGCAUUUUCAAACUUGUACCACUUUAACAAGGUUCCAAACAUAUACUCAGUAGAUAAAUUAAUGUUGACUUUUGAUGUUUCUGCAUAUAAAUGGUUUAAAUGAAAUAGGAUUGCAUUUGCAAGAGUUAGGUAGAGCACAAAAACUUUUAAAAGAGAAUUAAACCUCAAUGGGUGGCCACCUAUCAUAGUAGGUUAGUGUAGAAUGGUGUGGUAUACACGGCAGAUAUAUCAUUCAAAAUUCAUAGUUAAGAAUUUCUUUUAAUGAUGGUUAUCUAGGAGGGUGCCAGCGGCCAAACGGGGCUCGGGGGGAGGAAGAAUUUUUUCCCCCAUUAGAAAACGGGGUAGCCGGAGAGGGAGUUUACACCCACCCCAUCCCCUGCCCCAUCACCCGUUGAGAAAAAUUAAAUAUAUAUGUAUAUAAUUAUAUAUGUGAUAUUUAAUUUAAUUAGUUACAAAUUUAUAAUAAUGAUAUUAUUAGUUAUAAGUAUUAUAUAAUUUAUAUUAGUAUUUGUAAUAUUAUUGAUAUUAUCAAAUGCUAAUAAUUAUACAUGUCUACUAAUAAAAAUUAUUAAUUAGUUGUAUCAAAUUUACUAAUACAUUUAUACUAAAUUCCUAAUUACACUUAACACAAUAACACUUCUUUUCUCAAAAAAUCACACAACAAUGAUUUAGUGGUUGUAUUUGUAUCCAAAGUGAAAACUUGAUUACUUUAGUUGUGUUUGUUUCAUCAUAUUGGGAUGUAUUUAAAUAACUCUUGUUUGAUUGUUUUUAUGACACACAAUUGUGAAAUUACAAUGAAUAAUGAUUUGGUGAUGUGUUGGCAUUUAAGUAUUUGAUCCUUUGUUCAAAUAUGACUACAAUGAAAUUGUAUGACAAAUUUUUAUUCGCCCUGUGGGUGCGCCCAUAGGGGAAGCGGGGCAAGGCGGGGACGGGGUUGGGGAGGAGUCCCCUGUCUAACCCCCACCCCAUUGCCAUUCCUAAUUUCUUUUGCUAUAUAGUGUAAUAAUGGAAACCUUGAAAACUUGAAACACAUUUACCAAAAAAAAAAAAUGAAAUACAUUUAACAGGGCUCCGAAAAAUGACUAACUCCAUUUUGCACCUUCGAAUUUGUACCGGUUUAACAAUGUUCCAAACUUAUACUCAGGAGAUAAAUCAAACUUGACUGUUGAUUUUUCUGCAUAUGAAUGGUUUAAAUGAAAUAAGAUUACAUUUCAAAGAGUUUGGUAGAGCAUAAAAAAGUUUUAAAAGAUCGUUAAACCUCAAUGGGUGGCCACCUAUCAAAGUAGGUUUGUGUAGAAUGGUGUGGUAUACAUAGCAGAUAUGUCAUUCAAAGUUCAGAGUCAAGAAUUUCUUUUGCUAAAUAUAUAGUGAGAUAAUGAAAAACCUUGAAAUCUUGAAACACUUUACCUAAAAAACAAAUUACAAAACAAUGAAACACAUUUCACAAGAUUCUGGAAAAGAAUUAACUCCGCUUUGCACCUUCGAACUUCUACCACCUUAAUAAGGUUCCGAACUUACAUUGAGUAGCUAAAUCAAUCUUGACUUUUGAUUUUUCUGCAUAUAAAUGGUUGAAAUGAAAUAUGAUUACAUUUCUAAGAGUUAGGUAGAGCGUAAAAAGUUUAAAGAGAGAGUUCAAUAUAAAUGGGUAGCCACCUAUGAAAAUUGGUUUGUAUACAGUGGUAUACUCAGCAGAUGUAUCAUUCAAAGUUGAUAGUCAAGAAUUUCUUCUGUUGUAUUGUGGGAUAAUGGAAAACCUUAAAAACUUGAAACAAAAUUACCUGAAAAAAAAAAAACAAGGCAACACAUUUAAUAAGGUUCUAGAAAAGGAUUAACUUGACUUUGCAUCUUCGAACUUAUCCCACUUUUAAUUUCAUUUUGUACCCCAAAUUUUAAUUUUGAACACUUUGCACCCUAAGCUUUAAUUUCACCUUUUAGUCUGAGGCCAUUCAUGUUUGCAAAUUGCAUAAGAGCCACUCAUUUUCUUGUUGGUUACGUGUUGUAAUAGGCUUUUAGCAUCCUCUCAUUAAAAAAUUAAUUUAAAAAAAUGUCCAAGUAUAGGUUUCAAUUUUGUAGUUGAAAUUGAAAAUGUUCACGAAUGUUUAGCUAUUUACACGCCAUAUAGGCUUCCAACCUCCUAACCCUAAAAUUUAGGGGGUUUGGGGGGAAGGGGAGGGUUGGAUGAAGAGCAGAGAUUGAAAUAAUAAAUCUUUUGUAGCGUUCAUUAAGACAUUGAUCGAAUAAGAGAAUGUCUGAAGAGAAAUUGGAAUGAAACAAAUAUCUUAAUUGCACUAGAGAAGUGCAAUUGAAUAUGGUUCUCGAGAAUGUAAUUUCCGUUGAUUUCUAUGUAGCAGAUUGUUGUAAAAUUUGUCUGAAGAGACAAUCGAAUACCCCCAAAACUCGCCGAAUUCCUAACAGUUCACAUAUCUUUUGGAGUCGAAUUACAAGUCCACGUAUGUUUCUCCACCCUUGUGAUCAUCCCCCAGAAUACACAAUUUGACAAGAAACUCAAUCUGACCGCAUUGAAACUGGACAAUUGGGAUGCAGGACUUGAAGAAUCUUUUUCUACAUAAAACAUCUUAUAUGAUGUUCUUUUAGCCAUUUCAGUUACCUCAUACCAACUACUCAAACAUGAAAGCAUUAGAAGGGACAGGAGAGCAAGUAUUAAAAGCCACAAUCAGUCAAUGCACAUCAUUUUCUUACAAAUUAGUAUAUUUAAAGAGCUAUUGGAAAAUGACACUAUCUAAGCACAAGAAAAACUGAUUAUGAUUUCAUCAAUAAUCACAGCUUUCAAUGGAGCUGUCAAAGAAGAAUUGCAACCUCUUAUUGAUGAAUUUAUUGAAAUAGGUAAACUACUAAAGAAAACGACUUUAAAUCUAGAGGAGAUAUGAUACCUUCAUAAAAGUUCAUCCUCCACUUUUGUGAAGACCAAUAAAUAGGGUAAAGUGAGCAAAAAAUUACAAUAAAACUGGCAAGGGGAAAAAGCGAGAGAACACCAAAACAUCAAAACGUACCUUCAAGACUGAAUGAAGAAAAGUAGCUUCCUUUUUCCUUUGCUCCUUCAUCUAACAAAAAUUUAGAAUAAAUAAAUGUCAACAAAAUCAAAUUUAUUGGGAAAAAGAAAAUAAAAAUGACAUUAGAUUAACUUUUUCUAGGGAAAAAGAAAUAGAGAGCCUAAACAAUCUCAUCUUCAAAAAAGAAUUUACAAAUCUUAAUAUCUCAACCUAUUACAAACAUUUGAAACUUAUUGGAGCAUAGAUAAUUAAUAUGUUAGAACAUCAAAUCUAGCAUAGGGGAUGCGAGACCACAAUAGGAAACAAAACAAUAGUAAUAAAGCCUGAGGAUUAGCAAGAAGAGAAGAAAUUGUGUUCCCCAAACAAUAACCAGCAUUCAGCACUAAACAUCUGAAUGCAUUUUCAAUUUUUCAAAUCCAGCUCAUACUAAUGCAAUACUUAUUCAAGCAAAAUAGAUUAGUUUGUAAUGCCAGCAGAUAACAAAGGACCUAAAAGUCAAAAUAUCAAAUUGUUAAACCUUGAAAACUUACAAAGUUACUUUUUGUUGUCCGCUUAUGUGGUGACUGCAUCUUUAUGUACCUUGAAUAUCAAGAACAUGACUGGCAAGUGUGAGAGAAUGAGUCCCAAGAAUAUGCCAAUCAGGUCAUAUUCUGCCACCACCUUCACUUCCAAUAUUACAUGCUCAACCUGAAAUUUUGCAGGAUUAAAGAAUUUAAAUCAUCUUCUCAAUCAGAAAUUACACAAAUUAACAGCAAAGUUUAAACAACAAAAAAGGUCAUAUUCUGCUAAAAUAUAAAUAUAAUGUGGCAUAUAAAGGAGAGGUAACAAUUUUAAGCAUUCAUUAGUCAACCUUUCUUAACUUCCUAGACAUUAGACAUUGACUAAAUAGUUGAUUGCACAAUAUAAACAACUACAAUAUGUAUCCAUAUGUAAAACAAUGUAAUAACUAUUAUUUGUGUCAGCAAAAUGACACCAUAAAUACAAAAACAAUCUAAAACAAAAUUAAGUCCAAAAGAAAAGUCAUGCAAAAAAGUCAAAACAAUUACAGCAAUUUUUUUGUCCCACUGUUAAUUCAACCAAGACUUGGUACAAGAUGAAAACAAUAUUUGGCAUCAAGGACACUACAAGAUGAAAAUGUAAAUUAUUAAGAUUAAAUGUAAAUGAUUAUGAACAUCCACUUGAUAAAAAAUGAGGAACUAAGAUACAAAGGACAUCUCGAUGUUUCAGGGAAAAUGAAGUUCUGCUUAAUAGAGCUUAGAGUCAUAAAGAUAUAAGCCGAAUCAUUGGAAACGCUAGCAUUACCAAAAGUUGUCCUUCCUUUUCGCCUAUCCUAAUAACUUAUCCCCAAUCCAGAUAGGCAGUUUGUGGAGUGUCAUUACUAGCACCAAUCCUUUUGAUCAUCUACUAAUGCAUUCUAAGUUUUUAGGAAUUGCACUAAUAAAGAUAUUACAUUAGUAACAAACAUAGUCAUCCAACGCACAGAAAACCAUAAUGCAUAAUACCUUCCAAUUAUGUGAAAUUUACCAUUUUGAAAUGGUUCUCAGAAAAACUCAAUAUUUUCACCUGCAAACCCAGAAAAAAGGAUAUUAUUCACAUAAAUAAAAAAAAAGGAAAAGUGCAGAAAAUUUCAAAUAGUGGAAGCCAAAGGCUGAGAAAUAUAUGCAUUGAAUUUGAGAAGGAGAAACACCUAGAUUUAACACUCCAACCAUCAAAAAAGUCAAUGAAUUUCAUCAUUCAUAUGGAAAGGAAUUCAGCUAUUACUCCAAAUAUCUUAAUUAGAUCGACAGCUUUUGCUGCACCAGAAUUCACUGUUAAGCCUCUAAUGUAAAAUUUAAUAGGGAUACUAUGAGUUAUAUCAGGUUUCACCUUUGUACUCUCCAACAAGUUUCUUUUAUUUAAGAAAAAAGACAAUUAAAUGCAUGUUAAAUCAUAGCAAAAUGAUCUGAUACUCAAAUAAAAAAAUAGAGAAAGGUGAACUGCAAAACAACGAUUUUUUCACUUUUAGCUAUGUAACAAAAAAUGUGAAAGGCAAAAAAAAAGUGUGCUUUCAACGUGAAUUUUGACAAUAUUAUCUAUCCCAGAUGUAAAUAGUCAAGUCCAUAAAUUGUUAAUUAGGCAUACAACAAAACAAACUAUUGAUAACUUUUAAUUCGAGCAUGUUACCUCAUGCAAUUCACAUUGAACUCAUCUAGAGUAAAGUUCAUUAAUCUUAGUGCCUCUAGAGAAUUGCCGUCACUAACUCUUUAAGCUUCAUAGUCGUCUAGCUCAAUCAAACUAAAAAAGAAUUAAGCUGAACAAAUUAGUCAAGUAAAAAAAAGGAUUAAAAGAACAAAACAGAAACCAUUUCUACAGGUAUAGAGAUACAAGAGAUUUUGAGCUACUAACUAAAAAGAAAAGGGAAAAACUAUAACAGUGUAGCAAUGUGAUACAUUUCCUAGUCAGGGGGUAUGCAAUUUAAAGUUGUUUAGAAACUGUUCAUCGUAAUAUUCCAUCCAUAUUUGAUUUUGGAGAUUUUCCUUGUAUUUUAUGUGCAUGCAGGUCAAUUUUACUUCUUCCACUUGUAGUUCAAAUUUCUUUGACAACAGUGCCAGCCGACCUUCAGAAUGGUACUUUUUCAAGUCAACAUAGACGUAUUACACCAGUGACAAAAACUUCUCAUACGGAAAUAUUGGUGGAGUUUUGAUCAAGAUAAGCAGAAUCAAAACAUCAAGGCACCACAGAUUGCCUAAAAAAAAAAAAAACCUGCUAUAGCCGGAUAAUGCUCAAAACAAGAAAUAGCAAAGUCACUAAGCACUAAAUUUGGAGUAAUUUACCUAACCCUAACAGUUAACGAAAAAAGUUCCCUACUUGCUCCUUUCUCUGGCAAAUACUUGAUCCAUUCUCUAACAAAAAAAAAAUGGGCAACAAAACUUGGUUAAAUAAAAUCAUAGAAUGUUUAUAGCACAACAACACUAUGGUUCAAGUGAUUUUUCCAUCAUCCCUUCAACCAUCAUAACUGUAGACACUCAAGAAUAAGAGACAAAAAAUAUUCCGAUGGAUCUGAGAGACUUUAGAGAUAGUUACAAAAAGAAAAAAAAAAAGGUCUUAUCAAAGAAAAAAACCUUGAGUAGAACAUACCUCCGAAGAAAAAGAAUAAAACCAAGUACAUCUGCAAGCCAUUUGUUCUUAUCUCAGAGAAAACAAAAAGAGGGAACAAAAAAAAAAAGGAAAUAAAAAGGUCAGAAAAAAUAAAAAUAAGACCGAGGCCUACAAAAUAACAAGAUAAUUAUGGGAAAAAAAUACAUGAAAUUGUUUGGCAUCACACAAGAGCAAAUAGACAAAGAAAAAAACCUGAUAUGAUGAGAUUCAUCUUCAGCCUCCAAGAGAAAUACGGGGGUGGGAAGUGGACAAAUAGUGAAAAAAUAUAGGGAAAAAAUAGCGAAGAGAGGUCUUGCAGAAGAGUAAAAUGAGAAGCUGGAGAUAUAUCUAAGGGGGAAGCGUAAAAUGGGAAAAAGAGGUCUUGUAGAAGUGGAAAAAAAAAAAAAUAGGAAAAAAUUUUAAUCCAAAUCUACAGAGGAAAAAUGAUCACCUCAGGAGUUUUCUUGCCUGUGGAAGAGGAAGAUGGCAGAGGAGAAGAAAAGGAGAGAGAAUGGCGGAAAAAGAGAAAAACGAAAAGCGAAGCAGAAGAAGAAGAAGAUGAAACGGAGAGAAAAAGAGAAGAAGAAUAGAUGAACAACUUGUGCCUUGUGGUCUCAAGCCCAUCACUCCGAAAAAAAAAAAUCAUGUGGCUUGGAAAAAAGAGAAGGAUAAAAGAAAUAGGAAAAACAAUAAAUGAAAGACAAAGAAAAUGGACGACAGCCUUUGCUUCACAAAGGUACAACCACACCCAAUUUUCAUCCACGCGGUCACGUGAUCUCCUCGUGUAGGACGACAACUUUUUAUCCAAUGCUGAAUUGACACAUCAGCAGCAACCACAAACCUGUUGCAAGUUUCCUAAGCACUUAGUCUACCUAAGGUUGAUUAACUAACUAUUUUGUGGCCAAACCAUUAUCCAUCUUGACCAUCUAAAUGGUGAAUUGCACUUUAAGCUUAAUGCUCAACAAAACAGAAGUUCUUAACCAUGUUAAGGAAAAAUAGAUGGAAAGGUCUUUUGUCACCUUUUGUUAGUUGUGGUAGUUAUAUAGCAGAAGGAUUACCAUUUGUUAAACUGAGUAAAAGAUUAUUUUUCAUAAAGCAAGUUCGAUGUACAUCAUAUGUAAAACAAAAGUUAUGAACAAUAAAGACUACCUUACAAUAAGACUUGGUGUACAAUUAUCAGUUCAAGCGAAUUCCACAAUUAGGUGAAGAUUUUAUCUAAGUUUCAAUACACAUCUUUAUUAGUAAACGCACAUAUCAUAUUUUAACACAUUCACGAACAUACGUAAUUGAAGAACACCAAUAGUGUAAUUCACAAGCUUACGUAAUGCGAAGCCAAGUGUAAUUGAAGAACACCAAUAGUGUUUUUAUUUAGAUGGACAUAUUGACGAAACAAGAAGUGCAUGAAGAAACGUCAUACAUUGAUUACCAAGUACACCUAAGACCACAAUAACGAUAAAAAUCUAUACUUUGUUUUCUUAUUUAUUAUUUUUCUUUUAUUAGUUAUUUUUUCCCAUCCUCCUUGAUGGAUUUCUUAGUAAGAUAGUCGAGUGAACAAGUAGGUCAUAAGAAACAUAAAUCACCAAGUACGUAUAUGGCCUGUAAUUGGCUUUUCUUAUUAUUAGUUUUUCCUUUAUUAUUCAAAAUUUCCCUCCUCCUGGGCAUGAGAUUACGGUAAUAUCGCCCCUUAUAACCGUAUUAUUCCGUGCCGGCCUUCGUAGAACUGUCUGAAAAAAUGCAUAUCCCCGAGCAAACCUAAACGUUUUGGUGCCACCAACUAUUGGAUCUUCUCUCGCCGGACUACCAACUUGUAAGUUAUAUCCUGCUCCUUGGAAUUCCAAUGUGCUACCGUUGUAUUUGAAGUUGGAGAAAAUGAGGGAAAAUAUGCCCAGUGAUCUUGAUCCAUCACGGGAUGAAGCUAUCUCAAUGCCUUGGGCCCGACCAAUAGUUGGAGAAUUGUUGCUGAUGCCUUGUGUUAUGUUAAAAUCAUUAACAAUAAUGGUUCCAAAAUUGGAGGGAGUUCUCGGCUUACCAGGGGCGCCGGCAACUGCAACACUGGUGGUAUUUGGUCCGCCCGUAAACACUUGAAGGUACACAGUAAUAUUUGUUUCCUUUCCACGGCAGCAAUAGUAAGGGUCAAGACGAUUAGCUUCUGAACAAACAAAGAUUGCUAGUAAUAGCACAAGGGAAAUUUGGAUGGAUGCUAAAGCUGAACCUUUUGCCAUUUUGUAUGUUGAAAGGCUAGCUGAAAAACAAAGAAGGAAGAAACAAAAUAGUUAGAUGGUAAAGAUAAUUUGUUCAAUGACCGUAUUUAUAGGAUGGAGGAGGUAGCAGUUGCAAAUGGUUAAAGUAGAACAAUUAAAUCAAUCUUGACUUUUGAUUUUUCUACAUAUAAAUGGUUUAAAUGAAAUAAUAUUACAUUUCAAAGAGUUAGGUAUAGCACAAAAAGUUUUAAAAGACAAUUAAACAUCAAUGGGUGGCCACCUAUCACGAUAGGUUUGUGUAAUGGUGUGCUGUACUCAGCAGAUAUAUCAUUCAAAGUUCAGAGCCAAGAAUUUCUUUUGAUAUAUAGUGGGAUAAUGGAGAACCUUGAAAACAUGAAACACAUUUCCCUAAAAAAAAAUGAAAUACAAUCGAUAAGGUUCUGGAAAAGGAUUAACUCCACUCUGCAUUUUCAAACUUGUACCACUUUAACAAGGUUCCAAACAUAUACUCAGUAGAUAAAUUAAUGUUGACUUUUGAUGUUUCUGCAUAUAAAUGGUUUAAAUGAAAUAGGAUUGCAUUUGCAAGAGUUAGGUAGAGCACAAAAACUUUUAAAAGAGAAUUAAACCUCAAUGGGUGGCCACCUAUCAUAGUAGGUUAGUGUAGAAUGGUGUGGUAUACACGGCAGAUAUAUCAUUCAAAAUUCAUAGUUAAGAAUUUCUUUUAGUGAUGGUUAUCUAGGAGGGUGCCAGCGGCCAAACGGGGCUCGGGGGGAGGAAGAAUUUUUUUCCCCCAUUAGAAAACGGGGUAGCCGGAGAGGGAGUUUACACCCACCCCAUCCCCUGCCCCAUCACCCGUUGAGAAAAAUUAAAUAUAUAUGUAUAUAAUUAUAUAUGUGAUAUUUAAUUUAAUUAGUUACAAAUUUAUAAUAAUGAUAUUAUUAGUUAUAAGUAUUAUAUAAUUUAUAUUAGUAUUUGUAAUAUUAUUGAUAUUAUCAAAUGCUAAUAAUUAUACAUGUCUACUAAUAAAAAUUAUUAAUUAGUUGUAUCAAAUUUACUAAUGACAACUUUGUUUUGUCAUUAGAUAAUUUUCUCAAUAGCUUAAUAGUCAUAAUUUGGCCUGUAAUCAUUGCUAAAUCAUUGAUUUUAAACAAAUCAUACAAAUAAACAUGAACGAUUGAUAACCAAAAGUAUUUGCAUUAGAUUACAUGGUAAUAAUAUAGUAUUCUCAAAUGCCAAAUUCAAGUGUACAUUACCCAACUAAUGCCUACAAAAAUAACAUUUGUCCAAAAUAUCACUUGUAUAUAUGGUACAUUUACAAAAGCAAUCACAGUUUAAGAAAUUGAAGAACAUCUAAAUGAACCACUCCAUGAGCAAAAGGCAAUUUUGUCUUCAACAUUCUUCAACCAUAACCAUAGAUAUCUUCCAAAAGCUAGUAUGAAUAGCAUUUAUCUGUCAUAAAAGAGUAAAAGAAGUAGGUAAGGGAAGGAGUACAAUAAUAAAGAACAAGUAAUGAGACUUAGAUUAUUAAGACAAAAAUUACAAUUCAUUAAGAACCUCAUAUAAUUUGGGCCCACAUAUUACAACACCAGCAAGAAGUUAGAAAUCACAGUUCAAUCUAUACAAAUACAACACUGCAUAAGCUCAACUAAAGAGCUCUCUAAAACAGUUUUUUUUUUAUUUUCUUUCUUCUUCUUUAAAUAGCUCAACUUAUUGAACAAUUAAAUUGGACUCCCACAGUAAUUAUUGUUUAAUCUUUAUGCUUUUGGUUGUUUAUAUAUUAAAACACAGAAAGCAACUUAUUGUACGAGGUGUGAAUACAGGAGGUACUAGCCCUCUUUGAUUUUAGGAGUUUAUGCUUCAAAAAUCAUGAAGGAAACGAUGCCUCUGUAGGAUUAAACUGUGCAAAGAGAAUGAGCCAUUUGCCUCACAAUGUCAAAGUGAAGACCAUCUAAACAGGUGAAACCAAUCAAAGUUCACAAACGCCCCCUUUGCAUUAUAUUCAUUUCUUUCAAGUCACUACAUAGGCAAAAAGAAGAUUGCUAUCCAUGCAUGGUCUGUCGCUUGUACUUGAAAAUAAUAUACUAUUGCAGAUGAACAAUCAGAUUUUUACCUCUAUUGAUAAACUAACAGCACUAUAUACAUGAUACCUAGAUAUUUCCCAAAGAAUAAGUUCAGAUAACAAUGAUGCAUAACAUCAGCCCCAAAAAAUGUUAUUACACAACCAUCAGCCCCAUAACUAUAACCAUAAACUACACAACCAUAACAAAAAAUAGUCCACAAUGAUGGAUAACAUCAGCCCCAAAAAAUGUUAUCACCAACUAUUACCAAAAAAUAGUCCACAAUGACUACAAGUUACCAAAAACUACAUAUCAGCUAUAACCAUAACCAUAAACUACACAACCAUAACAAAAAACGGUCCACAAUGAUGCAUAACAUCAGCCCCAAAAAAUGCUAUUACUAGCUAUUACCAAAAAAUAGUCCACAGUGACCACAAGUUACCAAAAACUACAGAUCAGCCAUAACCAUAACCAUAAACUACACAACUAUAACAAAAAAUAGUCUACAAUGAUGCAAAAUAUCAGCCCCAAAAAAUGCUAUUACCAGCUAUUACCAAAAAACAGUCCACAGUGACCACAAGUUACCAAAAACUACAGAUCACCUUCUCCAACUAUGAUAGCAGAUUCUUACAUUAGUAAUUCUUAGCAGUUGAUCUCUAUCAUCUUUAGGAAGCUUGCCCUAUUUAGGUGCUUUCCACUUGCCAUACUUUCAAAUAACGCAGCUUGCCUCUGAAAUGUAUCGCUGAGCACCUUCUCUAACUAGUCUUCCACUUAUUUCAGAAACAGUAAUGUUCACAUUUUUUCCAGCUUUCUUUUCAUUUGAUAGUGCAAUAUUACGCGUAUAUCCUCUUUUUCUUUUUAACAUCACUUGGUCUAGUAGAUACAAAGUAAACAAGACCAUAAGUGCUAACAAUAGCAGCCCUGGCAGUAAUUAGUUAAUUAGAGUAGAAUUACACGUAAAACUGACAUACGUGAACCGUUUGACUCAAGGUCUUGCAUACUUUCAGUUUCAUUGCUUUGACAACCAAUAGUUUGAUUAGAUCCAACAUGCUGUGAAGUAGGAGUUCCAUCAGUUUGCAUCCCAGCAGCUUCUUGUGAUGUCAUUCCAUUGCCUGAAGAUUUUUCAGCAAUCUGUCUACUCUCAGCUUGUAUCAAUCUAAGGCAUUUAAAGGAAGGUGAACAAACCAUGUAAGAAUUAAAAUAAGUAGUGACUUGAUUGCAAAAAUUAAAGAAAUUUGAGGGGGUCAAAUUAAUUAAUUUUGGGCCAUAGCGAAACAAGGGGAGACUUGGGGGGCCGAAGUGCAAUUCUUGAAAGUUUUUCUUGCAAGUUCAUGCAAAGUUACGAAGCUUAUGCUUCUGCAAUUUCCAGCUAACAUCUCUGCUGCAAUUUUCACUCGGGAGCUUUUGCAACCCCAUGGAACUUUCGGCAAACAAGAUUCAUGCAGCACUUUGAUCCAUUUCCAAUUAAACAUGGCUAAAACCUAGUAACAAUGAGAUUCCUGGAAGACUCUCAUGCAAGUUUCAUGCAACAAAAGAAGACAAGAAGUUUUUGCAACUAAUUUCUGUUAAAAUUUCAGCGACCGAAAAAUGAAAACUGCUGCACUUUACUUCUACCAGGUUUUCCUUGCCGCAAAACUUUGCAGUUUAUCAAAUUACUUUUUCAAAUACAAGACAUCAAGAUCAAAACAGCAAGACUACCCUGCGGAUUUUUAGCAUGAACAACCAAGAACUAACAUCAAAGGGAUAAAAUAAACUACCCUAUAUCUUGAGAUAAACUACCCAGAAGUUAUUCAGAAAAAUGAAUAUCUCAAUCCAAUCGAACCACAAAAACACGUAUGUUCAGCAAGUUACAAGCAAUUAACAAGAGAGUUGCAACAAAUAAAACCACGGGAGACCCAUCUUAAGGAUGCAACACAAGAACAAAAGCAGCAAAAAUUUUGGCAAUUUGGACAAAUAAUCAUCCUCUCCGAAUGGUCUAAAUGCUUGCUGCCAUAGUACAUCAGAAAGUUCACCUCCAAAUUCCAACCAAAAUUUACCCUCAUACGAGUCUCCUCUCAAUCAAUUUCAUAUUACUAAUUUGCUUUCAUACCAAAGGAACAUCACGCAAAAGGGAAACAGAACAGAUGCUAAACAAACGGAUGCCAAACAAAACCAUCCGAAUCUUUCAACAAGAACUCUCAUCUCUUUCAUGAAAAUGAACUACUUUGACAAACGUGGACUGGCCGAAUGUUAUGCAAAAACGGAAAUCAAUUUGUCUUUUGAAGUUGUACUCUCAGUUGAUCAUUUUGUCAAACAGGUUGGGGCAUAAAGAAUUUCUACAAUUCUUUGUUCAAUUAAAGCUAGAAGUGGCCCCCAAAAAUUGUCCGAAACAAAAAUUCAGUCCAAUCAACCCCAUAAAACAUAUACGGCCAAACAAUUAUGAAUAAUCACUGGAAAAUUGCAAGAAAACUGAUUCACCAGAGAAUAAUUUUAAGGUUGGAAUUACCAUACUCCUUCUGGGUGAAUGUUCGCCGGUGAUGGUGGAAAUUUUCGGAGCUGACAGCAAAUUGCAACUCCUCCGCUCGGCUUUUCCUUUUUCUUGCCCAAAAGCUUUUCCCUCUGUUUAUUUGUGUUGCUCAAGUGUUCCGUUGCUUUAACUCAGACCAAGUGUUCCGUUGCUUUUGUUUUCAGAAUGUGUUCCGCUGCUUUGGUCUUUGCUUUGCUUUGGAUAUUGUUUUUGUUGCGCGGCACUUUCACUAUGAUUUGAUCAAAAUUUUGACUUCACUCAUUUUCCCUCCAUUUGAUACAAAAAAUCAUGUUUUUUUUCUGGAUUUGUAAUAUGGUUUGAACCAUAGAUUUUAAUGCUAUAGUAUUAUUCUUUAUUUUUUAGCAAAAAAUAAAAAUUUUCAUCAACAUAGGUGGCAAAAUUUGUUAAUUUCAUAUAAUUGAAAAUGUACUUUUAUAAUUUGCUAAUAUUUUACACUAAUUUCUUAUAAUUGCAGCACUAAAGAACAUUAUGUAAUUGAAAAUAAUUAAACUCAAAUUAUAUGGUUAUAACAUAGUUUCAAUAAAAAUAAUCAUUUUCCUAACAUUUGAGACCAAUCAUCAUGCUUUUUUUUUAUUUUUAAUUUGGUUUGAAGCAUAGAUUAAACACAGACUUUCAUUAAAAAUAAUCAAACGCUAUUAAUAAGACAUUAUUGUUAAGUCAAAAUCAAAGAAAAUUUAGUGAUGACAUAAUGUUAUCACUAAUUUAUUGAAGAUUAUAAUGACAAGAAAAGUAGUCACUAAUUAAAUUGCUAGUUUUUAAUAUUGUCAAUUGCUAGUUUUUAAUACUUUUGUGAAAAUAUUGAUAAUGGUUGAGAAAAUUUUGUUACAUUACUGCAAGUGAUAAAUGUACUUUUGUUCUUUUUCAAACAUUUAUUUUAAUGUUUAAUUUUGUUUAAAACUAUUGUACUAGUAUAGAUUUACAAGACAAAACUUAAGUUCUCAAUAGUUAAAAAAUUCAUUACAGAGAAAACACAAGUAGUAGUUGCAAAAUGUGUAUAAAUUACAGAUAUUUUAAUGUGUAUAAAUUACAGUUUAUUUUAAUGUUUAAUUUUGUUUGAAACUAUUUUACUAGUAUAGAUUUGCAAGACAUCGAUUUAUGGGUAAUUUCCUUUUUUUUUGCUUUCACAUAUUUAAUUUAUGUUAAAUACAAAACCUACCAGUUUCCCUUUCAUAAAAAUAUUAGUGCAACAUUUUUUGAAUUUUACUUACAAACAUUUAUGUAUUUAAUAUAAAUUAAAUGAUUCAGAGUGAAAUGCCCAUAAAGAGUAGAAUAUUUGUUCAUGUAAUGGAGGAAACCCACAAAGAGUUGGUACUUUAUGGGGUAUUUCUUUUUUUAAAAAAAUUUAAUUUAUGUUGAAAAGAUAACCUGCCAGUUUUCGUUUUGUAAGAAAUCAGUGUAACACUUUUUGAAUUUUACUUACAAACAUUUAUAAAUUUAUCAUAAAUUAUAUGUUUGAGAGUAAAAUGCCCAUAAAAAGUUGGUACUUUGAAUAGAUAAUGCUCAUUUGCCCAUAAACUACACUCCCUGAAGGCUAUUUUGUUAAUUACUUUGUAGUACUUUGUUAUUCCUUUGUUAAUACUACUUGGCAUGUAGUACAAAGGAUAAAUCUAGCAUAAAUUUCUUAUUCCAUUGAUAAAAAGACCUACCUGCCUUAUAACUAUUGUAAUGAAAGAUAUAUCUUUAGAGUUUAUAACAAAUUAUUACUUAAGUUUGAGAAAAUUAUAAAAUAUUUAUGUUUAUCAAGAUACCAUUCGCAAUUUCCUAAUAAAAAAAUAGGGGCUAAAUUGUAAAAGCUAGGGUGCCAUAAUAGAAAUAAUAAAAUUGGUGUAUUACAUAUGGGGGUUAAAUUGCAAAAGUUAGAGUGCCAUAGUAGAAUUAAUGAAAUUGGUGAAUUACAUAUGGGGCUAAAUUACAAAAGUUAGGGAGUAAUAAUAGAAUUAAAGAAAUCGGUGUACUACAUCUGAGGCUAAAUUGUAAAAGUUAAGGUAUCAUAAUGGAAUUAAUGGAAUUUUUUACAACAUUUGGGGCUAAAUCGCAAAAGUUAGGGUGGCACAGUAGAAUUAAUGAAAGUGACUUAGAAAUAAGUACUUUAAACAGUGACGAUUAAUUAUUGUCACUAAAUCCGAAUCGAUAGAGUGACAGUGACGACAUUAGAAGUUGUCACUAUAUAAAUCAUUUUAGUGACAACGUUUUUCAAGGUCGUCACUGAAAACUUAGUUGUUUUGAGCAAUUAUGACAACUUUCCUUGUCGUCACUAAACAACCACGUUUUGUGACGACUUUUGUCGUCACUAGAAAAUGUUGUCACUAAUGACCAUAUUUCUUGCAAUGUAGUUUGUGACGAAAAUAACGGGUCGUCACUAAACAUUUAGUUGCUUUGAUGCAAUUGUGACAACUUUAGGAGUCACGACUAAAGAAACUCCUUUUGUGACGACUUAUUGUCAUCACUACAAAAUGUUGUCACUAAUAACUUUUUUUUUAGUGAUCAGUGACGACAACAAAAAGUCGUCCAUAAAUAGGCCAAACAAUAGUGAUGAUGUUCUUAAUGUCGUCACUAUUGUGUGUUCUAAUACUCCCGCGCUCUUGCUAAAUCUUGGCGGGAAUUUACUAGUGACGACUUUUCUAAAUUGUCACAAAUGAGUUGACUCCCAUUAGAGAUUUGUGACGAGUUAGAAAGUCGUCAAUAAAGGAUCCCCUUUUGUGACAACUUUUUUUCGUCACAGAGAAAAGUUGUCACUGAUGACCAAUUUUCUUGUAGUGUGGGAUAAUGGAGAACCUUGAAAACAUGAAACACAUCUCCCUAAAAAAAAAUGAAAUACAUUCGAUAAGGUUCUGGAAAAGGAUUAACUCCACUCUGCAUUUUCAAACUUGUACCACUUUAACAAGGUUCCAAACAUAUACUCAGUAGAUAAAUUAAUGUUGACUUUUGAUGUUUCUGCAUAUAAAUGGUUUAAAUGAAAUAGGAUUGCAUUUGCAAGAGUUAGGUAGAGCACAAAAACUUUUAAAAGAGAAUUAAACCUCAAUGGGUGGCCACCUAUCAUAUUAGGUUAGUGUAGAAUGGUGUGGUAUACACGGCAGAUAUAUCAGUCAAAAUUCAUAGUUAAGAAUUUCUUUUAGUGAUGGUUAUCUAGGAGGGUGCCAGCGGCCAAACGGGGCCCAGGGGGAGGAAGAACCUUUUCCCCCAUUAGAAAACGGGGUAGCCGGAGAGGGAGUUUACACCCACCCCAUCCCCUGCCCCAUCACCCGUUGAGAAAAAUUAAAUAUAUAUGUAUAUAAUUAUAUAUGUGAUAUUUAAUUUAAUUAGUUACAAAUUUAUAAUAAUGAUAUUAUUAGUUAUAAGUAUUAUAUAAUUUAUAUUAGUAUUUGUAAUAUUAUUGAUAUUAUCAAAUGCUAAUAAUUAUACAUGUCUACUAAUAAAAAUUAUUAAUUAGUUGUAUCAAAUUUACUAAUACAUUUAUACUAAAUUCCUAAUUACACUUAACACAAUAACACUUCUUUUCUCAAAAAAUCACACAACAAUGAUUUAGUGGUUGUAUUUGUAUCCAAAGUGAAAACUUGACUACUUUAGUUGUGUUUGUUUCAUCAUAUUGGGCUGUAUUUAAAUAAAUCUUGUUUGAUUGUUUUUAUGACACACAAUUGUGAAAUUACAAUGAAUAAUGAUUUGGUGAUGUGUUGGCAUUUAAGUAUUUGAUCCUUUGUUCAAAUAUGACUACAAUGAAAUUGUAUGACAAAUUUUUAUUCGCCCUGUGGGUGCGCCCAUAGGGGAAGCGGGGCAAGGCGGGGACGGGGUUGGGGAGGAGUCCCCUGUCUAACCCCCACCCCAUUGUCAUUCCUAAUUUCUUUUGCUAUAUAGUGUAAUAAUGGAAACCUUGAAAACUUGAAACACAUUUACCAAAAAAAAAAAUGAAAUACAUUUAACAGGGUUCCGAAAAAUGACUAACUCCACUUUGCACCUUCCAAUUUGUACCGGUUUAACAAUGUUCCAAACUUAUACUCAGAAGAAAAAUCAAACUUGACUGUUGAUUUUUCUGCAUAUGAAUGGUUUAAAUGAAAUAAGAUUACAUUUCAAAGAGUUUGGUAGAGCAUAAAAAAGUUUUAAAAGAGAGUUAAACCUCAAUGGGUGGCCACCUAUCAAAGUAGGUUUGUGUAGAAUGGUGUGGUAUGCAUAGCAGAUAUGUCAUUCAAAGUUCAGAGUCAAGAAUUUCUUUUGCUAAAUAUAUAAUGAGAUAUUGAAAAACCUUGAAAUCUUGAAACACUUUUACCUAAAGAACAAAUUACAAAACAAUGAAACACAUUUCACAAGGUUCUCGAAAAGAAUUAACUCCGCUUUGCACCUUCGAACUUCUACCACCUUAAUAAGGUUCCGAACUUACAUUGAGUAGCUAAAUCAAUCUUGACUUUUGAUUUUCCUGCAUAUAAAUGGUUGAAAUGAAAUAUGAUUACAUUUCUAAGAGUUAGGUAGAGCGUAAAAAGUUUAAAGAGAGAGUUCAAUAUAAAUGGGUAGCCACCUAUGAAAAUUGGUUUGUAUAGAGUGGUAUACUCAGCAGAUGUAUCAUUCAAAGUUGAUAGUCAAGAAUUUCUUCUGUUGUAUUGUGGGAUAAUGGAAAACCUUAAAAACUUGAAACAAAAUUACCUGAAAAAAAAAACAAGGAAACACAUUUAAUAAGGUUCUAGAAAAGGAUUAACUUGACUUUGCAUCUUUGAACUUAUCCCACUUUUUCAUUUUGUACCCCAAAUUUUAAUUUUGAACACUUUGCACCCUAACCUUUAAUUUCACCUUUUAGUCUGGGGCCAUUCAUGUCUGCAAAUUGCAUAAGAGCCACUCAUUUUCUUGUUAGUUACGUGUUGUAAUAGGCUUUUAGCAUCCUCUCAUUAAAAAAUUAAUUUAAAAAAAUGUCCAAGUAUAGGUUUCAAUUUUGUAGUUGAAAUUGAAAAUGUUCACGAAUGUUUAGCUAUUUACACGCCAUAUAGGCUUCCAACCUCCUAACCCUAAAAUUUAGGGGGUUUGGGGGGAAGGGGAGGGUUGGAUGAAGAACAGAGAUUGAAAUAAUAAAUCUUUUGUAGCCUUCAUUAAGACAUUGAUCGAACAAGAGAAUGUCUGAAGACAAAUUAGAAUGAAACAAAUAUCUUAAUUGCACUAGAGAAGUGCACUUGAAUAUAGUUCUCGAGAAUGUAAUUUCCGUUGAUUUCUAUGUAGCUGGUUGUUGUAAAAUUUGUCUGAAGAGACAAUCGAAUACCCCCAAAACUCGCGGAAUUCCUAACAGUUCACAUAUCUUUUGGAGUCGAAUUACAAGUUCACGUAUGUUUCUCCCCUAUUUAGCGGUAAAAAUAAAAAAAUAAUAAAAAAAAACUCAAACGUUGACUUUCCUGGUAAUAUGUUUUUGCUCCGUCCAAUCCACAUAUGUUUAUAUACGAUUCAGCAGUAAAAUUGAAGAAAAGCUCAAAAGUUGACUUUCCCGUUUUAUAAGGAAUUGACUAACCAUUUUGUGGCCAAACCAUUAUCCAUCUUGCCCAUCUAAAUGGUGAAUUGCACUUUAAGCUUAAUGCUCAAUAAAACAGAAGUUCUUAACCAUGUUAAGAAAAAAUAGAUGGAAAAGUCUUUUGUCACCUUUUAUUAGUUGUGGUAGUUAUAUCGGAGAAGGAUUACCAUUUGUUAAACUGAGUAAAAGAUUAUUUUUCAUAAAGCAAGUUGGAUGUACAUCAUAUGUAAAGCAAAAGUUAUGAAAAAUAAAGACUACCUUACAAUUAGACUUGGUGUACAAUUAUCAGUUCAAGCGAAUUCCACAAUUAGGUGAAGAUUUUAUCUAAGUUUCAAUACACAUCUUUAUUAGUAAACGCACAUAUCUUAUUUUAACACAUUCACAAGCUUACGUAAUUGAAGAACACCAAUAAUGUAAUUCACAAGUUGACGCAAUGCGAAACUAAGUGUAAUUGAAGAACACCAAUAAUGUUUUUAUUUAGAUGGACAUAUUGACGAAACAAGAAGUGCAUGAAGAAACGUCAUACAUUGAUUACCAUGUACAUAUAAGUCCAGAAUAACGAUAACAAUCUAUACUUGGUUUUCUUAACUAUUAUUUUUCUUUUAUUAGUUAUUUUUUCCCAUCCUCCUUGAUGGAUGUCUUAGUAAGAUAGUCAAGUGAACAAGUAGUUCAUAAGAAACAUAUAUCACCAAGUACGUAUAUGGUCUGUAAUUGGCUUUCCUUAUUAUUUAUUUUUCCUUUAUUAUUUAAACUUUCCCUCCUCCUGGGCAUGGGAUUACGGUAAUAUCUACUCUUAUAACCGUAUCAUUCAGUGCCGGCCUUUGUAGAACUGUCUGAAAAAAUCCAUAUCCCCGAGCAAACCUAAACGUUUUGGUGCCACCAACUAUUGGAACUUCGCUAGCCAUACCACCUACUUGCAAGUUAUAUCCUGGUCUUUGGAAUUCCAAUGUGCUACCGUUGUAUUGGAAGUUGGAGAAAAGGAGGGAAAAUAUGCCCUGUGAGCCUAUGUUUUCAGAACCGAACCGGGUAUCGACUUGGUCAAACUCAGGGGUCAGGGGUCAAUGGGUUCAACCGGGUUCGAUAGGGGUUGAACCGGAUGACGUCAUAAAUAAAAAUUAUUCAAAAAUUAAAAUAUUAUAUGUAAAAUACCUAAUAACAUGUUAAUAUUAAUAAAGGUAUAUUCAUAUAUAUUUGAUGUUUUAAAUAUUUUUAACAAGAAAAUACAAAUAAAUUAGAACAAUCAAGUAACAAUUUAUAUUAUUUAAUGAGUAUUAACAAGUUUAGAAUUAAAAUUAUGAAUUUAAUUAAAAAAUAAUACCAAACUUUAAGAAAAUAUUGAUAAAGUAUGAAAUAUUUGAGGUAUAUUAAUAAUUUUUAACAAUUUAGGGAUCAAAACAUAAUAUUGAAAACGGUUGAGUUUUUUUUUAAAAAAACUGUUUGAACCGAAAAAUCUGGUUUUUUCCGGUCAAGCCCGAUUUUUGACCGGAUUUGACCGGGUUUUAACUUGCCCGGUUUUUAAACAUGACUCGGACCGGAUACUUGGCCGGUUCCCGGUUUGACCGGUCAAACCGGCCGGUCCGGUCCGAGUUCAAAAACACAGCAGUGAGCUUGAUCCAUCACAGGAUGAAGCUAUAUAAAUGCCUUGGGCCUGAGCAAUAGUCUGUGAUGGUAUCGAACAGGAACCCGAACAAUGGAAUCGUUUAUAGUUGAAUUAACUAGAUAACUUGCUUCGGAAUUUAACAAUAAGCAAUAAUAAUAAUGAAAGCUGAUAAGAAUUCAGCUUAAUGGUGUUUUAUAUUGAUCAGAAUAAGAAAAUUACAGAAUUGCCGGGAAAAAGAAAAGGAGAUGAACAAGAAUGAAGGAAAUCAGAAAAGGACAAUGCUCAGGGAAUGAUCCCUAACAAUGGCUAACAAAUUCCUCUUUUCCAUCUCUGAUCCUGACUAUAUAUAGCUAACUAAUAACUAAUUCCCUCGGCUCUAUCAAUCUAGCUUGGCCACGUGGCUUCUGUUAACAGAAUCUGUCGUAGUUUCACUUGUUGCUGAGCUCACAUUUCUUGAGCAAUUUCCUAGUGAAGGCGUGGUUCUGGUUCCACGUCUUCACUUGCAUCAUUCAUAUCUUUCAUGUGAGGACCCGAAAAUUUUUUUAUUUUAUCUUAUUUUAUUGGCUUAUUUAAUUAUUUAUUCACGUGUUUUCUCCGAAUAAUUUAUUUCAACCAUUUUAAAUCCAUUUACAUCGAGCAAUGUCUCACUUAUAUUUUUAAAAUGUCCUGUUAGCAAAUUUAAUUUUUCGGAGGCUCGUUUAGUGAGAAAUAGCGAGUACGCGUUUUCGAGGCAAUAUUUGAUCCGAGAGUGUAAUAAUCCUGGAGAAUUAAGAAUGAUCAAUAGUAGACUAAGAAAAGUUAAUUGAGAGAUUAAAGGUGAGUGAGUUCAAAUUUUCACUUUAUCGCGCGCGAGUAGGAAGUUCGCGUAUUUCGCGUCAAAACGGCUAAGUAGAGAUUUGAGAAAUUUACACUAGACUACUAAGAGUGAAUAAUUAUAGUGUUAAAGGAAUUGCAUUUGAAGAUUAGUGUACACGUGAAACAAACAAGAGAGAAAAGUGGUAGUUCGGGACACUAUUCACGCACUAUUCGUAGUUGACUUUUGCAUAGCUUUUGGCUACAAAUUCUUCAAGCUUCCAAGGGAAGAUUCACACAACACAAACCCUUCUCUCCCUCACUUCUCUCUCUCGGCCGAAAAGAAAAGGAAAAAGAAGAGAAGAAAGCUUCUUCAUCUUGCACCAUUUUUGCUUCCAAUUCCCUCACGAAUCACCAUCCAACUUCCAUACUUCUUGAAGAUCCAUCUUAACUUGAAGGAAGACAUCAUUUAGUGGAGUUUCUUGGAGGUUUUGUGGUGAAAAACUUCUGGUCUCAUCAAAGGUUAAGAGGUAACCCUUCACCUUCCUCAAAUCUUUCAAUUUUCUUCAAGAAUCAAGCUUAGAUUGCAUGGGUUUGAAACCCUAAGCUUGAAAUAGGCUAGCGGACUUGAGGUGUCUCAUUUCUUAUUUUAAUCAUUUAAUCACUAGGCUAGAGGUCUUGAGGUGGAUUAUAGGUAACUGGCUUGAGGUGUAAUUAGUUGAUUGUGGUUGUUUAUGUGUUAUUUGAGAUGAAUACGGUUAGAAAAUGAAGGAAACAUCGAGGACAAGCUAUGCAUAGAGCUGGCCGAAAUUCUGUCCAUUGUUGCUCUGUUUUAAUUAGAAUUUUUGGUGCUUGUAUGGCUGUGAAAUUGAGUGAUAUAUGUUUUAUAUUAUGCGUACAAAGUGUCUACCAAAAAUUGUUUCAAUUGGUUGCUCAAAACUAGAGUUUUCGAAAUUGAAAGAAAUCUGGAAAUGGUAAUCUGGGCAGCCGAACAAUACCUCUUUGUUCGAACGUAUCUCUCUGUACAAGAGUCAAAAUUGAGUGCUAUUAGUGGCAUUCAAAACUAGACACUCAUAGCUUUCCAACGGUAAAAAAAUCACCCGCUAGUUCAUUUUGAGUCAUCCGUAGUGUUUCGGCAAAGUUUGUUGUUCUGUUAUGACUAGUUGUCCGAGAGGAAUGGAGAAGCUGCAUCUUGUGGCUCAAAUUUCUCUCACUUGUGAACUGAUUUUGAAAAUUAUUUAUUCCAAUGAAAUCAUUUUGAAUCUAGUUUCCAACACCACCAACCAUUCCCAAUUUGAACUUGUAUUGAGUGAGAUGUGGUCUGAUUUUGAAGUGCAACAAAGCUGGAAAACUGGAAAGUUUUUCCGUUCUUGCUGGCCGAAUGGUCAGAGUUGUUUUGGGAUGUUUUGUCUCAAAAAUUUUGAUGUCAAUUGCUUGUCAAUUGUUUAUUAAAUGUUUCUAGAACCUUGGUUUCAAAAGUGUAUCGAAUUGGGGCUGAUUUCAUUAUGCAAAACAUUUGGAAAUGAAAGAAAGGCAAGAGGGCAGAUUAGCCUUGAAACAUUUUUCGAAGUUUGGUUGUUUUGUUAACUGCCUUCCCACAUGAGUUUUUGAGUGAAAUUUGAUAGAGAGGUAGUCCACAUAUGGAAGUUUAAGUGUACCAAAUUUAGUGAAAUUCAAUACCAUUUCGAUAUCCAAAUAAUGCCCCAAAAUUGGCUCUUCAAAUCUGAAAAAUUUCUGAAUAGUGUACAAAAGUCAGCCAACUUUAAGCUACUAUAUCUUGACACUCAAAACUCCGAAGUAGUUCCAUUUGUCGCGUUCGAAACCUUGUUUGGAACUCUUAUUGUGUUACGAAUUUCAAGGGCUGAUUCAUUUUCUGUGAAUUACGCCGAAUUUCCAAAGAUGACUGCAAAACCAAGACUGGUUCAAACCUGUCCUAUUGGAACUGAAACUUUGAGUUGAAAAAUGAGUGCUUUUCAUUUAGAAUCUUGGAAAAGUGUUUUCUAGAAACUUUUAGACUCUGAACCUAGUUUCCAAUGGUGUAGAGUUUCCAAUUUUGGACAUGUCAAACUCAAGAUUUGAUUUUUUUCAAAUUUGUCACUUAAAGCUGAAAUUUUCCGAUUUCUUAUGAAAUGAGCUUUUGAGGACUCAUCACCUUAUCUUGAUAUUGAUAAACCAUUUUAAAACCUGAUUUCAUGGAAAAGGCAAGUCUCUCUUGGGACUUUGACUCCUCACUUUUGAAUCUCUAAUUUCGAGUGAUUAAAAUUCUCUUUCAUGACAUUGUUUUAGUAUUGCAAGUGUACAUUCUUCCUUGUUAGCAAGGGUUUGUAAGUAAUAGUGAGUGAUAGUCAAUUAUUAUUUGCUCAGGCGCUCAAGGUGAUCUUCAAGAGAAUCUCGAAGCGAAGGCCUGAAGAUUUACUUGCUCAAUUACUCACUUUUGACUUGGUGAGUGUCAAGUGUAUGAAGUGUUGUUACGUGCUUAAUUGUUCUCGUUAAUUGAGUAAUUUGAAAGUGUUGAAUCAAGUGUAUACUUUAUCGCACUCGUUCUCUCCUAAGUGAAUUAUAUAGAAUUGUAUGAAGUGAAUUGCUAAGUGAAUUAAGUGAAGUAUUGCAAUAGUGAAUUAUGCUAUGGUUGCAUAUGUUGAUUGGAGUAAAUCUCCUCGACUUAUAUUUUUAAUAGUGGGGGAUGCCCAAACUCAUCGGCCGACCUUGCGACUCGAGCCGGCAUAGGCUUGGUCGUGAAGUUUGGUGAGACAUGAGAAAAAUUUUAUAAGUUUGAUCUAUUAGAGAGAUCUUAUUUGGCAUACUUGAGUAGUAUCAUCUUAUAUAAAAAAAAAAGUGUGGGCCCGGAGCAGGGGGUGUUACGGUGAACGGGGAAAAGUAAGUGAAGUUCUACAGACGUAAUACCCACCCGGUUGACGGAGUGUCAUCGCGGGGAAGUAUUUGACUAAGCCUUGACGAAACAAGUGGAAUAUAACUCCUGAAAGCUCCCGUAUCCUUAUCAAGUGUGUUAUAUUGUUAAGUGUAAACUACUUGAAUGUUAUAGUUUUUAUUCUCGUAUAAGUGUUAUUGUUAUUUGAACUAUGUGUUUUGUAUGUUUUCUUAGCCUUACGAGCAUUCGCUCACCCCAUUAGAUUUGUUUUCCUUAACAGGAGUCGGAAUGGAAGGAAUUAUGGAGAAGCCGACUUGAUGCACUUUUGAUUAGGGUUUUGAAUGUAAUUGAUUAAAUGACUUUUGAAAGUUGUAUAUUUUGGGGAAAGUGAUGUACUUGGUAUCUUGAAGUGUAAGAAUUGAAUACUUAUUAAGGAAGCGACUUUUCGUUAUACCUUCAACUUUUAUUAUUCGGUUAUUUAUCCUUAAGUUUGAAUUGAAAUUAUAUCGAGUCCUGGCGAGAGUUGGGCAGGCGUCCCGCCGAUACCCUUGGAUUCGCCCUUGAGAGAAGUAGGGGCAUCACAGUUAGUAUCAGAACUUAGGGUUCAGAUCUUUGUAGUGUAUCUUAAGCUAAAAGUUUAGGAUACCGGACCGUGGGAUUCACUUGAACAUUAACCUAUUGUAUUCCAGUGGUUAAAGAGAAUUGGUACUCGAGAGUUUCUUAAACGGCAUUGGUGGAAAAGAGACUAGGUUUAGAGAUCUAUUUGGAAGAUAUAUUAGAGACUUUACUCUUGAGAUUAGGAAUGAGAUAACUUAGUUAUACCUUAAAUAUUAUUUGAGCGAGUUAGUAACUUUAAGUUUCUAACCCGAAAAUUGUGGUUGUUUUGCAGGGAAGAAGAAUGGUAAUGGGGAACAUGUUGCUAAUGGUAAUGGUCAUGCUAAUGGUCACGUGAAGUCUCUUAGGCCUAUUUACUAUCGAGCUCUUGGUGGAGGAGCUCGUGUGUGUUACUCGCCUUUUACGAGAUUUCCCAAUGUCCCUGUAGGGCGACAUAUGCGUACCCUAAUAACCUAGUACUACCCCUUGACGACGAGCGUCGUCAGUUGGUGAAUACCAACCGAGCUUUACUCCAAGAGGUUGAGGAGCUGAGCCUUAUGGUGAACGCUCAGGGUGAUAGGAUUGCAGAGCUAGAGGGGACGAUAGUGGACGAGAUGGUUAGGGCUGAGGCCGCUCGUGAUGAGCUUCAGAGGGUUAGAGCUCGACUCACUAGAAUAGGCGAGGAGGUCCGGGAUCGGGUUUCUGAGAUCUUGGCAGACACUACUAUGUUGAUUGAUGAGGUGAUGGAUGUUGUGCAGAGUCCGGUUCAAGAGGGCACUGAGGAGAAGCCUUUCGAGGAGGAUCAGGAGGAGGACCCUCAGGAGGAGGUUCCACCUGAUAGUCCUGCAGAGUAUUAGAUUAGGAGUAAUGACUCUCUUUUGAUUUUUGUAGUUAGAAAUAGUUGGAGUGAUACUAGUUCAAAUGCCAUUGUAUUUUGAUUAACUGUAUGGCCUACUUUUGUGACACUUGAACUAACUUUUGUCGUGCCUGACUAAAUGUACUUUUAUGGCACCUAUAUGCCAUAUUUUUGUAAAGGCCCCAUGACUUGCUAAUUGUACGAAUCUUGAAUUGUUAAUAUAUGCUGGUUAAUGUUAUUUCCAAGGUUUUUCAUAUUGGUUUUUAUUUUAAUCAUCUUCUGGCAUAAUUAUUUUAUUUCUUGCAUUUAGGCAUAACUAAAAUCAUGGAUGGACAAAGGAGUGGUAGAGGUCGGGGGCGUGGGGUUAGGCAAGCUCAACCUCUAGGGGAUGAUCAAGGAUCGGCAACUUGGCCGACCCAAGGACAAGGACAUGUAGACGGUGACCAGGUGGCUACUGUCAUCAACCGCAUGACGGAUAUUUUAGAGCGAAUAGAAGAGCGAGAAGAUCAAGGACCUAUUAAUCAACCUGGGGCUCAAAAUAGAGAGUAUGAUAGGGCUUUGGAAAGAUUUUUGAAAUUUGCUCUGCUUAAGUUUAUCGGAGGACCCGACCCUAAGUUAGCGGAGAACUGAUUGGAGAGAAUGACUAAUAUAUUUGCCGCCCUAGACUAUACUGAAGAGAGACGAGUGAACUUUACUGCCUUUCAAUUUGAGGGUAUAGCACGUGCUUGGUGGGCGUGAUAAGGGAAAAAUGGGAAAGAACGCAGACUCCUUGGAUUUGGGAAAAGUUUACCCGAGAGUUUAAUGAGAAAUUUCUCCCACCCUUGAUUCAAGAAAAAAGGGAGGAUGAAUUUAUAAAAAUGAGACUGGGGACUUCUAGCGUGGCUGAAUAUGAAGAAAAAUUUACUAAACUUUCUAAGUACGCUCCAGAAUUGGUGACUAAUGAGCGAAAAAGAAUAAGACGUCUUGUGCAAGAACUUAAUGUGGCGAUUCAGGAGGGAUUGACGGCAGCCCAAAUCUCUACUUUCACUGAAGUCUUAGAGAAAUCACAGAGAGUCGAAAGUGCAAGGCUGCAAGUUAGGAAUUCCCAUGAUAAGAAAAGGAACACUCCUAGUUACUCCUCUGGUCAAGCAAGUAAAAGUACACCACCUUCUAAAAAGAAAAAAGGAACAGAAAGAGUAGAGAUAUCCAGUACACCAAAAGGGACUCAACCAAGAGGAGGCCACAAUGGGCAAGGUCAAGUAAGCUAAACGCCUUCUGGUGGUCAGGCCGUGACUCCUCAAGUUAGUUGUGGCUACUGUGGCAAGUCCAAUCAUGUGGAAAAUGAUUGUUGGAGGGAAUCGAGAAAGUGCUUGUACUGUAGUAGUGCCGAGCAUCAGCUCGCAAGUUGUCCAAGAGUGCCGAAGGUAGGAGGUAGUACUCAAAGGCCAGAAAAGUCGGUACUAAACAAACUAGUGUUGGAGGAAUUCGAUCUAAAGUGACGGCUAGAGUUUAUGCAUUAGACCAUCAACAGGUUUCUAAUUCCACUAAGGUCUUUGAAGGUAUGAUUCUUAUUUUUCAUUACUUACCUAAGGUUCUAAGUGACCCUGAUAUGACACAUUCUUUUACAAACUCUAGUUUUAUGAGCGGGAUAGACGUGAGAUCGAUUAAAUUACGCUAUGACUUGGAAGUUAAAAUGCCUAUUGGGGAAUUAAAAUUUGGUUGCUAACUUGUUAUAUAGAAAUUGUGAGAUAUAAGUUGGAGAGUGUAAGUUAUUGAUUGAUCUUAUAAGCAUAACUAUUAAGGGGUAUGAUGUUAUCCUAGAUGUUAAUUUUGGGAACGAAAUUAUUUUUAAGGAUGGAAGGAUAAGAGAACCCGAAAAUUUUCUUAUUUUAUCUUAUUUUAUUGGAUUAUUUAAUUAUUUAUUCACCUUUUUUUUUGAAUAAUUUAUUUCAACCAUUUUAAAUCCAUUUACGUGGAACAAUGUCUCACUUAUAUUUUUAAAAUGUCAUGUUAGCAAAUUUAAUUUUUCGUAGGUUCGUUUAGCGAGAAAUAGCGAGUACGCGUUUUCGAGACAAUAUUCGAUCCGAGAGUGCAAUAAUUCUGGAGAAUUAAGAAUGAGCAAUAGUAGACUAAUAAAAGUUAAUUGAGAGAUUAAAGGUAAGUGAGUUCAAAUUUUCGUUUUAUCGCACGCAAGUCGGAAGUUCGCGUAUUUCGUGUCAAAACGGCUAAGUGGAGAUUUGAGAAAUUUAUACUAGACUACUAAGAGUGAAUAAUUAUAUUGUUGAAGGAAUUGCAUUUAAAGAUUAGUGUGCAUGUGAAACAAACAAGAGAGAAAAGUGGUAGUUCCGGACACUAUUCGCACACUAUUCGUAGUUGACUUUUGCAUAGCUUUUGGCCACAAAUUCUUUUAGAAAUUGGAGUCAUGUGCUCGAUUUUUAGAAAAUUGCUGCAAUUUUUGCACUAAAAGUGCAGAGCAUACCCACUAAAACACGGACUAGCCUCGCAUUUUAUGGUUACGUUUUAUUGAAUUUUCAAGAAAAUUUGAAGACAAUGCGGGCAAAAAGGCCACCUCACCCGCGUUUUGCCCGCGUUUUUAGCUUGGAUCAAAAAAUUGAAAACGCAAGCUAUGAAAUGCGACUAUGGCCCGUUUCCUUUACCUGCGUUUUAGAAUCUGCAAUAUCCAACCAGAAAACGUGACCCCAGAAACAUGACUAGGGUCGCAUUUUCGUCUUCCUCUUUUAAACACAAAAAACGUAGGCUAUAUUUUCUCUUCUUCUUCCUACCUCUCACCCGUUUUUUCUUACUCGUUUACACGCACCUUCACAAAUUCUCUCUUUUACUCUAUUUCUUUGUAAACAUAUAUCAACCCAACUUCUUUUAACCUUCAUAAACCAUUUUUAACUGAUUAAAAUUUAAAAAAAAACCAAAAAGUCGAUUUUAAAGAAAUUGAAGGCUAGGGUUCUUGGUUCUAAAUUUCAUCAAUUGGAGGUCAAUUAGAAGGUGUUUUAUAGGAUUUUUUGAAUCAUUAGCAUCACCAAACAUCCUUCUACUUGAUUGAGAUAAAUUUCUUCAUCAAAUUUUCAUAUUUUAGAAGUUAAUAUUUUUCAAUUUCCUGAGUUUUCUGACAUUUUCUAAUUUUGAAUUUUUGAUGAUAUUUAUUGAUAUUUUUGGCCUCCAAAAAUGCUUAUUAAGGUUGAUUAAGCAUGUUUACAUUUUUAAAUGUAGCAAUUUGAUGGCUAAUUAGUUGUUAAAAUUUUAAAUUUGCUACAUUUUGAUAAAAUUUAAAAAGUAGUUUGGUUUGUUAUUUGAGCCCUUUUGAUUGAUGCUUGUGGCUAAAAAUGAUUGGUUGAUGAUGUUUUAGCAUCUGCGUUGUGUAUAGAGAGUAAUUUUAUUGAAUUUUGUAAUUUAUGGGGAUAAUUUUUGCUUAAUCAUGUUUAUCGCUAAAUAUGGAUUAUUAUUGCUAAUUAAGGAUUGUUAUAAACUUGAUUAUUGCUAAUUUCAUUAAUCAAAACAUAUUUGUUACCUAUUUUAAUAAAUUGGUAAUUUUGACAAUUUUUGGCAAAAUUUUGGCAAUUUUAAUGUCAUGUCUCUCAUGUUAUAUUAUUGGGCAUUGUUGAAUAUUUAAUUGAUUAUUUAUGACAUGGAGAUGUGUAUUUAUGGUUAUUUGUACCACUUUUAAUCCCUAAACAUGAAUGAUAAUUCAACAAAAUGCCUACGGUUAUCAUAAAGGGAACGAUUCUUCUUUUAGGUGUUUUAUAGAAUUUAAUUUUUGUAUAAUGUGUGAUUGUGUCAUACUUUAGAUAGGUGUAUGAGAAGUUUAACGAUUUUUUUUAUACACCAUGAUAAGAAGAGUAUGAGAAUCCGAAAAUUUUCUUAUUUUCUAAGCAUUUAUUUUAGUCUUUUGUGCCUAAAUUCUAUAUUUUCUUUCUUAUAUGAAUAUUUUGGAAAUUUUAUGAGAACAUAUGAUUUUUAAAAUAUUUUUUCCAUAUAAGUUAUUUUCUGCGUUAAUGGUGGUGUACAGUGGAUGUGGGACCCGCUAGUGCGAUAAGUGCGGUAACCAUGGUUAAUUGGGAGAAGUUGUAUACAGGGAUUAUAUUACAUGGUAUUGUGAGCUAAUUAGAAGUUAGCCUAGUUAAUUAAGUAUUGCAAGACAAAGAGUUGAGAUAAGCUUAAAAAGGCCACAUGUUGCAUUUUCAUUGGAUGGUGGACUUUUGACUAGUCUUUCUUCACCUUUACUAAAACAAUUUUGACCAAAAACCAUCUUCAUUUCUAAGCUUCUUGGCCGAGCAACUAGAGAGAAAAGAAGAGAGAAAGCUUCUUCAAAUUUCCUUCCAUUCUUGCUUGAAUCUUGCAAACCUACCAUUUAAAUUCCAAAUUCCUCCACAAAAGUGAGUUGAUAAACUAGUUUAAGGCUUUUAGUGGAGCCAUUUGUGAAGAACAAGCUCUAGUUAUCUUGCUUCUUGGAGUUGUAAAGGUGAGUUGUCUAGAUAUCUUCCUUCUCAUGAUAAUAAUGAUCAAUUAAGGGUUUCUAGUGGUGAAGCAUGUCAUUUUGUGGAUUAUUUCAUAAGUUAUGGUUGAGUUGUCUAAUUUUCCUAUUUAUUGAGGAUUUUUCUGUUUUAAUAUAUAAAUUAUUGUUUUCUCAUGGAUUGAUGGUUUGUUAUGGUGUGAAAUGGAGUUUAUAUAGGUUAGUUACGAUUGUUUGAGGAAAAUUUCGGUUUUGUACGGAAAUUUCAGCUUUAGGGUUCCAAACAGGCCUGUUCUGUCCGGAUUUAUUUGAGCAUGUUAGAGGCCAAAUCAGACUUAGAUUAAAACAUGAAAGUUGUAGCAAAUGGUGUUAACUAGUUGCCUGUAAAAUUUCAGCUCGAUCUGAGCUGUGUAGCCUGAGAAAAGACAAAAAUACCGUAGACUGCCAUAGGAAGAGUUCGCUGGACAGGGUGGGCAUUUCACCCCAAUCUGACCGUGACUUUUCACCCUGAUCCUUACCGAAUUAGAUUUUGGCCAAAACACGAAAGUUGCAGUGCUAGGUCUUAAUUUCCAGCGGCCCUGGAAACACAUCAAUUGGACUUCGGUAGCCUAAAUCAUGAUCGUUUAACCAUACUGCGGUUAGCUAACCUGUUUGUGCGAUACUGGUUUGGUACAUUGAAAUUUUGACCUAGCUACCCUACGAACUGGAUUGAGUGGUCUUCAUCAAAGUUGUAUCCUUUUAUCUUAGCUUCGAAACGGUGUAAAUUAUACCCCAAUCCGAUAAGUGUAGCUCCAGUUGUGACCAUUCCGCUAAGUAACGUCAAAACUGUCUUUUGCUUUUUAACUUAAAUUUCAUUUCCACACAUGUCCCUAGCUUGACUAUGCACUUAUACGUUCUAUUGGGCCUUAUUUUUGGUAGUGCGUGGAUUUGAUUUGACUCGUGUUCGAGUCUUAAUUGUGAUAUUCUUGUUGUAUAGGCCGUGCCGGUAAUCCGACGCCUACGCCUGGAGCUAACUUGUGAAUUUGCUUACUUACCUUGGUGAGUGUACCAUUAUAUGGUCUAAUAUUUAGAUGGUUAUUUAUACUUGUAUGUGUACUUGAAUGGCUUGAAUGAGACGAGAGUGUACUUUAUCGCUCCCGAUCUCUUAUCUGUAUUACUGUUAUUGUCAAAUGUGAAAUUGUACACAUGUGUGAUUUGACAUGGCUUGGGACUUUGCCCGACAACUUAACUGUGCUACCUGAGCUCAUACCCUAUUGGUCUUUAAUUGAGUCGAGCCGGCAAGGGCUUGGGUGAAUCGAUAACGGACCUUGGGUUCACUGCAGUUGAGUGGAGUGUUAACUCCUCGACCUUAUGGUAUACUCGAGUAUUACCCUCUCUGUUUCUGUGAGGUGUUCGGGCCCAAUAAGGGGGUGAUCGGUGGAAGGGAUACGGAGUAAAGUGGGGAUCUACGAGAUGUUCUUCUCUUUAAAGGUUGACGGAGUGUCAACGGGUUGGAGAUCAAGUGCGGCAAGUGGAAAGUGGCUCUUGAGAGCCAAUUGUAACCUUUUAUUGACUUGUUUUGUUUAUGAGUUUUGGGAUCACUAUGUGAUAAAAGGUGUUUACUGGUGUGUCUUGUUGGUACCUCACGAGCGUAAGCUCACCCUCGUUACUUUAUUUUUCUUACAGGGAUAUGAAUAAUUUUUGGGAGACUAUAUUGUUUUGGCGCAUGAGUUGAGCUAGUUUUCAUAUAGUUUGAAUAUAUUCUUUUGUAAAGCUCCUCAAUGGUUGGGAAAACCCUAAAUGUACUUUGAUCUAAAAAUCUUCCUUUUGAUUUGUAAAUUACAAACGUAUGUGUAUAACACUGUUAAACCCUGUUCAUGUAUCCUAUUUGGUUUGGAAAUGUUUCUCCGAGGUGUAUGGUGAUAUCUACAUUCGAUUGGAUUCUGGUUGGAUAGUGACGUGGCAGUCACUAUUCAUUUGCGAUUUCAAUUUUCAUUUCCCAUUUUGCGGUUUUAAAUCGCUUGAGCGUGCUAAUAUUUUCCAGAACAUUUUAGAUUAUAUAUGACCGUCUUAGUAGUCCUGGCGAAAGUUGGGCAGGCAGUCCGCUAACCCCUUUAGUACGCCCUAGGGGAAGGUGGGGCUGUCACAAAGAGAACGAGCUAUUAUUCGCGAAUCUUCUAGUGAAGAAGAAGUCGAGAGGAUACCAUCUCCAGUGCCCCAACAAAGGAGAUCGUGAAGAGACACAUCUAGGCGACCACCUCCUCCGAACUAUGAUGUCGAGUGCUUCAUUUCCAAAGAUAAUCAAGAUUGGUUCGAUUAGUGCGAGCACAUGGAGUUCAUAUAUGAAAUGCACAUAGCUCCAGACAUUGUGCCAUCUAUCGAAUUACGAAGGCUUUUGACCUAUUGGGAUGGGCGCCUAUUCUUACUCUUUCUCACCAUAUAUACCCAGAUUUGGUCCGAGAAUUCUAUGCUAAUAUUGACAACAAAAAGGGUGAAAAGAUUAGAUCUUUUGCUCAGGGAAGGCAGUUGACCAUUAAUAGAGCCAAAAUUGGUCGAAUUCUGGAGUGCAAUAAUCAAAGACCAGUCAUUGAUUUAAAGAAGGGAUUUAAAUCGCCAAAUAAGUAUUGGGACCCUUCACAUGCCAUGACAAGAUUUGAUCUACAAUACCAACUAUUUCGUUUAUCUAAGAAAGAGACUAUUCUCGCACGCGUGUUCAAUUAUCGACACCGUCUCAUUAUUUAUGUUAUAGCGCAUAAUGUGAUUCCUAAGAAAAGUCAACAAGGAGAGGUUUGACAUAGCAAUAUUUACUUCUUGGAUUACAUGUUCCAAAACUAGGAGUUUCCUUAUGCUCGCAUUCCACUUCUGAACAUAAUCAUUAGCAACAUAAGGACGGUCGUCCAAAGGAGUGCGACUUCCUAUCAAUUGGGGUUUUCAUGUCUCCUAUCCUUACUUUUCGAAAGGAAAGGCGUCAAUUUGGAGGGUAUCCCGCAAGCUCCGAUGCCAUCUAUGGACAAGUUAAAUGUUGCUAUUCUUUCUGACAUGGGCGUUCCGACAGAUAAUUUGUCUCGCCUAGGGAGAGAUAGAUCAAGACAAGUUGGUUACACUGAGUAAGGUGAAACAAUUCCCUCUACUUCUGCCGGACCAUCUACUUCCAUUCCACCACCGCCAUCUCUACCUCCACAACGUUCCAACUGGCAGUGACUCUUCGACAUUCUAGGGUGUCAUCAGACUCAAGUCGUUGAGCCACUUGAUCGAAUCAAUACUCGCCUAGAUUCCUAUGAUGUUAGGAUGCGUCGAAUGAAGGAUCAUUUAGGCAUCACUCCUCAACCUCACACUAGUCUUGGAGAUAGUGAUGAUGGUCAAGGAUCCGCUAGUGCAGAAGGCACUAGGCCGGCAUCUUGAGCUGCCAUUUUACGUUGCUUCUAUGAUCUUUUAGCUUUUCUUUUCUUUUCUUUUCUUAUAUAGGUGACCUUAACUUUUUUCUUUUGCAUUUGAUCUUUUCGACGGUGUUAGUAGAUAGUUGUAUCUUUUGGUAAAGGUUCGUGAAUCAUGGUUGAUCUGGAUCUCAGCCACUGCACUGGAGAGUACUUUUUUCUAUCUUUGUUGUUUUUCCUUUCCCACAUAUUAAGGACAAUGUGUAUUUUCAGUGUGGGGAAGGAAAUGGGUGGUACUUGUGAUAUUUGUGCUUCUAUUGACAUCAACUUGAUGAUGGAAUAUAAAUUGCACUUAAAUGUUGUAAAUCUUGGGUUUGCUGACAGGGAGUUCCGUCUAAUUUUAAGGGAAAAUUCUGCAAAAUUUUGUUCAAAAUCUUGUCCAAAUUUGCAAAUUUACCCCAAAAGGUUUAAAAAAUUUUUUGAUUAUAUCCAAGGGCAACAAGUUCCAUACCAUUAGUAACUCAAAUUUCUUCUCCUUUUGAGAUAAAUGUAUGUGAUUUAAAUACUUCUUUUCUCAUUUAAGUUGGAAAUGACUAUUAUGUGAUUAUAAUUUGUGUAUUUAUGGGAACGUACAACUUGCAAAGUGGAGAAAAUUAUACCUACAUUUUCCAAGUUUAGUGAAAUUUCUUCUCUUUACUUAAUUUUAUAAGUGAUACUUAUGGUCAAUAAUUGAAAUACUCUUCUCAUGAUUAUUUUUUUGAGGGAAUGUUAUUAUCUUUAUUUUGAAAAAAAUAAAAAAAAAGAAGAAAGAAAAAGAAAAAAUAAUAAGAGUUGUUCUACUCCAAUGGUUCUUAUACUUAGUAAUCGGGAGUUUUUAUUUACAAAUAUCGACUUUCCCGUAAAACGGUACUAGAAUCAAGAGUAUGUAAGGCAAUUUGAGUAUGUGAAGUAUUGAGUAACCGGCGAUUUCAUCUAAAAAUGUCGAUUUUCACAUCAAAAGGCACUUUCACAACUUGAGUAAUAUCUAUAUAUGUGAUAUGAAUAAAUUCCUCUUUAAAUUGAAUAAGAAGAUGAUCAUGGUUUUAGAAAGCGUUUUUAUUGACCUUAUGAGUUACUUAUUUGUAAAAUUGGGUAAGGAUGAGAAAAUGACUUGAACUAAUUACAAUUAUGGUAUAAUUAGCUCUCCUUUACUUGAUAUUAUGAUUACUUGAGUUUAGUUGAGUGAUUGAAUAAUGACCAUUUACAUUGUUUUGAGGAAAUGAAGUUGAAUUGUGCACAUGUGCUUAUUUUUUAAGUUUUAGAUUAUUGUUGGUUUGUAUUUAUUAUUGCUUAAGGACAAACAAUGGUUCAAGUGUAAGGGAGUUUGAUAAGUAUGUAUUUUACAUGUUUUUAGUGUAUUUUAUUAAUUAGUUUUGGUGUGCUUUAAUUAUUUUUAUAGUUAAUUAGUUAGAGUGUAAAGUGUGCAUUUUGUGGUUAAAGUGUAAAAAUUGCAUUUCCAUGGAUUUUAAUGGUAAAAACUUUAUGUUUUGUAGGUUUAAGGAUUUAAUGAUCAAAUGGCAUGAAUUAAAAAGAUAAUUGGAUGAUUGAUGAUGAUUUAAAGUGGUUUUAAAGAGAAUAUGAAGUGCAAGAAAAGAAAUGCAAUUUAGUAUACAAGAAGAGAUUUUUCCAACUUUGACACCUUGUGAUAUUUUAGUUAUAUCUUGAGUUACAAGCAUGGAUUGAGGUGAUUCUUGUAUCAUUUUGAAUAAGAGAUGAAUCUACAUUUGGUAUGAAGAUAUAGAAAUCCAGUGUAGUCGUUUCCUAGUAAAAAAGUCAAAAUACAAAAGUGCAUUUUUAUGGUUGAAAGCUGAAACAGAGUUCUGAUCAAUUCAGGUAUUUUGGUAAUUUUUUGGUCUACAGAGCUCCAAAUUAGAUGAUUCUUGAGGCAUUGGAAAGCUAACUCAAAGAGCUAUAACUUUUAUGUUUUGUACGAGAGUUAGUUCAGCCUCCAUCAUCAAGAAAAUAUCCGCAAAAAUAGAGCAAAGUUGAAAUCCGCCCAGAAUGAGCAAACCUGCAAAAAGACCAAAAUGGGAGGUCAAAACGCGAGCUAGCAGUUUUCUUGCUGGCAUUUUAGUGGAUUUUGGCUGCAGUUUGCUCUGCAACUUGUGCUCUUUCUACACAAUCUUUUUGACCACUUUUUCUGCAAAGUUUUCGGCUAGAAAUGAUCAGAUGAGUAUGAAAACUUUGAGAAACAACCUUUGAGAGUUUCAAGAGUAAACAAUGCAACUAGAAACAACUCAUUUUGGCUCUUGAAUCCUUUAUAAAUAGAGGCCUUUGGGGAACAUUUUGAAAACUUGGGAAGGCUAGAGUAACCCACAAAAAUUGUAGUCUUCACUAAAAUUUCCUUAGUUUAUUAGUUAGGGUAAUAUAGUAUAGUUAGUAUAGUUUAUCUUUCUUGUAUUUAUAGUUAGAUUUGGAUGAAGAUUUGAAGAGCAAAGAUGGAGAGUUUUAAACUCAUGUGACAAGGGUGACUUCUCUUCUAUCACAGUCGCUUUUGUAAUUGAAUUCGUGUUUAGCUAUAAUACAAAUUUGGUGUUUAUCUUCAUAUUUAAUUAAAGUUUAUGCCUAGAGUUAUGGAUGAAUUUUCUAUAUUUUAUUAGUGAUAUUUACUUGGUUAUUUGAUAAUAUUAUUUUGAACAAGUUAUUCAACACUUUUGCUUAUGUAAUCAUGAUUAAUCGCCUGUUAAUUAUGAUAAUUUUAAAGUAUUAAGUUUGCAAUGAAAAUUAAAAUUUAACACUAUCUCAAAGAAGUGAUAAACCUAGGGAGUACAAUCAUGAAAGUAGAGGUGUACCUUUGUGGUUUUUGUGACUCGUUUCAUGUAAUUUCAUAGAAGGAAUGAACUUGUAAUCAGUUUUAUGACCGCGAAAGCAGGUAUGAAUUAACUAUAGGUAUAGUUAGUAUACCCGCGAAAGCGGGUAUCAUAUAUAUUAAGAAAUUACGUCAUAACUAAUCCAGGUAAUAGUAUUCACUUAAUCGGUAAUGUUAUUUGCAUGAGUAGUAAGAAAUUUCAUAUCUCUAAGAGGUUUCUAUUGUUAUUUUUAUUAUUUUUUCUUAGGUUUAUAGUAUAAGUUUAAUAUCUAGUACUUGUGAUAGUCUAAAUAAUGAAGAAAUUCAAAAAAUAUCGGUAAUUGGCAUUCUUCCUUGUGGGUUCAGCCCUUAAUACCCGAUACUCAAUUACAACUCGUACACUUGGGAAAAAUCAUGUAUGAGAUAUUUAGGAUUUUAUAAAUAUAAAACGUGAUUGUGAAUUGAUCUAAUUAUUAUAUGUAUACCCCGUGCUCGUCAUUGAGUCAAUACAAGAGUGGAUGAACACACACUAUAAUAUCCUACAUUAAAACUAGAAAAGAAGGAAGGGAGAGUUAUAUUUGAGAAUUUGUGUCUUGUCUCAAAGGGCAAGACACAACCCUUUUUGUCUUUUUUCGUUGCUCCAAGGUUCUUUCUCUCUCUAAAACUAACUAAAAACUAAAACUCCCCUUCUAAGACUAAAGGCUCCUCUAUUUAUAAUCUCAAGUCCCUUUGAAUCUUUCACAAAAAGUUUGGUUUGGUCUUAAAGAGUCAAGGUUGUGAAAUGGAAUGACACAAAGUUGAAAAUGUUAAUGUCUUGGACUCAAAAAGUUGCUACCAAAAUGUCAUGGAUGCUGCAAGAAAGAAGGAUGAAAAGAUGUUUGCAAGUUGUGCAAGUUACGCAAUUUACAGAGUUUUUCCGAUCAAGUUUAUGGCACGGUAUCUGAAACGAAUUUUACUAUCUGGCACCGUAUACUACUAAACACUCUUCUUCAAAAACCUCACUGAUGAGUAUUUGGUGCGAUUAUAUGGUUUCACUUCUUCAAUCCGACGUCAUAUACUGCUCAACACCCUUUCUCUUGCAAAACCUUCUAACGGGUAUCAGAUUUGGUAUUUGACUAGAAAUUCACUAUCUGAUCCCGUAUACUCUCAUCCAGUCCAAUGAUGACUUUUUGUAAAAAAUCCGGUAUUGUCCUUGCUCAUUCAUCUCUACUAAAAAUGACAAACUUUAACAAGUAAAAGGAAUGAAUUCACAAGUCUUCUCAAAGUUACUCAAGGACAUCAAAUAUUGUCAAAAUGGUCAUUCACAUUGUCUUAGGAGUUCAAAUUUAGCUAUAAAUAAACUAAAAUAUACACAAACUAUUAGGUAAAAUAGACACUUGUCACACCCCCCACACUUGAAUCAUUGCUUGUCCUCAAGCAAUGCAUAAAAGUUCAAAAUCAAUGAUUCUGAAGAGUGAAGUAUCAUACAAUGGAAACUUAUGUGUAAAGAUAUAAAAAAGAUGAUUACUAUGUAAGGUUUGGAUCCCAAUUCUAGUAUUCCAUAAGAUCAAGCAAAAGAAAGUUUAUUAUAGCAACAUAUGAUCAAAUCCAAUACCAUUUAUCAUUCCUAAUCUAAUCAUGUUUGCCAUGCAACUAGUAUAAUUAACCAAUGUAAGAACUAAAUUUAUAACCACCCCGUAGAACUUAUACAAACAUGGACAAGAAAUUAGGAAAACUUUCACACUUUAAUCACAUAUUUUUUUCAUUCUUUUUUUUUCAUCAAACUUUACUCGAAUAGUGAUCUUGUCUUUUGAUGUGAAGACAAACAUUGGUAAAUGUAUGUCCCUGGUUACUCGAUCAAAUCACAAACUCUCAUUGCUUUAUGUACUCUUAAUUCUAACACCAUUUUAUACAAAUAUUGACAUUUGUAGCUGCCAAUCCUUGGUUACUAAGUGUUUUGAAUUAUUGGAGUAGAUACAUAUGCGAUCAAUAAUCAUAAUAAUUUCAUUUUCUUCUUUUGUGAAAGCAAAAACACAUUACUUGAUCCUUGCAAAAACUAGAACUAAGGAGAAAAUCAUAAGAAAAGUUUCAUAUUCAUCAAUCAUACCAAUCACACAAUUUACAUAAACAAAUCAAGGACAGUACAUUUAAUGAACUUAAGGAAAUCUCAAUAUGAUAAACUCCACUUUAGAAGACAUUAAGUUUCCUAAAAAUGAAAAUUCUUCACCUACAUAACAACAAUCUCAAAGCACUUUACACAUAAUCUCGUAUCAAUAAGCACGACACAACCAUCAAUACUAUUGGUACUAAAGUUUUUGAAAAAAUUUUGUCAGAGUUUUUCCUUAUAUUUGGGCCAUUCUCUCUGCCAACAAUCCCAAAAUUCAAUAUUUCAAACAUACCAAUAUCACCAAAUACCAAAUUUUUUAACAAAUAUAUCAAUUUUCACAUGAAUACCAAGGGAUGCAUUCAAUUUCAACCAACCUUACCCCCACACUUAAUUUACACAUUGUCCUCAUUGUGAAAAGGUAAAAAGAAAGAAAAGAAAUACUCCCCUAAUAUAGUAGGUGAUUUGUCGUUGUUGGAUGUCAUUGAUUUCCAAAUUUCAAUGGGAUAUGCUCAUUUUACUUUUAUUCUUCAAAUCUACAAGAUGAAAAUAAACACGCUAAAAGACAAAAAAUUUAACAAAUCGUUGGGUUGCCUCCCAACAAGCACUUAUUUAUAGUCAUUAGUUUGACUAUUUUGCCUCAUUGUCAAGGAGGCUUUAUCAAAGAGUAAUUCACCAACUCAAGUUGUGAUGGAUCUACAAAUGGUGAUUCUUUAUAUGAACCACAUAUCCAAAAGAUAAGAGAGUAAGAAGGGAUUUACCUGUUCCAAGUGUUUUAUAGAUAUCACUUUGUUCAUACAUCACUUGAGAACUUAUCAAAAGAUAUAUCGCAGGAAUUACUUGUGCAAUCUUGUCUUUGGAACCUGUAGGCACUAAAUAUUCCUCAAGAGGGGUAACAAAUGCAUCAUUCAAAAUUACCUCUUGAAUUUCAAAAUUAGCUCCAAAAACAUUAUCAUAAGAGAUAGAAGUAAUAUCAUAAUCAUGUUCUAAACACAAGUCACUCCUACAUGCAAUACCUAUACCAUUAUUUCUAGAAAUAAAUUGUAUAAAAUUAGAUGAAACAAUUUCACACAAUUCAUGUAAUUGGUCAUAUAUUCUACCAAAGUGUAAAGUCAAUUCUUCUAUUCUAUUCUCAAUCUUAGCAAAACAGUCGAAUAUCACAUCAGCUAGCUUUUCUAUAUCUAAAUCCACUUUAUUAACAAAUCUUUCAAUAGCUCACUCCCAAAGUGGUUUAGAUCCAAAGGCUACUUUUUUUAUGACUUGAUCAGAGUUGCUUAUUAGCCUUUCUAUAGCUAACUCCCAUGAUGAUUUUGAAUCAUAUUGGGUAGGUUGGGAUUAAAAAUCAUAAAAAUUUAAAGUAUCACUAGAAGUACAAUGAUCAUACCAACCAUAAUCAUGCAUAUUACCCUAAUUAGGAUCAUGGUGAUCAAUAUAAGAAGUACAGUGCUCAAGUCCCUCAAAGUAAUUUACAUGUUAUACUUGCGUAUAUUGAUAAUCAACAUGAUAACCUCCACACAAGACACAAACCAUAUAUUUAGAAUUCGAAACAUUAACAUUCCUAUAUUGUUUAAUCAAGUGCAUCGAAUUGUUCAAUUUAGCAUUUAACCUCUGCAUGCCAUCAUCAAGGGACAUAUCUGCAAGACUUUCUUGAAUUCCUCUAUUGUUAUAGUCUUGAAAGUACGGAGGAUAGAUUUCCUCUCUUCCUCCCCUCAAGCAUUAUUCUCCAAAAGGAUCUACCUUUUCCAUUUCCUAAAAAUGCUUUCAAAUACUUCAAAAGCAAGAUUAGGCAAGAAAGAUAGAUACUAGUGUCACACUCAACAAAAAUAAAACAUAACAUAACAAAAUAAAAUAUACGCACACGAACACAUGUAGACACCAAAAUUUCAAUUCUAUUUAAUUCCAUUUAAUUUAAUUUUUAGUUAAUCAAAGUUCGCAAAAAGAUAGUUAGUUAGUUUUUUUUUGAAUUAGGUUCAUCUUCUUUUAAAAAAUAAUCAACAAAACAAACACUUUUUGCAUUAAAUUUCAGAAAAAAAGUCUCACAAAAAUUUGUUUUUAAUCUUUUCAAAAUUAAUUGCCUCAAAAUAAAUGAAAAUUUGCAAGGCAAUCUCAAAUAGGAGUUUAACAUUUUGUUUACCCUAAAUUUGUUUUGAAAAAUAAAAUAAAAAGAAAAAUAGGUGGAAGACAUGCAUGGUAGCUAACUGAGUUAGGUGAGCAUUAGACAUGUGUCUUUGUCUUUUUGCACAACACAUGCCAAAGGCUAGAUGGCAAGACAGGUGUAGAGUUUGGGAAAAUCUGGAAAAAGGAAGAAACAAGAAGGGAGGCUUGGGGGCAGAGAAGAAAAGGAGAGAAAAGAGAGAGACCGCGAGGGAAAGGAGAACAGGAAAAACAAGAAAGAAAGAAAGAGAAAGAGGGCUUUGGGGAAGGAAGAAAAGAAGGAGAAAGAAGGAAAAACCAAGGGAAGAAAGGAGAAACGGGGAAAGAGAAAAAAAAAGAAACAAGAAGGGAGGCUUGGGGGCAGAGAAGAAAAAAAGAGAAAAGAAAAGAGAGACUGCAGGGGAGAGGAGAAAAGGAAAAACAAGAAAGAAAGGAAGAAAAAGAGGGUUUCAGAAACGAAGGAGAAAAGGAAGAGGAAGAGGAAAACAGGAAAGGAGAAGAGAAAGAAAGGAGGAGGGGGAAAUCUGGGGAAGAUCAGAGGGAAAAAAUAGGAAGAAAAACAAGAGGAAAAAAAAAAGAAAAAAAGAAACGGGGGAAGAAAAAAAGAAGAAAAGGAAAAAGGGAGCUGCGGAAAAAAGAGGAAAGAAAAAGGGAGAAACAAGAGCAGAGGAGGAGGAGAGAAUCUGAGGAGAGUAAGAGAGGGAGAGAGAGAGGUAGUUGCUGAAGAAAGAAAAACAGCAAAAGAGAGGAAAAGGGAAAACCAAUAAAAAGAAAAAAUUUCUGCAGCAGUUUUCUUGAGAACAGGCUGGUUUCUGAGUCACAUUUGGACCCAUUUAUCGCCGUUCUAGUUGCUUGAUACGAGCAGCUUUUGGUUUCUACACAAAUUAGGAAGUUAGGGGAGCAAGUCUUGUUUAGAAAUGGUUUGCAAAAAACACCUGGAAAGCCAUUGAAUCGAAGCCCCAAUUCACGGACUUGUCCCUGCUGCACCCCCACUAUGACGAAAUUUGCUUGACUUCAUCUCACGAACCAGCUGGCAUUUUAAGGAGCAUUUUGCGUUGUCAAACCUCACAAACAUUUCCAGAUAUUCAUGGCCUUUAUUUGUUCUGGUCUGACGCAUUUUUGUAAAGAUUAAAGCCCAUCUUGUGUGCGAAUUCAUGAACCUUUUGCUGGGGUUCAACGAUUUUUGUUCCUUUGCUUUGCCAUGUUUGAUCUUUAUGAUUCUCGGGUUGUCAUUCUCCUUUAUGUUUGUGGAUCUUGGGCGUUGAGUUUGAGAAUUAAAAAAGCAUAAGUUGCAUAAUUUCGCUGGUCUACACUUGAGGAACCCAUGAAGUUGCAUAAGAAAGAAACCAGCGAGGAAGAAGAAAGCUUUUCGAACCAUUUGCAUGGUUUUUUUUCCAAAAAUUGUAUUUUGCCACCUCAAGUUUUAAUUAAAUUCAUUAUGGCCCAUAAAUUGAAAAAUCAAUCAAUUUUAUCCUUUUAAAAUGUUAACUUUCUUUGGCAUGUUUUAAUGUGAUUUUUGGACAGAUUAUUCACAAGUUUUAGGAGGGAAGGUGAGGUUUAAUAAUUUUGAUAGAAUUAUUAUUUUGUUUGGAUUUUAACAAAAAGGUUUAGAGAUUUGGGUAAUAUUUUACUUUGGGUUUAGCAAGUGGGUGUUGGUUUAUUUUUGUGAAUUUUAUCAUUGGGUUUGGUAGGCUUUAUUUUUCUUUAUUUUAGAGCCCUUAAUUUUAUUUUUCUUUAUUUUUCUUAAAGUUUGACCUCUAAUAUUUGUAAUAAUAAUAAUUUGACCUAAAACCUUCAUAAUUGUUUCAAUUAGGUCCAUGCUUGUUUAAAAUUCUUGAAUAUAGGUCGUUUACUUUCGUUUAAAUGCUUUAAUUGUUCAAUUUCAUGAUUAUCUCCAUUGCUUUUCAUAUUAUUGCUUUUAUUUGGUACAUUGACUAUUUUUGUUGAUUUUUGGAACUUUAAAUAGGGUAAAUCCAAUUCUUUAUUGGCUACUAUUUCAAGGGAGGUAUCUUCUUGUGUUAUUUUAAAUCCUUCUAUGUGCUCUUAUGUGUUUUAUGUGUGUAAUUGCAUGCUUUUUGAAUGAUUUUUCUUUUGGGUUAUUUGCUUUAUUUGUUUCAUAUAUUUAAUUUGAUUUUGAUGAUUAUUUGAGAAGCAAUUAAAUGCCAAAUUGUAAUAGUUAGGGUAUUAUUUUAUUCUUAUCCCCUUUAGAUUGUAGUUAGGGCCCCAAAUGUAAUGGUUAGGUUUCUAUUUGUUUUUAUUUGCUUGAGUGCUUGCAUACUUGUGUGUUUACUUGUUUACUCGCUUUCUUAGGGUCGUUGCAUCUAGAUAUCAUGCUUAUGUACUAUGUGCUAUAUGUGAUUUAUGUGUUACUUGCUUUUAUUAUGUUUUAUAUGAUUUAUUUGAUUAUAAUAAAUGCAUGAUGUCACCACAUUAGUCCAAUACUAGUUGUGGUCCUUUUUUUUCGAUUUCUCACUAGUCCAAUACUAGUGAGAACUUAUAAACAUGGGUUAUUUCAACGCUAGACCCUUAGGAACCGUUCACGUACUAGAUCAUGUUUGUGUGACAAAUCACUACAUUUCAUGCAUAUUUUCUACUUUUAGAAUCCUUACCAUUUUGCAUGAUAUUUUUCCUAUAUAUAUCCCUACCCCUAUAUGCGAAAUAUGACAUUUAGACUUUUAUUCUAUUUACGGAAAUUAGGAGUAGAUUAGUGUAUUUCUUGAUUAAAUUAGGAAAAUCGCCCUUCAAAUAUGGGAAAUAGACGAGUAUGGUUUUAUGGCCUUAGCACGCUCGUAUCUCCUCUAUAAAAAGGAAAAUCUAGUCACGAAUCUUAGUUUCCCCGCACCCAUUAUGAUGCAUUCCUUUAGAUCAUGUAUAUUUGUAUAUUAUUAUUUUCUUUUCUUCGAGUCUUAUAUUUUGCACAUCUGUGACCUCCUCAAAGUGUCACUCUUGGGCAUCACAAUUAAUGUGAUUCGUGUGAGAACCAGUAAAAUUUCUUUAUUUUAUAUUAUUUUAUUUUAUUUCUUCGCGUGUAUUUUCUUUACUUUACUUUAUUAUAGUUAUUUUUCAGAGAUUUUUAUAAGGGAGUUUAGUUUUUAAAUCAUUUUCCUAGUAUAAGAUAGUUCAUGUUAAGUGUGAAGUGUAUUAUGGGCGUGGGACCCGCUAGUGCGUUAAGUGCGAUAAAUUUUUUAUGAUUAGGUGAAGUUUACAUAAAGGGAUAUUAUGUUAUAAGGUGCUAGAGGAUAAUUAGAGGGUAGUUAUAUGGUGUACCAUUGGGGAGAAAAGAAGAUAAGAUUAAACAUUUUACUAAAUAAAAAAAAAUUGACCAAAUGCAUCUCGUUUUCUUCAUGCUUUGGCCGAACCUCUUAAAGGAAAAAAAACAAGAGAAAACUUUCAACCUGAACUUCAUUUUCUUGCUCAAUCUUGAGUUUCAACCGUUAAAAUUUCAAACUACUCCAUAGAAGUUGCUCUCUAAAGGAUAUUAAAGGUAUUAGUGGAGUGAUUUUGGAGGGAAAGGCACAAAGCUACUAUCUUUCUUGUGGUUCUAAGGUAUCUUGCCAUAGUUUGAAAUAGUUUUAUGGUGAAAAUUCUGGUCACAUGUGAUGCUUGAGGGUUGUUCAUGUUUUGAUAGCUUUGCUAUAUGAAUUAUUGAGGUAUUAUGUGCUAGAUGGACUUGCCUAAAGAAAUUCCCAGCUUGGGUGCAAAAAUUCCAGCUUUAGGGUUUCUAAUUUGAGCUACCAUUUGACUGUAUUUGAAGGUUAUUGUAACCCUAAUUAGGUGUGUUCAAUAGCUUGUGAUUUAUAUGAGAAAUUGUGGCUGAAAUGAGAUAAGAUUGGGUGUUGAUGUUAGGUUGGAAAAGUAAAGAAAAACAAGGGAAGUGCUGCUGAAAUUUUUUGCGGAAACCCUUGAGCAGUUUUGGGAAAUUUGUUAUAUCUUAUUGUAGAAAUAUCGGAAUUAAGUUCCAUUUUUUUGAGUUUUAAACUAAAUUCAUAGAGUUAUAAACCGUGAAAAUUUCAGACCCUGGUUCUAUCUGUACGAUUUAUGGUGAUUUUUCAAAAUUGACUGAAAUUGCAAACCUGUUCUGUCAUUUACUGGAUAAAACAGCAAUUUUAGGCUCGAAUUUGACUGACUUUUGAUCUGAAUCUUAUAAAUGUGUCUUUUGAGAAAUUGUACCGUUUUGAGUCUAUUUUCCGAUGGUAUAAAUUUUAUCAAUUUUGGACUUAAGAAUCUUGAGAUAUCAUUUUUCAAAUGGUGGUGCGCAAAACUAGAAAAUCCUAUUUUACUAAAAUUGUCCUUACUCUCAUUUUCCACCUUAAGUUUGGAGUUAGUAAAUCAUUGUAGGUAUGGUUUUGUAGCCUGUUUCUGGAAAAUCUUUGGGUAUUGGAGACUCUGGAUUUCCGGUAUACUCGAGUAUUACCACUUCUAUUUCUGAAUGUUUUGCGGGCCCGAAAAGGGGUAUGUUUGGUGGACGGAAUUUGGUGUAAAGCGGUGCUCUACUGAACUGGUUCCUUUAUUUGAAAGUUGACGGAGUGUCAACUACUGUUUGAUCAAGCUCUAGUAAAGCAAAAAGGGGAAUUUGGCUCUUGAGAGCCACCUGUAUCCUUUCUAUUUGAAAUCUUUGUUUACUACCUUAUCUGGCGGGUAUAUUUGACUACGUGUACUUCUGGUACCUCAUUGAGCGUAAGCUCACCCCGUUCCCGUUACUUUGUUUUCCUUACAAGAAUAGUACUAUGAAAAUCAUGAUUUUUGGAAAGAAAAAUUGAGGUUGUAGAUGUAUAUGAUUUUGUUAAGCUCUUUUGUAACAAAACCCUAGUCGUAUUUCGUAUAUGUAUGAAGAAUGAGUACUAUGGCUUGUAUUUCGGGUUAUUUUGUUGAAGCUCAGAUGUAUAUAUGUAUUUAAGUGCUUAAUCAUGUAUAUUAAGUGUAUUUGUUGAGAUGAUACGUUAUUAUGGCUCUGGUGAACGUUUCUUGUAUCCAUUGGGGAAAUCGAGCGAGCGCGGAACUUGAAAGAGGAAGAAAAGUAUUUUGGUGGGGAACCUGUUCACCGAAUCUGAUCGUAUAUCCAGCCAGUUCUUGGCCAGAUAGUUGGCCGGAUUGGCAGGGGAGAUUGAAAAAUUUUGGUUUCGCCACUGCCUCGAAUUCGGCCAGUAAUCCGGCUGGAAAUCUGCCCAAAUCUUGGCCAGAUUGUGACAUGGCAGCGGCACUUUCAUUUUGUUUUCGAUUUUCAUUGGAGCAUCAUAUCAAAGUUUUAUUGCAUCGCUUAGUUUAGUUAAUUUGGUUUCUGAGAGUUCGCGUUCUCGAAGUCUUUUUGUGUGUUUUGUAGGGUUUAUGUAUGUUCCGGAUCCGUAGUCCCGGUGAGAGUUGGGCAGGCGGUCCGCCGAACCCUGUGGUUUGCCUUAGGGGGAGGUGGGGCUGUCACAAUUCGCACCAAUUAAACAUUGAAGAGAUAUUUUGACCCUCCCAAUAUACAUUAGGUCUAGGUUUGCAUCAAUAUAAUAACAUCCAAAUGUGAUAAGUUUUUAGAUUAAAUUAAGAAAAUUGUCGACUAAAUGAUGCAUUUAGUCUUGGCUAGCUUGAAAGGGUGUCUUGGAUUUUAUCCUUGCAUUCCUUUUCAUCAACCGUGACUCCCGAACUCUUUUCUCUUAUUUUUUGAAGGCUUAGGAGUCGUUUAAAAGGGCUUUACCUAUUUUUUAAAAUACGUUUUUAGGUGACUUGGUACAUCUUAACUCAAUACCAAGUGGCCACUCUUAUUUUUCUUAAAAAACCCUUUUUAAACUAUUAUUUUGGGCCAAAAUCGUCACACUUUUGAAGUCCCAUUUUAGGGCAUUAUUCUUUAUUUAUUCUCUAAAAAUCAAAAACUCAUUUUCACUCACAAUUAAUCAAAAAAUUUAUUUUUAUAUAACUCGUAAUUUUAAUUUUUUCAAAAAAUGGGGAGCGACAACUUGACGACUCCACUGGGGACUUAGACAGUCCGAGCAUUUGAUUGAGUCAAUCCUUUUUUUUCUAACCUUUUUAUAUAUCACAUUUAGAGGUUUUAGGUUGCAUUUUUCCUUUUAGGGUUUCUUACAUUUAAUACGCGCAAUCGUCUCAAUAUUCGUGUAUGUGAUGAGUAAUGGGUUUUAUUUUCUUUCAUUCAUUUAUGUUUAUCACGCUUGCAUCUUGGGGGGGGGGGGAAUAGCCACCCUAGAACCUUCAUCCACAUGCGAUGGUAUGUAAUUCCUCCCUUCAAAAGGAGCACUUCAUACAUACAUACGUUUUACUUUGUAACCCCUCACUUCUUUUUACUUUUAGUGGUUGUCACACCACUCUUCAUUAUUAGGAUUAGGAACGAUCCACUUGGACAUGUGGCCGUGGCACGACGUGCACGUAGCAAUGUCCGAGGGAUCAUUCGAACCAUCGACUCUUAGGCCUUGAGAUUGAUGUACCCUUCACCUUUGGUUUGAAGGUUUGGAGACCUGAAAUUUUAUCGAGUCUAAAUGCAUUAGUGAGCCCAACCUCAUGCAUCCAUAUUAGAAAAUCGCUUAGGAUAGAGUCAACCUUACCCGAAUAGGAAUACUAGGCACGAGGGGAGGGAUUACACCGUCUUUCUUUAAUUGUCUUCUAUUUUUCAUAUUAUUUUUGUUUGUUCCAAUGUGUUAUGUGUCAUAUAUCAAUUGAAGUAACCUUUCUUUGUUCUAUUGCAUUCAUAAGCCUUAGAAAUAAGAGUUCUGGCAUGAUACUCUUUUAGAACCUACCUGCUUAGAUAGGUUAUUGCACGUUUAAAUUCGAAUGUAUUGCAUUCGUAGGUAAUAAUUGCACAUCAUUUUAGACUCAUCCUGGCUUAUGAAGGGUCCCUUAGGUCAUGUUUUCAUUUCAAAUUGCAUAUUUAAUCGUUUUGAUAAAUUGGCAGCAUGCAUAAACUUUAGAGGGAAUGUCAUUUAGGGAAUCCCACAUUAGGAAUAAGCCACCUUGUGUCUCGGAUAUGUAAUCUAAAGAGAUUUGCACGUCUAUAUUUCUUCUACCGUCCAAAGGGGUAGUGCACGAGGUAAGGUAGGAUCUGAUCUUUUCCAUGAUAAUAGAGCAACUUUUGCACAUUAGAAUACGAGCAUCUAACAAUCAUCUUUUGGUCAUUUUAUCAGAAUUGGUAAAAAUCCCUUGCGGAAAGGACAUUAAGUUGAAGAAAUUCACAAAUAAUUCUUCAUUGUUGAGACGAUAAAUAUAUCGAGGCCAAAUCUUGAUUUUAGAAAACUCAUAAACUAAUGCAUUGUAACGAAAUUCGUGCAAUUUGAAAACCACAAAUGGGUUGACAAUCUAGUCAAUUUUCAAAUAAUCCAUUUUACCAGUUUAUUCACUUUUAGGGCAAUCUAGUCAAUUUUCAAAUAAAACGUCAAUUCCAUCCAAUCCAUUUUACUAGUUUAUUAGCUUUUAGGGUAAUCCAGUUAAUUUUCAAAUAAGUCGUCAAUUCCAUCCAGUCUAUUUUAUUAGUUUACUCACUUUUAGGGCAAUCUAGUCAAUUGUCAAAUAAACCAUCAAUUCCAUCCAUUCUAUUUUAUGAGUUUAUUUGCUUCUAUGAAGAUCGAGUCAACUUUUUGGAUACACCAUCCACUCUAUCCGAUCUAUUUAAUCAAUUCAUUUUUAGGAUAAUUUAGUCAAUUUUUUGAAUAAAUCAUCAAUCCCAUCCAAUCCAUUCGACCAAUUUUUUUCACUUUUGGAAUAAAUCAUCAAUUUCAUCCAAUUCAUUUGAUCAAGUUAUCCAUUUUUUAAGGCAAUACAGUUAAUUUUUUGAAUAAACCAUCAAUUUCAUCAGAUUCAUUUAAUCAAUUUAUUCUCUUAUAAGGUUUCGAUCUAUAGUUUACUGAAAAUCUAGUCGAGAUAUUGCAAUCCUUUCAAAGGUAGGUUCUUUCACACUAAAUUGAUUUUUUAACAUCACUUUAUGUGUCAAUCAAAAUAAUCAAUUAAUUCGGAUUUUUUCCUCAUUUUGUUAGGACAAAUGUCUCAUAUCAUUUCAAUUAACCAAAUUUUUCAAGUGAUUCUUCAGUCGAAUAUAAAUAAAUUGAUUGGAUCCAUCAGAUAUUGUAUGGUACCUAUCCCAGAGGAUUGCAUUUUUCAUAUUAGGCCUACCCUUGGCAUAAAAGGGUUCCCCUAUAGGACAUGCAUACCGAUUUUACAGUUUUGCUUCCUAACUCUGGGUAUUUUUCUUUUAUUUUUUCCCCUCCCCUACAUUUAUAAAGGAUAUUUCAAUAAAGUAAAAAUAUUUUUUCUAUAUCAGAUAACAAUUUUGGUUUGAUAACUUUUGAAAAAUAACAAGUAUUACUUGAUUUUUGGGCAGAUCCUACAAUGUAAAAACAUGAAAAAUCCAUUUAAAAGCGCUAGGCUAAAGCAUCCAAGAGACUUCAUAAUUGUUUGUCAAAAGAAAAAAAAAAUCCUGCUUGUUUGGUUUGUUAAUACAUUUUGUUCAAAAAGAAAAAGGAGACAAAAAGAGUGUACAUGUGAAAGUGGGGCUCUUUAGAGAUUUUUCUUUCCUCAUUUGUAUUAUAGUUGAACAAGAAAUUUUGUUUCAAACAUUUCCAGCAAUAAAGUUUUUCAUUUAGACAAUUAUUGUUUUGUAUAUAAUCAUGUAUAUUUCAUUCUUUAUUUGCUCAUUGGGAGAUUUCAUGAUGAAUUUUAAGAAAUAAGACUAAGUUGAGAUUUUUCAUCCUCUUGUCUAAAAAUUCAUAAGUGUAUGUUUUCUAAAAUCUUUGCAUACACUAGAUUGGUGAUCCAAACUAUUCAAUAAGAGCACUCGAAAUCAAAAGAAGUCACUCAAAUAUGAGGGUUUGUCUCAAAAAACCAACUAGAUACCUUUUUACCUUUCAUUCUUCAUAUUUUCCCCACUUUUAUUAACCCUCCCAAAAAUCAGUCACAUUGAUUGACAAAUUACAAAUUGGGGCAAUCUUUGCUUGAAAAAUGCCCACUGUGUCUAACCAAGUUCAAUCCACAUCUAAGUCAAAGUAAAAAUGUACAUUACUCUUAUUUGUUUUGAUAAAUUGGAAUGAUACUUUAGACGUUCGUUUCUCUAUUUAUACAGAUUUUGUCAUUUGCCCCCCCCCCAUUCGAGCCUUUAAAGGAAUAGUUUAAUUUCAAGAGCCUUAAUGAUCACUACCCUACAUUGAAAAAUUUUUCAAAUAUCAAAAGGGAAUGGAUUCUCAAUGAACUAUUCUUUCCUUUGGUUGUCAUGAGGCGUAAGAAUGAUGCUUUGGCCAUCGUUUUUAUAAUCUAAAUACUAUUUGUCCCUUGCAUCUUCAUUUGAACUAAAAUGGGUGGUUCUUUUCAAAAGCAUUUAUGAUCGCACCCCACAUUGAGGAAAGAGAUUGGAAAAAUUUUCAAAAAGAAAAAAGCAAAACUGCUAAAAGUAAAAAGAAAAAAGGGAACUACAAGUUGGGAAAAUUUGAUUCUAGCAUUAAUAUUUGGGCUCCAAUUUUGAAAAAAAAAAAAGAAGAGAGGGGGCAUCUAUAAUAUUAAAAUUUAGGGGAUUCUCAAUUCUAUCAUUUUUGGUAUUUCGGUAUUGAAAAAAAAAAAGAGAAGAAGAAAAAGAAAAAGGAAAAUAUGAAAAAAAAAAGAGUAAAGAAAAUGAAAAGAGAACUGCAAAGACAUCUAGUGAUUGACGAUAAAGUCAAAAUGGAGUCCAGGGUUUUUGAAUACAAAACUAGGGCAAUUUUUUGGGAAUGAAUGCGAUCUUAAGUGCAUUGGUCUUGAAAAUCUUAUUUCUUUAACUAUUGUAUUCAAGCCAUAUUACAAGUUUAUAAAGUUCAUCGCUGACUUAUCUUCCAUGACAAUUCGAAAUAAAGAUCAUGUCUCUAAGGGAUUUACCAAUCACUCGUGAUCAUAAGGUCAUAACUUGUUUCUACAUUUUAGCUAUCGUUUCUACCCAUAUAUUACAAGCUUAUAGAGCUUAUAUGUUGACUGAAUUUUCUCAAGAAAUAAGGGUGAUAAACUAUUUGCUUUCAUUAAAAUGUGAUAUUGAAUGGGCUAGACAUAAUCUGGGCAUAAAAACAAGGCAGAUCAUGAAAUACCAUUUUAGCCAUCUCAAAAUCAGAAAUAACACCCACUUGAUUAAUCCUGAAAGAUGAGCUAACAAAAAGUGGUGACCCAUUACCCUCAACACCGAUUAUAUAGCGAGGGAGGAAUUUGUUUACAAUUUGAUCUUGUUUUGAAAGAUUCACAAUGAAGUCCUCUAUAUGAGUUUAAAUACAACAUUUAAAUUUUUUCAUUUGAAAAAUGCAAUUUCUAUUCACAUUGCAUGUCAGUAUGUGAUCAUUUUCUAAAUUCUAGGAAACACAUUUUUCUUGUUUUGUCCAAAUAAAUGGAGAGUCAUUCGAAUGAAAUUUUAUAAUUUAAAUGGGCCCAAACUGGAGCAAAGUUUUUAAUUUGUGAGAUUUCGCUCAAUAAGUCCAAAUUUGGGCAGUAACUUUUAUGAUACAUCUGUGAGAUUUCGCCCAAUAGGUUCAAAUUGGGGCAAAUUUUUUGUAACAAAUUUGUGGGAUUUCGCCCAAGAGUCAAUUAACACACCUUCUAAUCUAUUGUUCAGAAUUUGACAUCACUACUUUUCAUAAUAAAGCAAAAUAUUUUGCGAAAAAUUCAAGUGCAUGUUAAACCCCCCUCUAUGUAGGUGUUAUGACUGAAAUUGAUGAAAAAGCGCAAGUCAGAAUCUUGCAAACUUGAAGACCAAUUUUAUAGUAGGCUUGGAUUUUAUCCCACUGACCAACUUUUCGGCGGACUCGGGUUUCAUCCCACUGACCAAUUUUAUGGCAGGCUCGGGUUUUAUUGGCAAGCUCGGUUUUUAUCCCACUGACCCACUGGCCAAUUUCAUGGCAAACUCGAAUUUUAUCCCACUGACCCACUGACCAAUUUCAUGGCAGGCUCGGGUUUUAUCCCACUGAUCAAUUUUCGGUAAGUUCGGAUUUUAUCCCACUAACCAAUUUUACGGCAGGUUUAGGUUUUAUCCCAUUGACCUUUAUACAUUUGCUUGUUUCGGUUCGCAACAGAAUAAUUACAAGUAAAUAUUUGGUAUCUACGUCUUUGUUUCAAAUAUCUUCGAAACUCAGACAAAUAAGGGCAAGCUGUAGACACCAAAAUUUCAAUUCUAUUUAAUUCCAUUUUAAUUUUAAUUUAAUUUAAUUUAAUUUUAUUUUUAGUUAAUCAAAGUUCGCAAAAUGAUAGUUAGUUUUUUUUUUGAAUUAGGUUCAUCUCCUUUCAAAAAAUAAUCAACAAAACAAACACUUUUUGCAUUAAAUUUUCGGAAAAAAAAGUCUCACAAAAUUUGUUUUUAAUCUUUUCAAAUUUAAUUUUUUCUAAAUAAAUAAAAAUUUGCAAGGCAAUCUCAAAUAGGAGUUUAACAUUUUGUUUACCUUAAAUUUGUUUUGAAAAACAAAAUAAAAAGAAAAAUAGCUGGAAGGCAUGUAUGGUAGCUAAGUGGGUUAGGUGAGUAUUAGACAUGUGUUUUUGUCUUUUUGCACAACACAUGCCAAAGGCUGGUGGCAAACAGGUGUAGAGUUUGGGAAAAUCUAGAAAGCAGAGAAGAAAAAGAGUGAAAACAAAAGAGAGACCGCGGGGGAGAGGAGAAAAGGAAAAACAAGAAAGAAAGAAAGAGAAAGAGGGCUUCGAAGAAGGAAGAAAAGAAGGAGAAAGAAGGAAAAACCAAGGGAAGAAAGGAGAAACGGGGAAAGAGACAAAAAAAGAAACAAGAAGGGAGGCUUGGGGGCAGAGAAGAAAAAGAGAGAAAAGAAAAGAGAGAGUGCGGUGGAGAGGAGAAAAGGAAAAACAAGAAAGAAAGGAAGAAAAAGAAGGUUUCAGGAACGAAGGAGAAAAGGUAGAGGAAGAGGAAAAAAGGAAAGGAGAAGAGAAAGAAAAGAGGAGGAGGAAAUCUGGGGAAGAUCAGAGGGGAAAAAUAGGAAGAAAAACAAGAGAAAAAAGAAAGAAAAGAGAGAAACGGGGGAAGAAAAAAAGAAGAAAAGGAAAAAGGGAGCUGCGGAAAAAAGAGGAAAGAGAAAGGGAGAAAAAAGAGCAGAGGAGGAGGAGAGAAUCUGAGGUGAGUAAGAGAGGGAGAGAGGGGUGGUUGCUGAAGAAAGAAAAAACAGCAAAAGAGCAGAAAAGGGAAAACCAAUAAAAAGAAAAAAUUUCUGCGGAAGUUUUCAUUAGAACAGGCUGGUUUCUGAGUCAUAUUUGGACCCAAUUAUCUCCUUCCUGGUUGCUUGAUUCGAGCAGAUUUUGGUUUCUGUACAAAUUAGGAAGUCAAGGGAGCAAGUCAUGUUUAAAAAUGGUUUGCUGAAAACACCUGGAAAGCUUUUGAAUCAAAGCCCCAAGUCACGAAUUUGUCCCUGCUGCACCCCCAGUGUGACGAAAUUUGCUUGACUUCAUCUCACGAACCAGCCAGCAUUCUAAGGAGCAUUUUGCGUUGUCAAACCUCACAAACAUUUCCAGUUAUUCAUGGCCUUUAUUUGUUCUGGUCUAAUGCAUUUUUUUAAAGAUUAAAGCCCAUCUUGUGUGCGAAUUGGUGAACCUUUUGCUGGGGUUCAAUGAUUUUUGUUCCUUUGCUUUGCCAUAUUUGAUCUUUAUGAUUCUCUGGUUGUCAUUCUCCUUUAUGUUUGUGGAUCUUCGACAUUGAGUUUGAGAAAUAAAAAAGCAUAAGUUGCAUAAUUUCGUUGGCUUGAAAUUUAUUUCGUUGGCCUACACUUGAGGAACCCAUGAAGUUGCAUAAGAAAGAAACCAGCGAGGAAGAAGAAAGCUUUUCGAACCAUUUGCACGGUUUUUUCCAAAAAUUGCAUUUUGCCCCCUCAAGUUUUAAUUAAUUUCAUUAUGGCUCAAAAAUUGGAAAAUCAAUCACAUUUUGUCCUUUUAAAAUGUUAUCUUUCUUUGGCAUGUUUUAAUGUGAUUUUUGGACAGAUUAUUCAUAAGUUUUAGGAGGGAAUUUGAGGUUUAAUAAUUUUGAUAGAUUUAUUAUUUUGUUUGGAUUUUAACAAAAAAGUUUAGAGAUUUGGGUAAUAUUUUAUUUUGGGUUUAGCAAGUGGGUGUUCGUUUACUUUUGUGAACUUUAUCAUUGGGUUUGGUAGGCUUUAUUUAAAGCCCUUAAUUUUAUUUUUCUUUAAUUUUGACCUCUAACAUUUGUAAUAAUAAUAAUUUGACCCCCUAAAACCUUCAUAAUUGUUUCAAUUAGGUCCCUGCUUGCUUUAAAUUAUUGAAUAUAGGUCGUUUACUUUCGUUUAAAUGCUUUACUUGUUCAAUUUCAUGAUUAUCUCUAUUGCUUUACAUAUUAUUGCUUUUAUUUGGUACAUUGACUAUUUUUGUUGAUUUUUGGAACUUUAAAUAGGGUAAAUCCAAUUCCUUAUUAGCUACUACUUCAAGUGAGGUAUCUUCUUGUGUUAUUUUAAAUUCCUCUAUGUGCUCUUAUGUAUUUUAUGUGUGUAAUUGCGUGCUUUUUGAAUGAUUUUUCUUUUUGGUUAUUCGCUUUAUUUGUUUCAUAUAUUUAAUUUGAUUUUGAUGAUUAUUUGAAAAGCAAUUAAAUGCCAAAUUGUAAUAGUUAGGGUAUUAUUUUAUUCUUAUCCCUUUUAGAUUGUAGUUAGGGCCUCAAGUGUAAUAUUUAGGUCUCUAUUUGUUUUUAUUUGCUUGAGUGCUUGCAUGCUUGUGUGUUUACAUGUUUACGGGUCGUUGCAUCUAGAUAUCAUGCUUAUGUGCUGUGUGCUAUAUGUGAUUUAUGUCUAACUUGCUUUUAUUAUAUUUUAUAUGAUUUAUUUGAUUAUAAUAAAUGUAUAACGUCACCACACUAGUCCAAUGCUAGUUGUGGCCCUUUUUUCCGAUUUGUCGCUAGUCCAACGCUAGUGAUAACUUAUAAACAUGGGCUAGUCCAACGCUAGAUCUUUAAGAGCCGUCCACGCUCUAGAUCAUGUUUGUGUGACAAAUCACUAUAUUUCAUGCAUAUUUUCUACUUUUCGGAUCCUUACCAUUUUGCAUGAUAUUUCUCCUAUAUAUAUCUCCUACCCCUAUGUGCGAAAUAUAACAUUGAGACUUUCAUUCCAUUUAUGGAAAUUAGGAGUAGAUUAGUGUAUUUGUUUAAUUAAAUUAGGGAAAUCACUCUUCAAAUAUGGGAAAUAGACGAAUAUGGCUUCAUGGCCUUAGCACGUUCGUAUCUCCUCUAUAAAAAGGAAUAUCUAGUCACGAAUUUGGUUUCCCUACACCCGUUAUGAUGCAUUCGUUUAGGUCAUGUAUAUUUGUGUAUUAUUAUUUUCUUUUCUUUGAGUUUCAUAUUUUGCAUAUUCGUGACCUCUUCAAAGAGUCACUAUUGGGUAUCACAAUUAAUGUGAUUUGCACCAAUUAAAUUUUGAAGAGAUAUUUCGACCCUCCCAGUAUACAUUAGGUCUUGGUUUGCAUCCAUAUAGUAACAUCCAAAUGUGAUAAGUUUUUAGGUUAAAUAAAGAAAAUUGUCGACUGAAUCACGCAACCAGUCUUGACUAGGUUGAAAUGAUGGUUUAGAUUUUAUUCUUGCCUUCCCUUUCUUCAACCGUGACUCCCGAAUUUUUUUCUCUUAUUUUUCGAAGACUUAGGAAUCGUUUAAUAAGGGUUUUACCUAUUUUUUAAAAUACAUUUUUAGGUGACUUGGUACACCUUAACUCAAUACCAAGUGGCGACUCCUAUUUUUCUUUAAAAAGCACUUUUCAAACUAUUGUUUUGGGCUAAAAUCGUCGCACUUUUUAAGUCCCAUUUUAGGUCCUUUUUCUUUAUUUAUUCUCUAAAAAUUAAAAACUCGUUUUCACUCGCAAUUAAUCAAAAAAUUCAUUUUUAUAUAACUCGUAAUUUUAAUUUUUUCAAAAAAUGGGGCAUGACAACUCACCAACACGCAAAUAAAAAAAAGGACCAAAAUAACACAAGAAAUCAAGUGAAAAUGUUUAAACUAAUAGAGUCACUCUUUACUUCGAUAUUGCCGCAAACGUUCCCCAACAAUGGCGGUAAAAACUUGACGUGUGUGGGAUAUGCAUACAACAAUAAAACUCAAUCUACAGUUAAAUUUUAAAUUUAUAAUCUCCUACACUACGCCACACAUGAUUUUUCGAAAGUAUAUAGGUCGUGGGCGAAUAUAGGGUAAUUAGGCUUGAACCCACAGGAAAGACAGACAACUACCGGCACUACUAAAGUUUCUCACUACCAAUACAUUAGAACCAACAAAUCUAAACUACUAAUGGGAAGAAAAUACAAAUGAAAACUUUCGAGUAAUGGAAUCUCUAUCUACUCAUGUUAGUGCAACUUCUCGACUAAUUGAGUACUAAAAUCUUGGUUAAGUCAUGAUCUAAUUUCCUUAUGUAUGUGAUAGCCACUUUCGCCGGUGUACCAACUAUACCUAUAGUUAAUUCAUACCUACUUUCGUGGCUAUGAAAUCAACCAUAAACUUAUUUACUUUUAUGAAAUUACUACAAAACAAGCAAUAAAAGUGCACCUCUAAUUUCAUAAGUGUACUCUCUAUGUUUAACACUUUCAUGAACUAGUUUCAAAUUUCAAUUUUUAUUGCAAAUCUAACACCUUGAGAUUAUUACAACCAAUGGCCAGUUAAUCAUGAUUUUGUGAACAAAAGUGCUAAAUAACUCAAUCAAGACAAUAGUCCAAAAUAAUCAAGAAAUCAACACAUAGCAAUCAUAGAUAGUUCAACCAAAUACCCAAGGCAUAAACUUUAAAACAACAUUACAAACAUAAUAUCCAAAACUUAUAUUAACAAAACUUAGAUUCCAAUGCAAAGAUAAAGAGGUGGAGAGAAGAAAAACCCUUGUCACUAAAGCUUCUUGAGCCUUUCCAUCUUCAUCUCCAUCGGCCUCCUUGUUGAGCUACUAUAAGAGUGGAUGAAUACACACUACAGUAUUGUACACUAGAACAAGAAAAGAAAGAAAGGAGGGCUACAUUUGCUAAGGAUUUGUGUCUUGCCUCAGAAGGCAAGACGCAACCCCUUUUGUCUUUUUUCUUUACUCCAAGACUCUUUCUCUCUCUAAAGCUAACUAAAAAUUAAAACUCCCCGUCUAAGACUAAAGGCUCAUCUAUUUAUAAUCUUCAAGUCCCCUUGAGUCUUCGACAAGAAGUUUGGUUUGGUCUUGAAAAGUCAAGAUUGUGAAAUGGAAUAACAUAAAGUUGACAAAAGUUGAUGUCUUGGAUCCAAAAAGUUAUUGCCAAAACAUCAUGGAUGUUGCAAGAAAGAAAGAUGAAAAGAUGUCUGCAAGUUGUGCAAGUUGCGCAAUUUGCAGAUUUUUUCCGCUCAAGUAUACGACAUGGUAUCCGAAACGAAUUUUACUAUUAAUUUGGCGGCCUAUAUUGCUAAACACUCUUCUUUGAAAAACUCACUGACGAGUAUCUGGUGCGAUUAUCUAUUUUCACUUCUUCAAUCCAACAUUGUAUAUUGCUCAACACCCUUUCUCUUGUAAAACCUUCUAAUGGGUAUCCGAUUUGGUAUCUGACUUGAAAUUCACUAUUUGAUCCCGUAUACUCUCAUCCAAUUCGAUGAUGACUUUUUGUAAAUGGCCCCAUAUUGUCCUUGUUCAUUCAUCCUUACCAAAAAUGACAAACUUUAACAAGUAAUAUGAAUUCACAAGUCUUCUCAAAGUCACUCAAGGACAUUAAAUAUUGUCAAAAUGGUCAUUCACAUUGUCUUAAGAGUUCAAAAUUAGCUAUAAAUAAACUAAAUUAUACACAAACUAUUAGGAAAAAUAGACACUUCUCAACAGAUAUAGUGAUUGAUGAGUGCGGUGUGUGCAUAUAACAAUUAGCUCAAUCCACAAUUAAAUUUCAAAUUUAUAAAAUCAUAAACACCUCAUACGCGAUUUUCAACAAGUAUACAAGUUGUGAUUGAAUAUAGGGUACUAAGAAUCGAACCUACAGGGAAGAAUGCACAAAUACCAGCACUACUAAAGGUUCCCUAUUAUUAUACGAUCAAAAAGUUGAAAAAAAAAAAAAAAAAAAAAGAUACAAUGUACAAGAAAAUAAAAAUGAAAACUCCUUAGAUCAUGGUAUCCCUAACUACCCAAACAAGUGCAAUUUUUUUGGAUCAUUGAGCAUUACUACCUCAUCUAGUUAUGACAUAAUUUAUUUAUGCAUGUGAAACAUACUCUCGUAGUAAAUCAGAUAUACCUGUACCUAAUCAACACCUACUCUCGUGAUUAUGAAAUUAGCUACAAGUUCAUUACCUCUAUGAAAUUACAUGAAAUAAAACACUAAAACUAUAAAGAUGUAUCUCUACUCUCGUGAGUGUACUUCCUAGGUUUAGUACUUCUUUGAAUUAGCGUUAAAUCCCAAGUUUCAUUGCUAACUUCACACUUAUGAUUAUCACAAUUAAUGACAAGUUAAUCAUGAUUAGAGGAGCAAAAGGGUUAAAUAACUAACUGAAAAUAAUAACAUCAACUAGUCAAAUAAUAAACACAAAACAAUCAUAGAAACUUCAACCAAAACCCAAGGUAUAAACUUUAGAAACAUUUAUUGAAAAUAAAAUCCAAAUUUAUAUAUUAACUAAACUUAAAAUCAAUUACAAAAGAUAAAGAGUUGGAAAGGUAUAGUAACCCUUAUCACAUGAACUCCUUCAUUGCCUUCUUCAAUCUCCAACUUCAUUUUCAUCUAGUUAAUACACAAGAAAGGAUGAAUUAGUUAAAACUAAACUAUCCUACAUUACCUAAACUAAAGAACUAAGAAACUAUCUAAGAACUAAAUUUUAGUGGUAUUUCUUCACCUCUCCAAGCUCUCCAAAAUGGAAGACACAAAAUCCAAUUUAUAGAGAUCUCUUUCCUCUUUGUGUCUUCCUUCAAGUGUGAACAUUGGCUUCAAAUGUCAAUAUUUUUUGCUCCAAACUAAAUCACAUUAUUAUAGAAGAAAUAAAGUUAAGAAUUGUUGCUCGAAUCUUCACUUUAAAGUUACAAAUCUUCUAUAAUGAGAUUUUACUAUGUACCAAAUUUUAAUAAAAGCUAAACAACCCGUUUUCUACAAGUGUACAAGUCAUUUAUCGAGUAUAGGGAUAUUAGAUGUCGAUCCCAAAGGAAAGAUUGUCAAUUACCGAUGGUUUCAAACUCCUUCAUUAUUUAGACUACUACAAAUGUAAGAAAUUAAAUCUACACUACAAACAUGAAAUAAAAGUGAUAAAAAUAAUAAUAGAAAUCCCUUAGAGCUAUGAAAUUCCUUACUACUCUUACAAGUGAAAUUAUCGGUUAAUUGAAUGUUAUUAUCUUGGCUAGUUAUGGUAUAAUUUUCUAAUGUAUGUGAAAUCUACUCUCGUAGCGAAUCAAUUACACUUGUAGUUAAACUAUAUUUACUCUCGUAGUUAUGAAACUAACUACUAGCAUAUUUUUUUCUAUGAAAUUACAUGGAACAAGCCACUAAAACCACAAAGAUGCAUCUCUACUCUCGUGAAUGUACUCCUUAGGUUUAACACUUCUUUGAACUAGUGUCAGAUUCUAACUCUCAUAGUAAACUUAACACUAACAUUAUCAUAAUUAAUGGCCAGUUAAUCAUAAUUAGAUAAGCAAAAGUGCUAAAUAACUUGCUCAAAUAAUAUCAUCAAAUAACCAAGUAAAUAUUACAAACAAAAAAUAGAAAGUUCAUCCAUAACUCUAAGUAUAAAUUUUAGCUAAACAUGACAGACAUGAAAACAAAAUCCAAACUUGUAUUAUAACCAAAUAUUAGAAUCAAUGCAAGAAAUAAAGUGAUAGGAGAAAUGUCACUCUUAUCACAUGAGUUCUAUGCUCUCCAUUGAUAGAGCGGUUAUUUGGCACAUUUUGCACUGUUAUUUUGUCCUAAUUUUGGUUACUUACUGUGCUAAGUAUUGAGGUUUAACUCAUAUUUCAUAUUUGUAUGAAUUAUAGAUAAUUGGCGUUAAAAGUAAUCCCUUGAGGCAAAUUUCCAGAAGACCUUUCAUCUCAGGGCGUGCCCACGCCAGAAAAGGUAGAUGUUACCGAAAAGCCGAAUCCGCAGGACCAACAACAGGAGACCCAAUUAAAAAAUCCGAUCUACGUGGACCAGAUGCGUGAGAUCAGAGCCCUUGGACAAAAAAGCCUUGUUCCUAAUGCUUUUCUCCUGCGGCGGCUAUAAAAGAAUACAAAAGCAGAUUCAUGUGGAGGACUACAUUAGCUUUAGUCUCCUGUUUGGAGAGAUCUGUCAGACGCUUUUUGCCCUUUUUCCUUUCUUCCCUACGGUAGCUUUAGUUUUUCUUUUCCCAGGCGCUAGACGUCCUUCCCCCUUUUUGAUUUUUAACUUUUCCGCUGGACAAUUUCUGCAUAGCCUUUCGCUUUGUAAUUGCGGCUCUAACACGAAGCCAGAGCCAGGUUUCUCUUUGUUGUUAUUUCGAGUAAUUCACUUUCCCUAAUUUCUCGGCAAUUAAUUUCUGGGCAAUUGUGUGGAUGAUAUCAAUCGAGUCACGCGAGAUUGACACGAUGAGGAGCGGCUAAUUUUCUCCUCUACCCAAAGGUUGACGCGAGGGCGCGGUCCAUAAUAUCUGUGAGAUCUAAUCGAAUCUUCAUUAUUUCUUCCAAUUUAUUGCUAUUCGUACGUUUCCUGAAUUAAUUGUUCAUGGGUAUUUUAUUAAUUGAAUAUCUACGGCCGGGUAUUUGAUUUAAUUUAAUAGCCUACUGUCACAUUAACUAAAUUGAAUCCGUAAUUGUUUGUUUAGUUGAUACCUAGUGGCGACCACCAUAAUUGGCUUUAUGUUGGGGAAACGUAAGAUCUAGCUUAAAUAAACCCUCUUAGCGUGUUUAUUGGUUAAGGUUGGGUUUUUCUAGUUUUAAUGCAAUUGGGUAAUUAAAUUCCUACGGUCGUAUUUAGGGUUGUUAUCUGGUUAGGGAAGCAGUCAAUGGUCGUACCUUGACUGUCGAAAAAGUAAGGAAGAACUGGUUGUCAGAGCUUAUUGAUAACUAUAACCAACCUAGUGACGAAUGGAUGAAAUAUUUUUGCAUCGAUUAUCAUUUAAUUGGACCGUGCCUGAGUAGUUGAGCCUUUGGGUAGAAUUUUAUUAAUUGUUUUUUUUAGGAAAUUGUACUUGUUGAGUUAGCUCUUGAAUUUUAUUUUUUUUAUUUUUAUUUUCAUCCCAUUAAUUAUCCCCCGAUUUCAUUCUAUUGAUUUGGAAAGAAAUAAUUUCCUACCCGCUCCCUGUGGAAUCGACCCUACUUGCCAUUGUAUGCAAAAUUAAUAUUUUUAUAGAUAAAUCUGGUAUAUCGGAUUGGACAAUGCUACAGUGCCUAUAGUUAUGGUAACGAUAUUAGAGAAACCUACUAUUACAGGUUUCUAUUACCUUUAGUGACAGAUCCAAUUUUUUAGCGACUUUUGAAAUAUUAUAUUAAAAUAAUUAAUAUUAAAUUUAGUAAGUUUUUAAUUAAAACAAGUAAAUUUAUGCCUGAAAGAUAAGUUUUUGUCAGAAAUAGAAAUUUACACUUUGAGUAAUUUAAUUUACUUAUUAUUUGACGAAAAUUACUUAUUUUUGAAUUAAACUUACCAAUACUACAAGUAAAAAAUGUUCAUAUUUAAGUAAAAAAAUUACCAGUUUCUAAAAACGGUUUUGGGUUCCUGAAACACUUUCGGAUAUCAUCUUGUCAAAGUCAUCUCCCUUCUUAUUACUUAGUUCUCAGUUCCAACAUACGAUUGAAGGCAAAGAUUUCCACUUUGGUCCACACUUUCUCUUGGUUACAAGCGAAUAAAUUUUCCCACUUCAAAUUUUCAUCUUCAGUUCCCACUUUCCCUCUAUCCUUUCUCAUCGAUAGAUUGUUUUUGGGUGCUGCCAAAUGCAGACACAACAAAAGGGUUUUUCGACGGUGGUAGCCAAUCAAAGAUAGCAGUGACGAGGUUAGCCCAUCAUGUCCUCUUGAAAUCGUUUGAUUAUAUUGCUGUAAUUUAUUUAUAUUUCAUUUGUUUUGUUUGUCAAGAUUUUCUUGCGAAAUCAAGGCUGAGAAUUUGAAGAUUUUAUUGCAAUUUUGGGGCUGAAAAUGUCCACUGAAACAUCUAGCCUUGAUUUGGUUGUAGUUUGGAUUGUCUACUGGUAAAACAUGCUUAAUAGCCAUAUGAAGCAUCUAGGACUUGACUAGGCGUUUAAGUUAAAUGUGAUUAAUUUGUGAAUGCAUAUAAGAUGUUUGGUGAAAUGUCAAAGAGAAAUCUGUGUGUUAUGAUUGCUACUCUGUGCUCUUCAGCAGCCAGAGAUGAGACCAGCUCUUAAAGAAAUCACCCUCGUCAGUUGACAACAGCGCUCAAGAUCACCCUUGGGAUUGGCUGAAAAUAGACCUACUUCUGUUGGAAACUAAAUAAUCAUAUUAGAGACAGUGAUUUCAUCUUCCUUGUACCUGCUUUCUUCCUCUUCUUCUUCUUCUGUUUUCCCCCCCUUUUGUCUUAUGGGUUUUUGUAGCUUUUCUUUUUUUUUUUUGUUGUUGGGUUUAAUCAGAUGUACAUAUUUAGAUGAGAAGCACUAAUACUCUCUUUCCAGUCUUGUUUGUGGUGAUGGGAUGAGUGCAGCUUCAUCAGUUUCUUAUAAUAUAACUUGAAAUUUUGCAGAGAGGGAAAAGAUAUUAAUAUACCUCCUUCAAUUUUGCAUAAAGGGAUGUUUUCCUAUCUUCCUUUUUUGCUUGAUUCUGCAUUUUUUGCCUUUUGAAUUUCUGGUGUUCCAAUAUAUAUAUAUAUAUAUAUAUUUUUUUUAAGCUUUAAGUUCUUGAAUCUAAGGUUGUGAAUUUGCUGCGUCCUGAUUCUUCCUCCAACCGACAAAACAGAGGUCCUUGCUGUUUUCUUUGAUUUUAAUUUUUUUGUCCUUUAUUGUUGUGGCUGUUUUGCAAAACGUGGAAGUUAAGGCCCCCUCAAGGGUGGGUUUGGCCGGUGCAAUUCAAUACUAAGAAAUGAAAAUCAGUAGAAAUGACUUGCAGACAAUGACUACCUAUUUCCUGGAAAACGGUUUUGUCCUUUUUCUCUAGAUAUUUUUUGAUCUUUCAUUUUGUAUUCCCACUUGAAAAAUGGAACACAUUAAUUGUUAGUUAUCAUAUUGUCUCUGGUUGGCUGGUGCUUAAAUUUUAAAAAUUAGAAGUCAUAAAUCAGACUUUGAUUUUUCUUUUCUAUUAAUUUUUGGUAUGUAUAAAAAUUACCGCAAUUAUUUUCUAUUAAAAUAUGCCUAAGUAUCCGUUGACAGCUUUGAUGAAUGAAUUCUGUACUUAUUUUCUAUUAAAAUAUGCAUAAGUAUCCGUUUGUAUAUCCUCUUUCCUUUCCUCUUGCUCUCAAUCCAGUGAUCAGUAAUGGGGUAGGUUGGUACUGAUUGAAAUAAUUUUCUCGCAAAAAGUCUUAAACCAGAAUUUUAAAAGGAAACCUAAGGUUUUGAUGUUGCAUUGGUCUUUCUUUUGUGUUUUAUACGCUCGAGUUGUUGAAGCCUCCCUCUUUCUAUCUCAGUCAAGCCAGCUUCUUUGCUCCUGCGUUGUAUGUUCUUGUUUCAGAAAGAGGGUUUAUCAGGUUGGGUAGUUUCGUCCACCCCUACAAAUUUAACAGAAGUAAUCCAACAUAUUAACAUUAGCAGCAUCAAAAAAUUUAAGAAAACUAUAUUUUAGUAAUUGUUGUCAUUGACACUUAAUUGAAGUUCAUUAAGAAUAAUUGAAAUAUGUAAAUAUCAAUACUCUAUUCAAAUGUAAAUAUUCAACCUAAGUAAAAAAAUAAAUGAUAGCUAAACAAACGAAAUAUGCGUUCAAUUGAUCGUGUUCAAACUACACAUUCUGUUAAUAGUUAGUAUAUAUGAAAUUGUAUUUUCCAUUUGUAGAAAAUUAAUAUGCAUUUUAUAUCUACUAACGAAUAUAUUACCUAUGUUUUGAACAAAUCAAACGAAAACUUAUGGUGUGAUAUGUAUAUAGUUGCUCACAUUUAUACGUAUGCCAUCAUCCUUUCUUUAUGCUGCAAAUUUCUUUUGAUUAUAUUUAGGGGUGGCAAUUAUAAAAUGUCGACCUGAAAAAAUGAUAUGAACCUAGCACAAAAUUAAUUGAUUCGGAUUGAGGUUUCGCGGGUUCGGGUCAGAAUCGAGUCGCAUGCAACGAACCCGAAAUGAAAAUGGGUCGAAUUCGGGUCAAACCAUGGGUGAUCCGAUAUGACCCGAUCACCUGUUUAUGAAUUAAAAAUUUUUUUACCUAACUAAACUACGUUAUUCUUUUUGUUUCAAAGGCAUUAAUCACUUAAUCCUAAAUGAAUUUAUUUAACUUAUUUGAAGUUGAAAUUAUUAUAUUUGGACAAAUAAUGUAUUAUAUUAUUUUUUACUUUUAUACUGCUUAUAUUUAUUUUAUAUUUGGUUUGGAACAAAACACUUUUACGAUAUUUUUAAUUUAUUUUAGAUUUGGUUUGGGAUUAUUUAUUUAAAUUUUUAUUACUUGAUUAUGUAAUUAGUCUUGUGUGAAUUACAAAUUACAGUGAUAAAUUAAUAAAUUAAAAUUAAGUUUUGGGUCAUUCGGGUCGUCCCGCCAACCUGACAACCUGGAAUUUUCAGAUUCGGGUCGGAUAUCCUGGCCCGUUUCGGGUUGGGGGAUCAAGUUCGGGUCAGCCAGUUUUCUAUUAUACCUGGGUCUCAACCCGACCCGUCACUCCGAUUUGGACCCGAUUGUCACCCCUAAUUAUAUUGUAAAAAAAAUAACAUAUUUUACAAAUUAUUCCAAUUUAUUUAGAAAAUGUUACUAAUUUCAUUAGAAAUUAUGAAAUGUAAUCAUGGUUUAUUAAUUUUUUACUAAAUAUAAAUACAACUUAUAUCAGGUAAAAAUAUUUGACUUUGUUUUACUUUGAUCAGAAAAACUUGUGGUAGAAAUAACGAAAUAGUGACAAGGGUGCAAAUUUCAAAUCAACAACCAACGUACACUUAAUUACGCUAAUUUUUUAGUUGACCAAACUAAUAUAUGCCAUAAAGUAACUAGAUUUUAGCAUUUAUAAAUUGGCCAUUUUAGCAGUUUAUAUACCAUUCACCUAUAAAAAAUAUGAUUAUUAUAAAAUGACAUUUUAUAAUAAUUUACAUACUAUUUGCCAAUUAAAAGUAAGUUUGAUAAAAAAUAUAUAUAUGCAUAUAAAUCCAUAUUGUAAAUGAUACAAAAUAUAUUUGAAUCUCACGAAACUUAAUCUAUGGGUAAAUUUACUAUAGUUUUCAAAGAUUAUGCCACAUUAGUACAAAUUUAACUUUUAUGCUUGUGACCUAGAAAAUAAAUUUAUUAGAACACAUAACCUUUGUAAAUGAUACAUACAUUUAUUAAAAUGCUUAAAACACAUAACAUUGAUGAAUGAUACAUACAACCAUAUAUUAUACAUUUACGUUACCAACAAUUACUAACUAUAAUAUUAAGUUUCAAUCCUUAACAAAAAAAUCUUAGCAUUAUUUUAAAUAAACUUUCUAAUACUUGUUUCAUAUAAGUUUUUUAAAGUAAAAUAUUAAAUUUAUGCCACAAACUAGUAAGUCUUGAUGAUUAACCAAAUUUACUAUUCUAUCAACAGGAUUUACUAUUAAUCCGUGAAAACUUACUAUUACUUGAACUAAACUUACUCUCCAAAAAGAAAGUUUCGAAUAUAGAGUAGUAAUUUAUUUUUUUUUAAAAGUAACUUUCAAUUUUAUUUCAUUUUACUUUUUAAGACAUAAAUAGGAUAACAAAUUUCGUUACCAUUUUCGAUUUAUUUUUUAUUUGCUUUUAGCGACCAUUUGAUUAUUUGAUCGGUCUAUCCACCUAAAUAGGAUAACACUUAAAAAUAAGAAAGUAAGUUUUCUAUCUAAAAUAAUAAGUUAACAGUAAAAAAUUAGUAACUUUUAUACUUCAAAAAGGUAAGUUGGAAUAAAUAUUAAACUUACUUUUUAAAUAGAUAAAUUACUACUUUAUUUCCCAAACUUACUUUUUAGAGAGUAAGCUUAAUUCAAGUAAUAGUAAGUUUUUAUACAUAAAUAUUAACUCUUGAUAAAGUAGUAGUAAGAUGAUAAAGUUUUAAUAAAUUUACAUCUGAGACACAAGAAAUAAUAAGAGUUAAAGCCUAAACAAAAUGAGAAAUAAUAUAAUAAUAAAAAUGACAAAAUUAGUAUAACAAUUAAUAUAAGAAAAUCAGUAUGAUCUUGAUUUUUUUCCUUGGGAGAUUGUUCAUAAGAAUAGGAUCCAAUAAUUAUAAAUGAAAAUCACAUGCAUGUAUAAUCUAUUGUAUAAUUUAAAUUAUAUUUAGUUCACCUAUAAAAUGGUCCUAAAAUAAUUAGUACACUAUGAUAAAUGUUAUUUUAACAACAAAAUUUUUUUUUACUAAAAGUCGGAAAUAUCCAUGACAUAUGUAUGAGGGAUAUUUUACCAUUUUUGUAUCUCACAUCCAAUCAUGAAAGUUAAUUUGAGAAAAACUAUUUUUGACAAUCGAAUUAUUUUGAAUUUAACCAACAAGUUGAGAUUUUUUAAACAAUAAAAGUGAAAUAUUUUGGGAACUUAGUUGUUUAUUUUCCCGUAAUAAAAAAUUUAAAAUAUGACAAAUUAUUCUUACAUAUUUUAUAAGGUCAUAUGCAAAAAAAAAAGUUUUCAUAGUAUAUUUAAAAUGCUUCGAACAUAUAACAUUUAUAAAUGAUACGUACAAUUGUAAGUUACUUUAAGUAAAAUAGUAAAUUUAUGCCACAAACUAUUAAGUUUUGAUGAUUAACCAAAUUUACUAAUCUAUCAACAAUAUUUACUAUUAAUCUAUAAAAACUUACUAUUACUUGAACUAAACUUACCCUCCAAAAACUAAGUUUCAGAUAUAGAGUAAUAUUUUAUUUCAUAAAAAACAAAGUUAGUUUCAUAUUUAUUCAAGUUUACUUUUUGAGACAUAAAAGUUACUAAUAUAUCGAGUUAACUUACUAUUCUUGAUGGAAAACUUACUAACCACCAUUUUAGGUACUAUUUCAUUUAGAUGACCAGUACAACAGGUCAUCAAAUGGUCGCUAAAAGUAUUUUUACCUGUUAUAUCAGGUAAAAAUAGUUUCGUUACCAUAACUAUCGUUACUUCAGACUUUUCCUGGAAAUGAAUAUGCUAUCGUUUGGGAAAAAAAAAAUAGCCUAGUCUUAGCUAUUAUUAGAGAAUUUGGGCUUGAUGAGAUGUAAUUCAUUAUUUGGUUUAUUACUUCUCCCAAUGCGAUUUUUUAAUUUUUUGGUGGGCAUCCAUCCCUUCAUUCCUGGGACAUUUUAGGCAGUGACAUUGCCACCGCUCUAAUUUUGAUGGCACAUAAGGCUUUUUAUUUAAAUGACAAAUUUGUCCUUAAGAGUCGAUAUUCGAAUUUGACAAGUUUUGCAUGGGACCCACACGCAUCAGCCCGUUCGGAGUCACCGCUUGUCAUCUCCCAUAUAAAAAUAAAAGAUUCGAAACAUGCCGUUUUAUUAGGGGCCAAAUAAGAUUGUUCAUAACUCACGGGGGUAAACUAUAAAUUAAUGUUUGAUUACGACUGAAUAUAAGGACAAUAUUGGUUGUUGAAACCUAUUGUCUAAUGGUUCAGUUCAAAGAGAAAAAAUAAAACAUAUUGUCUAAUAGUCAAACAUAAUUUUGAUUGACAGAAAGACAAAGUACUUCAAAAAUAACAUCAGAAGACAAAGUGCAAAUCUAUCCAAACAUCAAGGGAUUUAGUGCUAGUAACCCUUUCAAAUAAUAUGCUAUGCGAGAACGAUGAAUAGGAGAAAGCAUCUAAGUUACGUAACACAAGCAACCAUGAGGCUACGAUGAAUGGGAAAGAAAAGUACUCACUUGUGUAAAAAAAAUCAAGAAAAAAAAAUAAAGGAUACGAAAAACUCAUGAAUAAGAAAGGCAAAUACUUUUGCUUAACUAUAAUUCUAUCAAAUACCUCCCUUGAGGUAUACCAUUUAAAAAUUUCCUUUAGUCCUCUUGGGACUAAAAGGUUAGUUAAACAGAAAAUUUAACAAAUAUUUCCUCUGUCUCAAAUUGAGAGUCAUUUUUCAAAACUUUAACUUUUCAUCUAUAAUAGUAAAAGGUUGUUGUCGGGAUAUUCUUUUUCAACUUUUGUCUUUGCAUAAAGUUGUAUUUUGGUUAUUUGGAUUUGACAAAAUGAUGAUUGGGUCAUCCAAAUUAAAUGUUCCAAGAUAGAAACUUCAAACUACCUUCGGAUUAGUUGGAAUUACGCACCACUAUCCAUCAAAUAAUUUAGUGUUUAUUAUUAUGCGCGCACCAAGUUAUUGAUUGGAAAUAUCUUUGAUGGGUCCCGUGAAAAUUGUUUUUAUCUUUUUUAAGAUGUCAUUGAAGGAUAACUUUUGACAAAGUGAAAGAAAGAAGUAUAAUGUGGCUCAACUUUUGAGUUGACUGAAAAGGUGCAUUAUGAUAUUAAAGAUUGAAGGAAUAAAAUAAAAGACAAGAAUGAUGAUAGAAACAGACCAUUCUAUCAUCUUCCACAUCGGCUAGACUUUUUUUUUUAACGAUAACUGUUUAUCUUGCUUGUAUUUCUAUUUUAUGGAAGAGCUUAAAGAGGUUUAUGUAGAGAUUAGGAGGUGAAUAAUUACUGUGCUUUUUGAAUUUUCAAAGAGUAAUAAAUAUUGUUGUUCUUGUGUGAUGGAAUUCCGUCUAAAGAAUUUAAAAGGGACUCUCCUAAACUAUUAGAGCAAAGCCGAAUGGUUUUGAAAUAGGCUAGUUGCGAGGACGUGAUGUUUAUGGCAUUGGUCGAAUGACCAACUAUUAAAGUCAGUGAGAAAUCUGCACCCCACGUGUUAGACCCUGACAAAAUAACUGGAAUUCUGCGGGGCACAUGCUUCUAAUCGGAUAUAGGGCACAAACAAUCAUAAGAAGGAUUGUUCAAUAGCUGAAAUCCACCCCUAAUAUCUGAAAGACCCCACGCAUCUUUUCCAACAGAUUCCCCCUUUCCUUCUCAAAACUUAAUAUGUAUGCAAGUUUAUCUCUCUACUGAUUUUUUCCUUUUCUAGCUAGUGAGAGAUUCAUUUCAAAGUCACAAAUCAAAUCAAAAUUCCAUUUCAAAAAUUGAAAUUUUGAAAAAACCUGUUUGGCUCUAACAGAGUCUAUUAGGGUACAUAAUCGCUUUUUUUUUUUUUAUCAGCCAAACUAAUUGAAACGAGGUCAUUUUGGCUUUGCUGAUUCCUUGGCGAUGUGGCUAUUGCUAGAUCUCUUGUUUGGUGAUGCGAGAGGACUACUCCUGAACUGUUCUUCUAAUGAUCGUUUGUGCCUUGUAUCCCUUGUAAUUUGCGCUCUUGAUGACAGAUCCAUAAUGAAUUCAGUACCUAGCUAGUGUGGAAGCCAACUAAGAUUCAUAAAUUUAGUUGAAUAUUGUAGCCAUUAAAAAUUUUGGAGUCAUUUUCUUCAAAAAAAUAAAAAAGAUUUGCAGUCAUUAAGGAAUCUUGGACCCACAAAUUUGUCCAACUAGUUGAUUACGUCAUUGCAAACUUGUUGUAUAGAGUAGGGUUGCUGGCGAGUCAAACCGCUCGCAAGUAUUUCAUAAGAAGCUCAAUCAAAUGUUUGGCUCAAACUUGAUUUGAUCGAAUUCAAACUCAAUCUCGAGUAGCUAGAUACAUAUAUACGAAGUCGAGUUCGAGUCUCCAUUUGUGCUACACGAGUGCUCAUCGAGUAGCUUGAUUAUUAGUAUAUUAUUUCUAUUAUAUUUUUUUUUAAUUAUGAAAUGACUAAUGAGGGUUUAUGUUUUAAUUAACUUAUCGUAAGUGUUGUCUACUCAAUAAAAUUCAUGAAAGGCAAAAAUGUAAUAUUGUAAGAUCUAAAAAAAUGAGGAUUUUAGAUAAUUUACCAUAAAAUUUUAAAGUAUUUGUUUUCAAAAUUUUGAGUUUUAUUUCGAGCGCUGGUACUUGUUAAAGCUAGAGACUAGUCUCAGCCUUAACUAGUUGAGUUUGAGGUUGAAAAUGCAUAUUGUUGAGUUGAAUUGAGUUAUAUAAUUUUCUGCUUGCUCGAGUUGAGAUCGAGUUCAAGCAGGCUUGUGUAAUAUUGAAUUUGAGCUCAAGCAUAGCACUACUCAAUCUCGACUCGACUUGACUAGUUGAUACUCCUAGGAUAGAGGGCAGCUUGUCAACAAGCCUAGGGAAUGUCUUGUCCAGAACCGUCAGGUUGUAACUUUUGAAGAAAAAUUUUACAUUUUUCGUAAUCACAUUUUUUUAAUUUAGUUUUCUAUUUUACAUACAUGUAAUCAUUGGAAAAAUAUUUUUCUAUCAUUCGGUUUGCUAAUUAGAAAAGUUAUGACUAUGCAACUCUCUAUUUUUUUUGAGCAAAAUCUUACAAAUUUUGUGGGAACAAAAUGCAGAAGGUUUCAAAAGAAGUUAGACCCCAUUCUGAUUGCUAUUUUUUAGAAUUUUUAUAGAAAAAUUUACUGGUACAAUUUGAUGAUGUAUGCAAAAAAAAAAAGAUGAUUAAAAAAUAAAUUCACCAAAAAUAUAAAGGUUUUUGAAUUUGAAAAAUAACAUUUUAAACAAGGCCUAAUUAAAAAAAAAAACUUUAUAGCUUUCUUGCACGCCAGACACUUAGGGGUAGACGCAAGACAAGUACCCACUGCUCAAAUGUAAAUUCAUUUUCACAAGUGCCUAGCAAAUACUUGUUAGAUAAAUUGUUUUUGAAUUGGUUUACCAUGUCAGCACAAUAUUUUAGAGAAUAUACCAAUGUCUUCGUCAAGCUUUUCUAUGUCAAUUAUUUUUGUCGUUACUAAGAAAGGCCGAAAAGCCAUCACCUUGGUCGAAUACCCAGCUAUACUUAACCUUUUCCUAGUCAUUGAGAAAUAUGCCUUUUGCAUAGCGCUGCAAACGAAUCGAGCCGCUCGCGAGCGGGCUACAAACGAAUCGAGCCGCUCGCGAGCGGGCUACAAACGAAUCGAGCCGCUCGCGAGCGGUUCGAGUCAAGCUCGAGUCGAGCUCGAGCCGGCUCGAGCUCCAGCUCAGAAUAUUAAGCUCGUUAGCUCGCGAGCCUGGGGUAUAUAUAUAUAUUUUUUAUUUUUAUUUUUAUUUAAUAAUAAAAUUACGUAUAUUAUAAAUAUAUUUUUUUUAUUUUUUAUUUUCAUAGUAAAAUUACGUAUAUAUCCUUAAUAUUUUAUUAUUUAUUAAGAAAAAAAUAUUAUUUUAUUUAUUUUUGUUAAAAUAAAAUAAUUAUUUUUUAUUUUUUUUCGAGCUCGAACUCGGCUCGACUUGAUUCGAGUCGAGCUCGAGCUCGAAAUUUGCAGGCUCGUCGAGCUCGAGCUCGAGCUUGAGAUUGGUAAAAUUUAGUCGAGACUCGGCUCGAUUAGCUCAAAACUCGACUCGGUUCGACUCAUUUGCAGCCCUACUUUUGCACCCCACAUGUUGGACAAAAUUUGCAGUAAAUCUGCGUCCCACGUAUACGUAAUCUGCCUUCUUAUUUAUGGAUUCGUCUAUUGUACGCGACUCAGAAUAUCGAUAAAAAAAAUUCGAACAUUUAUCGGUCUGACAAGAGGUAACUAUAAAACUAUGUCAGCUCAGCAGUCAAAAAGCCCAAUUUUUUUUUUUUAAACUCUGACACUGUUGUCGGGCAGCAAACACAGCCCGGCAGCAGACAAAAAAAAAUUUUUUUUAAGGCCUGCCCAGCAGCCAAUCCAAUUUUAAAAAAAAAAAUUUCCAAACAAUGAAUCAGAGUUGCAACAGGUAUUUACUGCAUUACAACUGCUAAGGCAAGAGCAAGCUACAACAAGAAUAUCCCGACCAGGGGCGGAUUUAACUGGGGGCACAGGCCCCCACUGUCCCCCUUAAAUUUCUAUAAUACAUCUAUAAUUUUGACAUAAUUUUAAAAGUGUCUCCAGAAUUUUUUUUAGAAAAAAUAUGAAAGAAUGAAUCACAAAAUUUAUAUCAUUCACUUUUCUCCUCUAGUCCCCAUUUUCCUCCCAAAAGGGCUAAGUACCAAUUAUAUCGGUCAUUCCUUUUGGUCCCCACUCCCCAAGUUCCCUUUACUCUUGUGGUCCCCCAUUUCCCUUCACAACUGGCUCCUAUUCUUCCAUAUUCAAGCCAACUACUCUUUUUUUUAUCACUUUAUCCAAUUAUCAUUUACUUCCUUUGUCCCCACUCUCCAAUUUUCCUUUCCUUCUCUAGCUCUCGGUUGUCCCCACUCCCCAACAUACAUACGAGAGCCAUUUUUUCUUCCACAAUCAAAGCUUGUUACCCUUUCUGUUGAUCACUUCAUUCGAUUUAGAGAUUGCACCAGAAUCAAUUGAUCUUCUAGGACCUGGGUCUGCCACAUUUUGCAGCUCUUUUCAUCAACUUUAGGAGACCAUCAAAAUCAAGUUCUAAACAAUUACUUAUUAUUAUUAUUAUUUCUAAUUUGUUUGCAAAUAUAUUUCUAGAGCAUGAGGCUAUUACUGUUUUAAAGAAAUUUGAAAAUUGAUUAGUUAAUGCAAUAACUAAUAAAUGGGUUAUUUGAUAAAUAUUUUAACUUGUGAAAUGGUGAUUUUAUGCAUGAGACUUUUUUUUUUUUUGCUUAAAAAAAAUUAGAAAAAGAGUAGAUAAAAAAUUUUAAUGUUAUUUUUGCCUCCACUAAAAUUUUUUUCUGGCUCCGCCCCUGAUCCCAACCACAAUCCGGAACCAUCUCUCACCAGCAGACUUUAUGUGGUUUCUGAGAUUCAGCGCAACAAAGGUUGGAGACAUGAACCCCGCUACACCGGCAAUCACCCAUCUGACUAUCUGUGAUGGAAUAACAGAGAGACACUGCAAGCAGAAAUGAAUCAAUAAUUCAGCAGAAAAUCAUUUCAUCAAGAAACAUCAACAGAGGAAUCCGACAAUUUGAUGCACAAGGGGAGGUUGUCAUCCACAAGUAAAUGUGACUUUCUUUCAAAGAAAUUAAUGAUUGUAGGAAUUUAAUAAAUCCAGCCUCACUUAAGAAACACAGUGAAUUAUUAAAAGAUAUUUGACAAAAUCAUUGUUGGCCACGUUGAAAAUUGCGCAUACAUGAAAAAAUUCUGUAAUUUUAUGCUAAACAGUAUGUGCAUAAUUUAAAAGUCCUUCAGCAGCAUUAGAUAAUCAUAACCAGCCAAGUAGCAGCUUACCAGAGCAGGAAUGAAAACAAAUAGGGAGUAGCCAUAGAGACAAAACAGCUGGACAAGGCCAGAUGGGGCAGAGAAGUAUUUGAGAAUGUGAUACAAGCCAACAGGAACUAUCGUAGCCACAAGCCAGCAGACCAAGUCACCAAAUUGAUAUCGUAGUCCUAUUCCUUUUUCUGCAGCUUGUGUGACAAGUAUGUAACAAAUGUGCCAAUGGAAGCUGCUACAAAUAUUGAACUAGUGUAUAUCCAGAAUUGCCCGUACCUGCAACAAAUAUUAACAUAAAGCUAUGAAAAAAAUCACCUUUUUAUGAAGUAGAUGAUGGAAGCAACACUCCCCUUUUAUUCCUUAUGAUAUAAACAUGUAUUUAAGAUAAAAGGGUAGCUGGAAGUGUUCAAAAUACACAGUAUCUAAAGACAUUCCUUUCUUUCCAAAAGGGUGCAAAUAUCUAAAUUUGAUAUAUCUAAACAGAGCUAAUUCAGCUAUUUAAUCCAAAAACUAUAAUUCCUAGAAUCAGCACAACAAUCAUCGCAAAAUAGUAUGCUUAUAUGGACUGUUAAGAUGAACAGAUAAAGCACAAUGCAUCUUAAAAUAUCCUGCGAUCCUGUUUAAGAAAAAGAAAAGGAAUAGCAUGUGCUCUGGAAAUACACACCUUCUGUUUUCGCUUUGGAAAAAUUUUUUUUUUUAAAUUGGACUGCCGGCAGCCAGCAGACUUAUAAAAAAUAAAAAAAAAAAUUUGUCUGUUACCGGGCUAUGUGAGCCCGGCAGCAGUAUCAGAGUUUUUAAAAAAUUUUGGGCUUUUUGGCUGCUGGGCUGACGUAGUUUUGCAGUUACCUCUGUCAGACCGAUAAAUGUCCGACUUUUUUUUUUUUUUUUUUUGAUAUUCUGAGUAAUUAGCCAUGGUAGGCAUCCUCUACGGUUCCUAUCCUAGAUAAAGGAGCAUAGAGAAAUCAAAAGGCGACGGAUUAUGAAAAGUGUUAACGCAACUGGCUUAGUGGUCUGAACUAUACAAAGACCGAUGGCCAAGAUUCGCGCUCAUGGGGGAAACUAGUAGAUGACCAGGGUAAAGAAUUAUAAACAAAGAAAUGAGACAAAGAAUAAAAAAUAUGCAUUGGCAGCGGAGGAAGCAUCCGAGCAUGUAAAUGAAUGCACAAAAUAUAAGGUGUGGGUGUGAUACAAAAGAGAUAUAAGGUGUGGGUGUGAUACAAAAGAGUACCCAAGUGCAACUUGUUGGGAAUCUCUUUGCAGUUAUUGGCACAGUUAUUAAACCCAAUCCGAUAAGGAAUUCGGCAGUGGGAUUGGAUCAAUGGGUCACUGGUUAUUGGUUGAUCCGAUGAGUAUUAAUUUAAUAUUUAUAAAUAUAAAAUAGUAAUUUUAAUAAAUAAAAUAUAUAAUAAAGUGCUUUUAGAUACUAAUUAUUGUACUUAGAAAGAUAUAUAAUGAAUAUAUAUAGAUAUUAAUAGAAGAUUUAAUUUUAUUUUAUCAUACUUUUACAUAAAUAAAUAAUAUAGUCAAGUAUAAAGCAAAAUUAUAUCACUUGUUUUAAAAAAUAUAGCAUUAUUUUUCAUUCUUUUAUUUUUUUGUUUAAAAACAAAGUAAUUUUCUAACUACUCAAAUAUUGUCAGUUUGAAGUUAAAAUGAUUAAUUGUAUAAUGAAAAAAAUAAAAAAGUUUAUUAAAAAUUUUAGUUAUCAAAUAAAAAUUAAGCAAGUGGUAAAGUCUUGUGCACAUUUAAAUGAAGAUCCAUUGUACAAAUUUUGUCAAAAGUAUCUAUAUACUUUAUUUCGAAAACAAAGAUCUACAAUUGUAAAAUAAAAAAAGAAAAUGUAAAUCGGAUCAAUUGAAAAAUUAGGCAGGAUUCUGAUUGAAUCUCUAGCUCAAACGAAUUUUACUGAAUCAAUUCCUUGUCCGAUCAAAGUAGAGACCUGCCCGAAUCAUCAGGCUAAGCUAUUCAACUACCAUGCCGGGGAGGUUGAAUUUAAUAACUACAGUUACAAGAGAGGUUGACGGAGCAAUGAGCUCGAAGGUGAUGAAUGCAAUAUUAACAAAUAAAAGAAAAAUAUAAGCUAUUAAAUAUGCAACCUUCGCGAUGGUCAUGCAUAGUGAUUUAUGUAUCCAAUAUUUAAUACUUUUUAUUUUCAUAUUCGUUUGUAUUUAUUUACAUGUUCCUCCACUAUCAGUGAUUAUUUUUUGUAUUCUUUGUUUCAUUUCUUUAUUUAUAAUUUUUUAUGUAGAUCAUCCACUAGUUCCCCACAAGCUCGUGGAUCUCGGCCAUUGUUCUUUGUGUAUUUCGGACCCCUAGCCAGUUGCAUUAAUACUUUUUGUAACGUAUCAUCCUUCUGCUUUCCUGAAGCUCCCUUAUAAACGGUAGUUUCUGAACAGGGUACGCAUAAUUGACGGAUCCCGAUAAUAUAGAUCCAUCAAGAAUUCAUUAUCUACUGUGGAAGCAAACAGAAAAUUACGGGAAAGAAUCCAAGAAUCAUGAUGUUGGCCGAUUGUAUCAAUUAAAACUGUUGGAGUCAUUAAAGGAUCUUGCGUCCGACGAAUCAGGCCAGCUAAUCGAUCGCAAAACUUGUUGAAUAAAGAGACAGCCGAGCACCACGUUAAAUAUCUAGAGUAAUGAUUUUUCCCGCACUUUGCCUAAUGUUCUUGAGAACCACAAUGCCAGAGAUAAUUUCAUUUUGCAUCCUUUGACUAUAUUUAAAUUUUCACUGUGGUACCUAGAUUUUAAAAUGAGGCACUCUAAUCCUUAAAUUAUAAAAUUUGUCACACUUAAGUAACAUUAUUAAGGAAGUGACAUUUUAUGCAUAAGUGGAUAGACUGUGGGGAUUAAAUGAAGGCAAGUUUCAUACUUUAGGGACUAAAAUGGAUAACUUUUAUAUUAUAGGGACUAAAAUAUGAUAAAUUUUAUAAUUUAGAGAUUAAUGUGUUCCAUUUUAAAAUUUAGGACGAAAUAUGGAAAUUUGAGUCCAAUUAAAGGUACAAAGUAAAACUAACCCUCAAUACCAUGUUACACAAGUUGUCAGGAAUUCUUGGUCAUGGACAAAAAAAUGAGAAUUAUCAUUGAAUAAAUAUGCAGGCUACCCAAACUUUCCUAAAUUAAAUCUACAUCUUUUGGAAGCUCGAAAAUACUACAAUGGCCAUAAUUCCCUCUGUAUAAUUUGACUGCAGACACUAGAUGAAAAAUCACACUUAGAAAUAAGUGUUCAACAGAUUUUUAUUUCGCUUGCACAGAAAGUACACCAAAUAUCAACAGCAUUUUAUGAAAUUUCAGUGUAACUUGUUUUUUUAACUCUUUAAUAUCACUAUAACUUACUCUCGAAUGAUUGUCUUAUUGCACUACAUAUUUGUGGUUAUUUUAGGAUAACAUUUUGUAUUAUGCAAAAGACGUUUAUGCAACAUAACUUCAAUGCUAUAGGUCCACAGCCACACCAUCAUAAUAACCAUAAAUAAAUAUAAACUCAAAUGUAUCAUAUGCUGCUGCUCAUUUAUUUUAUCUAGGAAAAUAAUAAACCGAACAGGCGACGACUACAUUUCUUGGAUUUUUGUUAAUCAACUAAACUUGGUAUGCAAAGUGAUAAGAAGAACAGUCUGCUUUUUCUGAAAUAACAAAUAUGCUUCACUAAUUGACUUUUUUUUUUUUUUUUUUGCUUUCUAAAGUGAGAGUGGUGGUAAAAAAAAAAAAAAGAUUUUCUUACGGUCAUUUUUUAAGGGGUUGAUCGGGGUCAAUAACUUCAUGUGAUAGUUGAAUGAGAAGAACUGUAAAACUUGACUUAGAGUUAUUUUGGUGUGCUCACUGGAUUUUCUCAACUUCUAUGCAGUGUUUUGAAAAUCGGACCAGACCGGCCAGUUCGACCGGUUGAACCGCGAAACGGCCAUGGCACCGGUCCGGUUCCAUGCUUAGGUUGACUUUGCCAGAAAACCGUUCAAACCCGGUAAAAACCGUCAAACCCGUUGAAUCGGAUUGAACCGGUUUUCAAGUUUUCCCUUCUUUUUUUUUUUUUUUUUUUUUUUGCAAAAUGUUUCUAUCAAAAUUUGAACUCAAGACCUUUGCAAUAGAAGACCAAUGUAAUAACCAUUGCACCAUCACAUCUUAUUUGCUUUUUAUGAUAAUUUAUUUAUAUAAAACAAACAUCUAUAUUUCAUUUUUUCAUUUUUCUUACAAAAUCUCAUUCUCUCAUGACUCUUUCUUUUUCAAGUCUCUCUUUCUCUCUCAUCUUUUCUUUUGUCACUCCCUUUUUUAAUCAAACCUCUUUAGUUUUAAUUUAUUGAUGUUUUCUUCUAUCUUUUAAUUUUGUUUUUGUCCAUUAAAUUGGAAAAAGUUAAAAAGGAAUUAUUUUUCUUUAACCCAAAUUAUUUAAUGCCACAACCACUCACUUUUAUCUCAUUUUUUGUUUCUUAUCAAGUUUGCAUUUUUAUUUUCAAUUCUCUUGACUUCUUUCGAACUCCAAACUUUCUUUUUUAAAUUACAAUAUUUAAAUCUCAAAUAUGUAAAUUAAAAUUUAAGUUCACAAUGUCAAAUUCUCAUAGACAUGAAUUUUGUAUAAUUUCAAAAUAUUGUGAUAUUUUUGGAUUUUUUUGGUAGAUAUAAUUAAAAUUGAGAUGAAAUUUAUUUGUCUUAACUUAUAAUUUAAAAAAUUUAUUUUUGAAAAUCCAAAUUAUUCAAAAAUAGUGAACUUUUCAUCAUAUAAAGUUUUAAAUUAGUCCAUUGCAUGUCUUAUUUUGUGCAUAUAUAUUUAUAUAAAUUAUUUUUUAAAAAAAUCAUUGAACCGAGGUUGAACCGGUCCGACCGGUUGAACCUCGACCCUUUCACCUCACCGGUUCAAUUGAUGGUCCAAGUUUUAAAACAUUGCUUCUAUGUAGCGCUUUCAAUCAGGACUUGUAAGCUAACUAUGAGCAUGCCUAAGUUCGGCUCGCAAAAGAAAUAGAGCUUUCGAACUAUAGAUUCAAGCUCAUAUUUAGAAGGCUCAUACUCUCACAAAAUUUUUGAUGUUUUAGGCAUAAAUUGGACUCGACCAAAGCUCAGAAUUGAAUAUAUAAUUAUACAUAAUACAUGUUUGAUGUUGAUGUAUUAUUACACCGUUAUAUAUAAAUUAUUAAUUUUUAACAUUAAAAUAUGUACAAUUAUAGAUUAUAUACAUUAUUAUAUAUAUCAUAUAUGUGCUUAAAUAUAUAAUUACUUGGGUUAAGGCCUUAAACCAGCAUGUAUUGAAAUCAGGCCUUAUAUUUAGGCCUAAACACUUCUGGACCCAAUUCGACAUCAGGCUCAAUCCUACUGUUUUCGGGCGGAGUGGGCCAAGACUGGUCAAAUUAAAUACAGUACUUAGCCAAUGGUUUCUUAAUAUAUCGUUGAGAUCAAUAAACCUCUAUUUUUGCUCGACGAACAUUCUUCAUUUUAUAAAGGGAAAUUUGCCAAAUUGGUCCCUAACAUUUGCCAAAAACACUUUUUUAGUCCCUAAUAUAUAAAAUCAGCCAAAAUGAUCCUUCACAUUUAAAUUAUGAGCCAAUUUGGUCCUAUUGCUCGUUUUUGCUCAUUUCUCCAGCUAAAAAUAGCACGCCCCCCUCACGUGGUCAUAUUUUUAGGGGCAAAACCGGAAAACACAUUUCAUUACCGGUUGAAAGAAGCCAUCUUUCCUUCAUCUAAUCACCUCACUAACCCAUUGAAAUUGAAGAGGGAAAAUACAGUAGCAAGAAAUUGGGAAGAAGAAGCUGACCUUUGUAGAGUAAAAUGGAUCCAAACGAGCUAUGUCUUUGUGGAAAGGAACCCAUCAUUGUGACUUCUUGGAAACCUACAAAUCUGGGGAGAAGAUUCUAUGGUUGUCCAAAUUAUGGAGUAAGUUUUCUUGAAAUUUCAGGUCAGUUUGGGUUUGGGAUGUGGGGUUAAAAUUUGGUCUUGAUAUCUGAUGUUCUUCAUGCAUUUUAGGUAACUCGUGCUUGUGGCUACUUCAAGUGGUAUGACCCGCCAAUGUGUAGUAGAUCUGUGUCAAUAAUACCUGGUCUAUUAAAAUCAAUCAACCGGCUACAAGCUGAUCAAGAACAGAGAAUUCGAAGAGAGAAAUUGCUUUGGGCUGCUUUGGUUGCCUCUUGGAUGUGCACUUUGCUGUUGUUAAUAAGCUGGAAUUAAACAAAAAUUGGAAGAUAGUUAUUGGUGGGUCUAACAGGUUGUUUUAAUUCUGUCUGGCUUUAUGGAGGAUGUGAAUCCGAGAGCAUGUAGCAGCAUCCAAAAUAUGAGGAGGCUUUGUUGUACUUGCUGCACUUUUGUUAAUGGUUGUGUAAUAGUAACAGCAGCACUUUUGGUAAUUAUUGUGUAAUAGGAAAGGCUCAUGUUUGUACCAUUAACAAUUAUGAAUGCAAAGCUGCUUUUUGGUCAAUUGAUUGUCGGAAAGGGAAAUUUGCUAAUGUAAAAGUGAAGAUGAUGAAUGGCCAUGUCUCUUAACAUUGAAUUUGAAGACAAUAAGCUGCAGAUACACUCAAAUUUAAACAUCAACAAUUGAUAAGAAUGGAUGUAAAAAAACUGGAAAUUUGUGGUCAAGACUGAGAAUCAAUCCCUUGGAUAAUUAAGGUGCCUUUUGCUCCAUUUUCUACUGUGCAUUGCAAAUGUAAUUCUGUGUAUAACUCUGUUCAGAGAUUUCUUUAGUAACUUGUUGCUCAUGACUAACAAUUUCACAGGAACAAAUAUAAAAUUCCAGAAACUGAAAAUUCAAAACCUACAAGAUAUUGUUAAUGGAAACUUUACAACCAAAUGUAUGUUUACUAAACCAAGUUAAAAGUAUCAAUAUGAUCUAAAUAAAAUUGUUACAGCUAGUCAAAUCUUAAAGAGCUACAUGGUUAUUGAUCAUUUCUGCUGCUGGUCCAGUCCCAACAACAAAGAAAAAUGUACUAUCAACUUCUUAAGGACCCCAUUUUGGUAGCAAUAGUGCAAAUAUCUAGAUACUACAGCAACAUGCAUGGAAGUUCUCUUGCCAACUGUUUCAGGUGAUCCCAUAAAUGUAUCAUAUCAACCAGAUAUUGGAACCACAUAACAGUACAAACAUAAAAAAUAAGAUCAGAUAUAGCAGGAUGGUAACAUCUUGUCCAUCUCCUUGAUCUAUGGAGCCAAGCUUGCUGAACCUAAUACAGUAUGCAAAAUUUUUCAAAACAUCAGAGGCUAAGGAGGCACCAAAAUUGAUCUCUCAUAACAUGCACACAGAAAUUAUUUACUUGCUUUAGACUAGCCAAGAACAGAAUUAUACCCGUCCAAAAUACUUAAUAGAGGGAAAAGAAACUUGGCCAAACUCAGUUCCACAAAAGAUAAGAAACCAAGAUGCUUUUUACAGAAAUGCCAAAAACUAACAGUAAAAUAUUUAUAGCAAAAACUAAUAACCAAGAUGCUGUUUACAGCAGUGCUAAAGUCUUAGCUCAAGUCGUAAUACAUGAACUAUAAUAUCCCAAAAGCAAAAUACAACAUAAAAGCUGUAACUAAAGCCACCAAAAGAUGCUUAAACAAGCCACCAGCACUUCAGUUUUUCUUUUGCUUUUUACCGAUCUUUGAAGAUUCAUGUGCCUGCCCUCGAGAAAGCUCUGCAACAGUGAAAGUGCACCAACCUUUGGUGUGACCAUAUUGGUAGCAGAUAGAGCACUUGUACUUCCCAAUAUUCUCCAUCUUGACAAUUUUAACGAAGGCUUGUUAGAUAACAUAAAGGUAAAAUAUAAGUAUUUGACAAGCAAAAGAUGUUUAUGAUACUCACUGGAGUAUUUGCAGCAGUAGAAUGGUUUGAUGUAGAUUGUUGACUUCCCAAUGGUGCAUCUGCCAUGACAUCCUCAGACAUCUGAGUAUUUGACUUAGGAACUGGAGGUGUAGGUGUAACAAAUCCAUGUGAAUCAGUCUCAGCAGAGGCAUUUUGUGUCUGGCUUGGACACUUCCUACUAUUGUGGGCCAGUCUUGUUACAUUUUUGACACUUAUACACCAUCUGCCCAGUUCUAGACAGCUUUUGCUGCUGCUUAUUUUGCUUUUUACCUGAUGCUGGCUCCUCUGGCUCCCUUCGUCUAGCCUUUCGUGGUCUACCAGGAAGUUUUAUGUUCUCAGGAGGUAGCACGGGCGGCAAGUCAGAAUUUUUCCACAUGUGCUCAGCAUUCAUUGGACUUAUCAUGGGUUCAUAUGCCCUCAUGUAAGCUUCUUUGGAGUAGCAAUUAUGUACAAACUUCUCGGGUUCCUCUCCAGUGUCACAAAUUGCAGCAAUGGCAUGUGCACAACGAAUGCCAUUAAGAUCCCACUUUCUACAACUACAACAUCUACUAAUAAGGUCCACAGUAUACCUAUCACCAUACAUGCACCUAACUUCAAAUUUCCAGUCCUUGGAGUGGCUAGGAAUGCAGUCAUUUGCAGCAAGCUUAUUUUUCUCUAACUUUUCAGAAUUUUAGGACAUAUCUCCCCAGUGUAUUUCUUUUUCCAUUCCCUCUUUUUUUCUAUUCUAACCAUUAAGUAAAAUCUAAUGGUCUCCAACAUGUCAAGAAUUGGUUUCUGCCUAGCAUCAAGGAUUGUGGAGUUAAAACUUUCACACAGAUUAUUCAACAAAAUAUCACAUUGUACACUUGUUCUAAAAUGUGAUCUUGUCCACUCCUUUGGAUAAGUAUGACUUACCAACCAAUUGUAAGCACCUUUAUCAACCUCUUUUAGUGACUCCAUCAAUCCAGCAAAUCUGUCCCUAUAAGAAGCUCGUGCUGCAACCCAUAUCCUUUCCUUAAGAGCCAGGUCUGGAUGUUGUUUUUUGAAAUUAUUAUACAUGUGCCGUACACACAUGCGAUACUCAACCCCUGGCAGUACCUCUUGAAUAGCUUGAACUAGCCCCUGUAUAAAUGAAAUAAAAAAUCAAACUUAUAUUACUGUCACUAAGUAUUAUCAUAACAACAAGACUGAUAAAAUUAGUUAUAUAUUACCUUUUGCUUGUCGGUUAUAAAUGUCCAAAUGCUUUCAUCAAUAAUUUCAAGGUCACCCUUUAGCUUUUCUACAAACCAUUUCCAAGAGUUCUUAUUUUCAGUCUCAACUACAGCAUAUACUAUCGGAAAUAGUUGAUUAUUUGGAUCAAUUCCAACGGCUGUGAGAAGAACUCCCUUGUGACAGCCUCUUAAGUGACAUCCAUCAAGACCUACAACAUAUCUACAACCCUGCAAGAACCCUAUUUUACAACCAUCUAGACACACAUAGAAUCUAUGAAACUCAUCAUCACCUUCAUUAUUCUCAGUUAUAGUCAUGAACACAUUAAAGUCAGGAUUUGCCUUUUGAAGUUCUUCACAGUAGCUCCAAAGUUUGCUGUACUGGGACAUGACAUCACCAUGUAUCAUCUCUUUAGCUUUUGCCUUUACCUUAUACCCCACAUUAGGUGUGAUACUAACUCCCAAGUCCUUGUGGACCUUUAUCAUAAAAUCACCUACAUUAAAAUUUGGGUUCAGCCUAAUGUCUUCUAAAUACUUGUUGGCCAAAUAUGUCACACUUGCCAGGCCACGAUAGGUUGUCCUACCACAAGUGUGAGUUAGCAACAUGCUUUUGAUUUGGAAUGUCACUUUAUCACUCCUAACUGAGCAAUAUAUGUUCCACAUGCAUCUCUUGCCUCUACAUAUGGCUUUGCAUCUGUUUGAAUCAUUUUUCUUAAACCUGAUUUUUCUUCCAUACUUCACUCCAUGUGAUUUUGCAGCAUUGAUAAAGUCAGCCUUACACUUAAAUAAUAACCCAAGUUCAAACUUUGGGUCAUCCAUCUUUGUUGCAGGAUUGAAUACUCUAAACUUCUUUUUGUCCACAUCCUUAAUCCCUCCUUCAUCUUCAGAACUCUCAUUGCUGUGCAGCCCAUCAUGUGAUGAAUUAUCUGACUCCUCCAUGCUGCAUUCAUUAUCUUCUUCAUUAACAGCAGUUUCCUGUACCUUUUCUUUACCUUUUUUUGCUGUCUUGAACUGUUUAGCAACAUUAGUCCAAUCUGGAGGCAUUUCACUAAUAGAUUUCAUUAGCUCUUCCUCAUCACUUAUAGCAUAUUCGCUAUCAUACAAACUCUCAGGAUCACUUGAGACAAUAUCCUCUAUGAUCUGCUCUUUAUUUUUUUUGAAUGACUUUUUACCUUCAGCCUUUCUAUUUGAUGUCUUCCUUGACUUAGUUCGUGCUCUUCUUCCUUGUCUGCUUCUGCCAUGUCUUUCAUUUUCAUUACCAUCAAUUUUUGUAACUCCAUCAGUUGCAUGUUCACCUACAUCAGUUUCUACAGCCUCAGCAGUCUCAUAUUCAGCAGCAUCAAGAGUUUUAUCAUCAACAGCAUGACUUUUUGUAGUUUCUCCACUCUCAUGUUCAGCAGCAUGAGAUGCACUUUGGUAUGAUCCACUCCUGCCACUAACACCACUCUGAGCAGUAACAUCUUGAUGGCCAACAUUCUUUCUCCUCUACUGCAUUUUCAAUCUUUUUGCAGGUGAAGUUCUCUUCUUCGCAAUCUAUUUCAUCCUCUUACCAGCACAUGAAGGAGUUCCUCCAUCCAUGUUAGAGUCUUGAAAACCACCAUCAGUAGCUGGUGUUGGUGUGGGCACAUGUACAGAUUCUUCUUGACCAUUCUCUGGUGUGGCCACACGUACAGAUUCUUCAUUAUUUCUGUUACUAUCAUGCCUUCUUCCUUCAUCAUCAACAGCAAAAUGAGGCAAAUUAUAUGUUCUUCGAUGAAUGAAGAACACAUCAACUAACCCAUACAUACUCCCUAAUUUAGCCAAUUCAGCAGCAUCAUCCUCUUGCAACAUAUACACUAAUCCAUCUGCCAUAUUCCUACCAGGAAUCAGGUAGUAGUAACCCACUGUAUAAGGCUCAAAUCCAAGUUUAUUAGCUAUUUCGUCCAACUUACACAGAGACCAUUUUUCUGGAUUACAAUCAUCGACUAUGUCAACCGAACCUCCUACAUAGUCUCUAUUUCCUGUAUCUCUAAGUUCACCUCCAAAGUGUAUACGAAUAGAAAAAUGCAUCUCAUUGGCCCCUGUCAGCCAUUAAAAUGACAAUUACUUUGGACCAAGACAGAAAGGUGGAGGCUUUCAUAAUAAAAAUGGGGACCACAGUAAAACUAAAUAAAAAUUGGGGACCACAGCAAAACUAAGUAAAAUAAUGAACAAUCUUCAAUUAAUUAACAUAAAAUACAGUCCUAAGCAAGAUUCGUCAACAAUUGCUAACCACAUUGGUAAAAAAAAAAACUUACCGUAACCCUUUGUGAAGUCCCAUUUUCCCGAUUCAUUCUGCAUCUUUUCGAAGAUUUUCUUCACGAUUUUCUGGCCAAACCUUCAAUCGUUUCUCAAUCACACCUUACAGGUUUGUCGUCGUCAUCAUCGGCAGUACAUUUCCAAGUUAUGCUUGUUAAUUUGGGGAUGCAAUUAGGGUUUCUUCAAACUGUAAUUUGAGGGCCAAAGGUGAAAUGUGUAUUUUGCUGGUGGUCCCCUAUCCUUUUGCCUUCAACCGGUAAUGAAAUGUGUUUUCCGAUUUUGCCCCUAAAAAUAUGACCACGUGAGGGGGGCGUGCUAUUUUUAGCCGGAGAAAUAAGCAAAAACAAGCAAUAGGACCAAAUUGGCUCAUAAUUAAAAUGUGAAGGAUCAUUUUGGCUGAUUUUAUAUAUUAGGGACUAAAAAAGUGUUUUUGGCAAAUGUUAGGAACCAAUUUGGCAAAUUUCUCUUUUAUAAAUCUAGAGGAGAGUUAACAGGGAGCAAGACGGAGGAGAAGAAACUCUUACCUACAUAGGACAAAAAAAAAAAAAAACGACUCAACAGGGCAUAGUAACCACCGUGACUUUUGAGGUUAACUUGGGAGUUAGGUUUAACUACUUAUUUCUAAAUAUCUGAAAAAAAAAAAUAAACAGGGCAUAGUAGCUGGCAAUUGCUUAAUGAUGGGGAAGAAGGGCCAGUACAAUUCAGAUUUUCGUACAAUUGCACGGUUGUAAUACAUUUCACAUGAUUUAGUGUAUAUUUAUAUUUUUUUUGUUAUACAUUUAAUUUACGUUCUUGUACACAAAUUUAAUAAUUUAAUACAAUUACGAUUGUAAAUGUACGACACCUUUUAAAAAAAAGUACAAUAACUCUAUCGAUUGUACAAUAGGCUCAAUUAUACUGCCCCUCUCCAAUGAUACGCAAGUCUUGGACGAUACAUGAGAAAUUCUAAAACCGACUUCGUUCUUUCUCAUUAUACAUCAACACAACUAUUAAUCAUUUGAUCGGCUGGCAGUCAUGUGUACUCAUUCUAACCACAAAAGGUGCGUAUGGAAUAUGUAUGUAUCUACGUUUACUGGUGUCAAUAACAAUCCAAUUAUAUUUAUUCAUCUAAAUUCGUCUAUCAAUAAUUCAUCCAAAUCUGUCCAUUAAUUUUAAAUGGACCUAAAUGGGUAUCCAGCAAAACUUAUUUAAUUGAUAGAUAGUGAGUUGACUCGAUUCACCAAUUUUAAAAAAAUUAUAUAUUUAAAUUCAACUUUUAGUAAGUGUUAAGAAAAUAAAUUUGAAUUUCUUACCAAUCUAAUAAUAAUAAAAUAUUAUUAUUUCUUGUUAAACAACAUGUGCAAAAUAAAAAAAUAAGUAGAAUUUUGAUCGACUCAUAAAUGGGUAAUUGGCUAUACCCAUACCUAUUUAUUAAAUAGGUAUAAAUAGGUUGACUUAAUUAUAUCUAUAACCCAAUUAUGAGACACUCUUAAACUUGCCCAAAUCACUUAUUUUGACACCUUUAUUUACAUCCAUCACAGUUAGAUUAUGUAUAUUGAGAAGGAAAAUAAGUUGGUAAGGAUUAACCCUUGAUUUCUAUUCUAUGAUCACCGAUCAUAGAAGUCCCUUUUACCAUUCUGUAUAAAUCGGCUAUUCUAUUUGUACAGAUAUGGUAGAGGGGUACAUUCAACCCUUGUUUGUCUAUUAGUUUUCGGUUUUUCUCCUCAGCGCGGGGUAGAGCAGGUCUCUUAAAUACCCUAUUGCAGAUUUUUUUUUCUUUUCAGUUUUCCCUUUUCUUUUUGCAACUCUUAGAGCAUCGCAGACGACUCAUCGAGGGGAACCGGCUGUGGUUUUCUCUCAAGCAGAUCUCACCUCCCUUGCACUUCCAUAUAAAUUUGCUUUGGUGGGGAAAUUCUCCAAGGGACGUCCGUCCAUGGAGAACUUACGAAAAUUCAUAAAAACGCUAGACUUGAAGGAGAUGGCCUCUGUUGGUCUGCUAGAUUCCAGGCAUGUUCUGCUCAAGAUGGGAAACGAAGCUGACUUUCAUAGAAUGUGGUCUAGAGGGAUCUGGUAUGUUUCUGGGUCUCCUAUGAGGGUUUUUAAGUGGGCACUAUCCUUCCAUGUGGACAAGGAGCCUUCGGUGGUACCGGUGUGGUUCCAACUUCCUAAACUGCCUUUGCAUUACUUCCACAAAGAUUGCCUCUUUCAGAUUGUGAGUGUCCUGGGGAUUCCCCUUUUUAUGGAUGCUGCUACUAUGGCUGGGUCUCGCCCAAGUGUUGCAAGAGUGUGUGUAGAGAUUGAUUUGCUCAAACCGCUGCCUCCGCGAGUGUGGAUUGGUAAUGGUGACUGUGAUGGGUUUUGGCAAACGUUAAUCCCAGAAAUCCUCCCCAAGUACUGCUGCCAUUGCUUUCAGCAGGGACAUACUCAAGCUGAGUGUCAUGUUCUGAACCCAGCUCUAAAACAAAGGCCUCCUGAUGUGGUCAAGUCUGGUGCAGAGAAGCGGCCUGUGCAGUUGCAGUUCCGUCCAAAGAAGAACUCCACCAUGGAGGAUCGUCCUUUGGAUCCUGCCCUUGGGGGGAAUUCACCAGGUGUGGGUUCUAAAGUGGCGGGGGAUUUCCCAUCUAGCUCUCUUCCCCUGGAGCCUGAUGAGCAACUUGUGGGGACGGCUGGUAUGGGAGUCUCGCAAUUGGUCAGGGGAGCUGCGGACUCUCCUGUGCAACAGUCGGGGGCUGGUCUGACUCCUUUGGUGAUUGGGGCGGAGCCUUGCCUUGGUGCUAGUGUGUCAGUGGAUGUUCCAGCAGGUGGGGUGAUGGAGGAGCAGGCUGCUGAGUCGGCUAUGCUAAAGGUUCCAUUGGCUGAUGACAGGGCUGGUGACCUGCAGAAAUUUGAGCUGCAUGAGGUGAUAGACGAGGUGUAGGUUAGGCAAGCGGAAGUUGUAGGAGGGAGUUUGUCUCCUCGGCAAAGCUCCGACCACAUUCAACCUCUACAUGGGUCCCUGGUUGUGGAUAUAUUCAACUUGGACCCGAUCAUUCAAAAGGUCCAAACAGAUUUGCAGCAUGAGGAGAACUUCCAGUUGGUUUCUCAUCGGAAGCACAAGGGUGUGCGUGCUAUGUUUCCGUCUGACCGUCAGUUGCGCUCUAAGAGUAAAGUUUCCUCUAACUCUUUUUCUGCACUAUCUGAUGAUUAAUUACCUUUUUUGGAAUAUUCGUGGGGUGUCUCACGCCCCUAAUUUACGUAGGUUAAAACAUUUAAUUCGUCAGUACAACAUUCCGGUGGUUGCUGUGUGUGAGCCGAAACUGGCUCCUACCCCAUCUAAUGUAAACUCUAUUAAGUUGAAGCUUAGUAUGGACUCGGUUAUAGUUAAUAGUUGUGGUUCGGUAUGGGUUUUCUACGAUAGAUCAGUUUCUUGUAAUGUAGUGGGGGAGUCGGAUCAGCAUGUGUCGGUUCAAAUUCAGUCUACUUUAUUUGUGGCUCCCGUUAUAUUUUCCUUUGCCCAUGCUAAAUGGACGGUGGUGGACCGUGCAUCGCUUUGGGCUGGGUUGCUAGAGGAUAGAUCUGUUUCACUUCCAUGGUUUGUGGUGGGUGACUUUAAUGUGAUUGUGGCAGAUGAUGAAAAGAGAGGGGGUCGUCCAUUUAGAAAUUGGGAGGGGGGUGAUUUGUUGACGUUUAUGUCCUCUGCUGGCUUGUUGGAUGCGGGUUUUUCGGGGUCCAGAUUUACAUGGUGUAAUAAUAGACAGGGUCAGGCUCGUAUUUGGAAAAGGUUAGACAGGUUGCUAUAUGAUCAACUUGCUUUGGAUUUGGGGAUUAUGUACGAGGUCCUGCACUUGGGUAGGGCUCCUUCUGAUCAUGCACCUUUAUUGAUGGCGGCGUCUUCUCGUUUGGAUAACUCGCCCAAGCCUUUUCGGUUUUUGAAUUGUUGGACGUCUCAUCAGAGUUUCCUGGAGGUCAUUCGGCAUAAUUGGCAGGUGGAUUUUAUGGGUGACCCUCUAUAUGUCCUGGCAGCUAAGCUGCGAAAGUUGAAGAAAGUGCUGCGGGAAUGGUCUAAGCAUGAAUUUGGAGAUAUUUUUGAGAUGGUUAAGGUGGCAGAGCAGGAGGUGAUACAGGCGGAAAACUGUUUUGAUGAGGACCCUUCGGUUCAGCAUCGAAUUUGUUUAAGUGAGCGGCGGGCUAGGCUGAUUCAAGCGCAGGCAAAUGAGGAUUCGUUUUGGCGGCAGAAGGCGAGAAUCAGAUGGUUAGCGGAUGGGGAUAAAAAUUCAAAAAUUUUUCAUGCAACGGUGGCUGAACGUAGGAGUAAAUCCGUUAUUCAUCGUAUUAAAUCUUCUGGCGGGGAUUGGCUUUGCAGUGAAGAGGAUAUUGGGAGAGAGGCUGUUAGUUUUUUUCAGGGCUUGUUUUCGAAUCAGUCGGGUACGAAUAAUUUUCAUGGGUUAGAUGUGAUCCCCAAAGUGGUGACGGAGCGGGACAAUGAUGAAUUAGAACGAUUCCCUUCUCUAGAGGAAGUUAAGGAAGUCGUUUUCUCCAUGGAUGCGGAUAGUGCGGCUGGUCCUGAUGGGUUCUCCGGGAAGUUUUUUGUGGUUGCUUGGGAGAUUGUUGCUGAGGAUGUUUUUGCAGCUGUUUAUCGUUUUUUUGGUGGAGCUGAGUUGCCGAAAAGUAUUGCCGCCACAUCAAUUGUUCUUGUCCCCAAAGUUAGCUCUCCUCAGGAUUUUUCGCAGUUUCGCCCAAUUAGUUUGUGCUCCUUUGUGAAUAAAAUUAUUUCUAAAUUACUGGCGAGGAGACUAGCUAAGCUGUUGCCGGUUAUUAUCUCUCCUAACCAAAGUGGUUUUGUUCAAGGUCGGCAAAUGGCCGAUAAUUUUUUAUUAGCUCAGGAGUUAAUUUCUGGCAUUCAGAGGCCUUGUCGAGGAGGUAAUGUUGUUCUCAAACUUGACAUAGCUAAGGCCUAUGACAGGGUUUCGUGGCCUUUUUUAAUGCAAGUGUUGCGUCGAUUUGGAUUUGGUGAACGGUGGAUUGAUAUGAUCUGGCGGUUGGUGUCCAAUGUGUGGUUCUCGGUGAUCAUUAAUGGAUCUCCCAAGGGGUUUUUUAAGUCGACCAGGGGAUUACGGCAGGGCGAUCCUAUCUCACCGGCACUGUUUGUUGUGGGUGCAGAGGUGUUGUCUAGGUCAUUAAAUGCUUUACUGGGUCUUCGAGCGUUUGUUCCAUUCAAAGUUCCUAGGGGUUGCCCGCCGAUUACCCAUCUGGCGUAUGCAGAUGAUGUCAUCAUUUUUUGUAGCGGUUUGAAGGCCUCUUUACAAGUAAUCCUGCGUACUUUGGAUGCCUAUUGCAGUAUAUCGAGCCAGCAGGUGAACUAUCACAAGAGUUGCUUUCUUGUUGAUCGGAAACUGCCUUUGGCGCGUAAACGGGCUAUUGCUCGGGUUACAGGUUUUCAGGAGAGGUCGUUUCCCAUUAAGUACUUGGGGUGUCCGUUGUAUGUUGGGAGGGCGAAACUGUACUUUUUCUCAGAGCUCUGCAAUUUGGUGUCGAGGCGUGUGUUAUCCUGGUCUGGUAGAUUGUUGUCGUCUGGUGGUAAGCUGGUUCUGAUCAAAAGUGUUCUCUCCUCUAUUCCUAUUCAUAUUAUGGCGGCUUCUAUGGUCCCUAAAGGGGUAGUCCGCCAAUUGGAACAAAUCUUUAGUAGCUUCUUAUAGGGUAACUCGGAUUUCGGCCCUCGGUUUCACUGGAUUAAAUGGGCAGCCCUGACUAAGCCUGUUGAGGAGGGAGGAGCUGGAUUGCGAUCGCUACAGUCGAUUUUUGAUGCUUUCUCUUUAAAGCUUUGGUGGUCUUUUCGCUGUAACACCUCCUUAUGGGCGUCCUUCAUGCACGCUAAGUAUCUCAGUGACAGGCUCCCGUGUCAGGCAGAUGUGGUUCGGGGGCAGUCUGGUAUCUGGAGAAGGCUGGUUGGCGUCAAAUCGUUAGCGGAUUCUCAUGUUCGCUGGGUUUUGGGCAAUGGAGCAGUGGAUUUUUGGCAUGAGAAUUGGAUGGGAUCUGGUCCGUUAUGCGAUAAGGUUGAGAUUUUUGGGACUCACUCUGUGGCGAACUUUGUUGACCAAGGUCGUUGGAAUAUUCCUAUGUUGCGUCAUUGGCUCCCUCCUGCUAUUGUGUCAUCCAUUCUGGGUAUCUCUCCUCCUGUCUCACAGCGGCCAGAUGAGAUGGUUUGGGAUUUAACCGAGUCGGGUGUGUUUUCCAUUGCAUCUGCUUAUCAGUUGGUGCGGCAGCCUGCUAUUAGGUCGGCUUUUUCUGCGGCUAUUUGGCAUGCGUUACUUCCCUCUAAAGUGUCUUUUUUCAUGUUGAGGUUGGUUGCGGCACGGCUCCCCGUCUUGGAGACGCUUCGCCGUUUUGCGGUGCAUGGCCCCUCUCGGUGCUCCUGCUGUGAAGCUCCUGCGGAAGAGACCUUAGAUCAUAUUUUUUGCAAUGGGGAUUUGCCCAAACGAGUUUGGAAUUCGUUUACAAGUGGGGUGGGUGGGCGUUCCUGUGUUUCCACGGUGCGGCAUGCGCUGGCGGUAUGGUGGCUUCAUCCCACAUCUAAUCCUUGUUUGCGGUUGAUUUUCCAAUUUCUUCCUUGUUUGGUUUGCUGGCACCUUUGGAGGGCUCGUAAUUUGAGGGUUUUUGAAGGUAAGGGAAUUUCCUCCCAUCUCAUUCAUUUGAGGGUUGUGGGGGAGCUCCGAGAUAUUCUCUCUUCCCGCUUUCCUUGCCUGGCGGGUCAUAGGUUGUCUUGGGAGGAGCUUAUUGGGUUGGCUUCUAGGUGUCGUAGAGCGAGUACGGUACGUUGGGUGAAAUGGAGGACUUCUCCUAUUCCCCUUCCCAAAUUGAAUGUUGAUGGUUGUUCGAGGGGUAAUCCUGGUACAUCUGGCGGGGGUGGUAUUUUGCGGGAUACGGCGGGGUGCUUUGUCUUUGCUUUCUCUUGCUUUUCUGGCGAUGUGACUAGUUUGCAUUCAGAACUAAGAGCUAUGCUAUAUGGGGUGAAGCUGUGUGUGCAACGCGGCAUUAUUCCUAUUCAUGUGGAGUCUGAUUCUUUGCUUUUGGUCCGGAUGGUGCGAGGGGAGCUCAGGGUUCCUUGGUUUUUGCGACGAGAGUUUGAGGAGCUGAUUGCAUUCCGGCAUCAUUUACAUGCGGUGACUCAUUGUUUUAGAGAGGUCAAUAGGGUGGCUGACAGAUUGUCUAAUGUUGGAGCAGACUCUGGCUCUGAUAGGGUGUAUGAGACGUUGGCUUUACUUCCAUUGUUGGUUAGAGGGGAUUGUCAAAUGGAUGCUUGGGGGAUGCCUAUGGUUAGAAGGGUUAGACCGUAGUCGUUUGAAUAUGCAUGUACUCCCAUUUGUUGGGUUCGUGGAUUUGCAAAUGCUAUUAAUAAGACAUUAUUGUUCAAAAAAAAGAAAAAAAAAAGAAAUGUUACAAACAAUGAAUCUACAGAAACUGUGAUUUUGAAAGUUUUAGACCAGCUUUAGCAAUUUAAAUUCUCAAACUAAAUCUAUCGUUAUUAUAUCUUGUUAUUCUUUUAUUUUAAGGUAUUUCAACUCUUGAAUUCUAGACAAGUGUUUUACAUCCCAAGCAAUACAAAUAAUUUUAUAUAUGCUUGUUACUUUUAUCUAGAGUACUAUUGACAAAGUUGAUGUAAGACAUACAUGGUUACUCGGAUGAAGGCAUGAUCAUAUGGGUUUAUUUCUUUCUUCCCUAAUGAAAGCGCCCCCUCCCGACUUCAAAUAAACUUCUCUCUGUUUGCCCUUCUUGUCGUUGGCAUUGGCAGUUUGGCUGGUACUUUUCUUAGAGAUUUUAAGGUCAAGAGUCACUGUCCUGAGAUUGGAUUAGACUAUGAAACCUUGAGGGCCCCGACCCCCGAUCCCUCUAUAUUCCAUUUGAGAUUCUCUUCACAUUAAUUUAUCUCUAAAUUAUUAUAAUAAUAUAAAAUCAUCCAAUUGUAUCAUUAUUUUUCUUUUGCUCUAGAUACAUAUACUAAAAAGUGUUAUUAUAUUAAAAAAGUAUUUUUGAUUUAAUUUACACUAAAUAUUUGAACGGUGAAGAAUGGGCUAAAAUUGUGAUAAAAUUUAUAAUGAUUAUUUAGAUGACAAAAUUUAAUCUAUUUCGCAUUAGAUUUUGUCUAACUAACAUAACCAAUGAAAUAUAUUGUUAACAGUAUUGAUUUCUAAAAGUAAUUUUUAAUUAAUUUUAUUGAGAUGCAAUGAAGUGAAAUUCUCUAGAGAGUAGACUAGUCCUCUAUAUUCUACCAGUACAGCCCUAUUUUUGGCUUCAGCGACUUCCUCCUUCUGCGUUCUUUUCAUGUUGGUUGGUCCUUCUCGAAGCAAUAUACACAACCAAUCUUCUGUCCCAUAUUCUGUCCCAUUCUCUGUCCCACUUUUUAUUAUAUUGCUAUUUCUCCUUUAUAAACAUCAUGUUUUAAUUCUUUUUUGUUUCCUUAAGAUUCAAUAACUAUUAAUUAAGUAAAAAAUAAAUACAAUAGGUUCAAAAAAGUAAUAUAUAAUAGAGAAUUAAAAAAUACAGUAGAAAAUUCAUAAAAAAUUCAUUUUUUAUGCAUUUUGAUUUUUUGAGUUUGUUAAAUUUUGUGUAUUACUCAAUUAAUAGUUAUUGGAUCUUAAAAAAAUAAAAAAGAAUUAAAACAUAAUAUUUAUGAAAGAGAAAUAGCAAUAUAAUAAAAAAUGGGACAGAAAGUGACACAGGAUAUGAGACAGAAGAUCCAUAAUGGGCCAUGGUGCCACAGGCUUUUCAGACAUUUUUGGGACUAUCCUCCUCCACACGGUACACCACGUAACACAACUAUAAAUAUGUUAUAAAAUUAAUAAAAUGAAAUACUACAAUAGAAAUUGAAGAAGUAUUAGAGAAAUGAGUAGAGAAAGGGAUAAUGAUAUCCUUAUAUUUCAACAAGAUACAAAAGUCAUCCCAAAGGGUCUUAAUGUACCUCUAUAUAUAGGCACUAUAAGAUUAAAGAUACAUAAAUCUUAUUAAACAUCCAUUACUACAAUAAUAUGAAGAAACCUAUGAAACGGUUUCUCCACUACAUGAAUGGAUUUAUGAAUUGUAACUUCUAUACAUAAGUAGCCAUAAAAUCAUGAAUUAAUCCCCUUGGGAAUACAAAGGGACAUCCACAUUUUUGUUAUUUCAUAACACUUCUCCUUGGAUGUCCAUUACACAAAGAAUAUGCCUCGUUAAAACCUUACUAGGGAAAAACCCAGUGGGACCAAAAACCCUAGUGAAGGAAAAAGAGUACACUAUUCUUGUGUAAUAAUUUCUCCCCCUGAUGCAAACGUCAUUUGAGAUCUUUUAAUCGUUGCAUUCCAAUACUCUUUACCAAUUUCUCAAAUGUCGCAGUUGGUAAUGCCUUGGUAAAUAAAUCGGCCAGAUUAUUAUCUGAUCGGAUUUGUUGCACAUCAAUUUCACUAUUCUUUUACAAAUCAUGAGUAAAAAAGAAUUUUGGUGAAAUAUGUUUCGUCCUAUCUCCUUUAAUAUAUCCUCCUUUCAAUUGAGCUAUACAAGCUGCAUUAUCUUCAUAUAUAAUAUAGUUGGAGGAUUUUCUUUUCCGGAGGAUAACCCACAAUUCUUCCGGAUAUAGUGGGUCAUUGAUCUUAACCAAACACAUUCUCGACUGGCUUCAUGAAUUGCUAUUAUUUCAGCAUGAUUCGAUGAAGUGGCGGCUAGUGAUUGCUUUGUAGAUCGCCAAGAAAUGGCUGUGCCUCCAUAUGUAAAUAAAUAACAAGUCUGAGACCUUGCUUUAUGCGGGUCAGAUAAAUACCCAGCAUCAGCAUAACCAACCAAUUCAGGUUUGGACUUAUUUGAAUAAAAUAAACCAAGAUCUAUUGUUCCUUGGAGGUAGCGAAAAAUAUGUUUAAUACCAUUCCAAUGUCGUCUUGUGGGCGAGGAACUAAAUCUUGCUAAUAAAUUUACUGCAAAUGAUAUAUCAGGUUUUGUACAAUUAGCAAGAUACAUUAGUGCAUCAAUUGCACUAAGAUAUGGUACUUCAGGACCAAGUAUCUCUUCAUUUUCCUCUCGUGGUCUAAAAGGAUCCUUAUUAGGAUCUAAUGAUCUGACAACCAUUGGGGUACUCAAUGUAUGUGCUUUGUCCAUAUAAAAUCGCUUUAAUACCUUCCGGGUAUAAGCAGUUUGGUGGACAAAAAUUCCACCUUUCAAAUGCUCAAUUUGUAAACCAAGGCAGAAUUUUGUCUUUCCAAAAUCUUUGAUCUCAAAUUCUUUCUUUAAAUAUUCAACACUAUUUUGAAUCUCUUCAGGAGUUCCAAUUAAAUUUAGAUCAUCAACAUAUACCGCAAUUAUCACAAAAUUUGAUCCAUUUUUCUUGAUAAAAACACAUGGACAUAUUGGAUCAUUGGUAUAACCUUCUUUUGUCAGACAUUCAUUGAAACGGUUAUACCACAUACGUCCAGAUUGUUUGAGCCCAUACAGAGACCUUUGUAAUUUAAUAGAAUAAAUAUUUUAGGAUUUGAUUUGCAUCCUUCAGGCAUGUUGAAUCUUUCGGGAAUUCUCAUAUAAAUAUCAUUUUCAAGAUUCCCAUAUAAAUAUGCAGUAACGACGUCCAUUAGACGCAUAUCUAAUUUUUCAUGUACUGCAAAACUCACAAGAUAUCUAAAUGUGAUAGCAUCCACUACAGGUGAAUACGUUUCAUCAUAAUCAAAUCCAGGCCUUUGUGAAAAUCCUUGGGUUACAAGUCUUGCUCUAUAUCUCACAAUUUCAUUUUUCUCAUUUCUUUUUCUCACAAAUACCCAUUUAUAUCCUACUGGCUUUACACCUUCAGGUGUUUGGACUACAGGUCCAAAAACUUUUCUUUUAGCCAGUGAGUCCAAUUCAGAUUGGAUCGCAUCUUUCCAUUUUGGCCAAUCAUUUCUACCUCGACAUUCAUCAACCGAUCUAGGUUCAUGAUCCUCGUCCUCUGCCAUAAUAUCAAGUGCUAUAUUAUAUGCGAAAAUAUUAUCAAUAAUUAUUUCUUUUCGGUUCCAACUUUUUCUUGAAGUGACAAAAUUCAACCUCCUGAAGAGGUCGCUCCUAAAGAGCCAAUUCUUGAAGAGAAUGAAAUCUUUGGAACCAAGAGGUCUCCCACGCUUCAGGCGUGCUUUAGACUCAUUAGCACUUGUGAUUUGUCCUUCAGGGACAUCAAUUUUAAUCAGAGCAUUUUCAGCAGGAAUAUGUGAUUUAGUAACUCUUUUGGAGUCAUUAAAUGCAUCCGGUAAUUGAUUUGCAAUUUUUUGUAAAUGUAUAAUCCUUUGAACUUCUAAUUCACAUUCUUUAGUACGAGAAUCAAGGAAAUUCAAUGAUAUUUUCCAAGUGAUUUCCUUUUUCGGUUGAUUUUUAUCUCCCCCUAAUGUCGGAAAAUGUGAUUCGUCAAAAUGACAAUCUGCAAAUCUCGCAGUAAAUAAAUCACCUGUUAAUGGUUCCAUAUACUUAAUGAUUGAAGGUGAUUCAUAUCCGACAUAUAUCCCCAAUCUUCUUUGUGGGCCCAAUUUACGACGUUGGGGCGGUGCAAUUGGGAUAUAGACCGCACAACCAAAUAUUCGUAAAUGAGAAAUAUUUGGCUCAUAACCAAAAAUUAAUUGUAGAGGAGAAUAAGUGUGAUAAUUUGUCGGCCUAAUUCUCACAUGUGUUGCUGCAUGUAAAAUAGCAUGUCCCCAAGCAGAUGAAGGAAGCUUAGACCUCAUCAACAAUGGUCUAGCAAUUAAUUGUAGCCGUUUAAUAAGUGAUUCGGCUAAACCAUUUUGUGUGUGAACAUAGGCUACAGGAUAUUCAACAGUUAUUCCAAUGGACAUACAAUAAUCGUCAAAAGCAUGCGACGAAUAUUCACCAGCAUUAUCUAGACGAAUUUUCUUUAUUGAAAAAUCUGGAAAUUGUGCUCGCAAUUUAAUUAUUUGAGCAAGUAAUCUCGCAAAUGCCAAGUUACGAGUAGAUAAUAAACAUACAUGUGACUGAUAGGGUGUAAUUUUAUUAUUUAUUUUAUUAUUAAUUUCCCCUAUUACCUGAUCCAAUGUGGAUUAAUUGUCAGAUUCUAUUCAUUUUUGGCAUUUGUACUUAUCAUAGGGACUAGGAGCAAAAUAUAAUAAAAUGAGUGAAAAUCUCGCAUUCCAAGUGAUGUCUGGCGGGGUCGUGUCAACUCAGGUCUUCACAAGUCCAGAAGUUUAGCAUAGAAAGGAAACUUACUUUGGCAGCUCAGCGGGAGAGAAAAAAGCCAAAGUUUGAUUAGGACUCUAGUGCUUUUGGGAGUAGGGCCGGCCGCAAGAGAGAAACAAAUAAAAGCAACAAAUGGAGUUGGGGGCAGCCGUGACUUCACUUGGGGAAUUAAUCCCGUAAGCCCCUGGCUAGAGGCUAGGGAGAAGACAUUAGCAUCCUCUUCCACUUUGUACUUUUUCUUUCAUUCUUAAUUAUUCGGAUUCCUUCAUCAUAUAGAGAAGGAUGUCCUCGACAAUUAUUGCUGAAUUUUCGCAUGGAAUUUUCUCUAUAGAGAUGAAUUAAAUUUCAUUACUCUAGUCAAGGAGCAACGAAGGCUCUGAUUCGCCUAAAAAUUGUGAGAUCGAUUUAAUUUUAUCUUUUUCUUUUAUUUAUUGGUAUUCGCAUAUUCCUUGGUUGCAGUGCUUAUGAUUGUUUAAUUAAUUGAUUGUUUUGGAUCCGGAUAAUUGGUUAAUUUGAUAAUCUAUUGUCAAUUGGGACGUUAAAUCCGUAAUUGUUUAAUUGUCUCAAAAUAGUGAUAACUGACAUGAUUGGAUUUGUGUCAGGGGGAUACGCGGGCUAAUCUAAAAUAACCCUGGUAGUGCGUUAUUUGGUUAGAAUAGGGCUCUUCUAAUACGUAAGGCAAUUGGAGAAUUAAAUUCUAUGGGCGUACCUAGGAUUGUUUUUCAAUUAGAGCAGUGAUUAACGGGCGUACCUUAAUCAUCGACACAGUAAGGAGGGAUUGACUGUCAUCGCUUGUUUGGCAGUUAUAACCUAUUUAUUAGUAAAUAAUUGGAAUUGCCUUUGCUUAUCGAUGAUCAAUUAAGUGAACCAUUGCUGAAGUUAUUCCUUGGCUAGAUCCUUAAUUAUCACUCAUUUGAUUUUAGUAAUUUUUAUUUAAUUUUUAGUAGUUUUUUAGAUUUUAGUUGAACUUCUUGGAUUGUCACCUUCUGCACAAAAACACCCCCCUUGUCACUGUGAAUUUGAAAAGAAACAAUUACUCCCAAUCCCUGUGGAUUCGACCCUGCUCACCACUAUCUACAGAAAUUAAUUUUAGUUUGAGCAGGUUUUAUUAUUGUAUAGGUUUCGACAACCUGUCAAUUUUUGGCGCCGUUGCCGGGGACUGGUGCCAGAUUAAUUUGUUUCUUUUUGAGUUUAUCUUGUUUUCAUUUUUUUUAAUUUAUUUUUCUCUUAUUUUUUUUAUUUUUUUAUGGCUGCUAACAUUCCAUGUUUUGAUGAUAGACUGGACUUUGUUCCUGAAUAUGGUUAUGAGACUCAUGUUUUUCCUAAUGAUCAAUGGGCUGUUGCAAAUUGUGGAACUUAUUUUGAUUCAGGUUAUUCAACUGACACAUGCCCCGCAUUUCAAGAUAAUUUAAGCGUUCCAAUUGAUACUUUUGGAGAUUUUCCAUCUCGAUUUCAAACGUGGUAUGACCCUUAUUCAAACGAGUAUGAUCAAGGAUGGUGGGAUAAUUCCAAUUUUGAUUAUGCGACCGGGCCAAUGGAUUUUCAACAGCAAGAGUCUCAGCAAUCAUCCUCCGUGUCAGGUAUGUCUCUUGAAGAAAUGAUGGGAUUACUAAUUGCUAAUUCAAAUCGAUUUCAUCAGGAGACACAAGCGAGCCUAAAUCGAUUUCAUCAGAAGACACAAGCGAGCUGUCGCGACCUGGCGGAUCAAAUGCAGCAAUUGACAUCCAGGAUAGAGCGAUUAGCUUCUCACCUUGAAGAAUUGCCCUCACAAACCAAUAUCAAUCUUGAAGGAGAUGAGAGUGCAAUUAUCCGGCCAAAUGACAUGGAAUUGCAAGAGUUUCAAAGAAACGGAUUUAAAGAUGCAGUUGAAAAGGAAGUUGAAGUGCAAAAAAUGAGACUCCAGGAUCAACUCAUUCAAGUGAAUGAAUCCAGUGAACAAUCUCCAAAUACGGUGACAUCUUCUCCAUUCCUUCAUCAAUAUUCUCCUGACUCUUACUCUUCAAUUCCUGUUAACGAAAUUGACUUUAUUAUACCAGACAAUUUUGAAUUUCAUGACAGGAAUAAAUUAAGAGUGGCGAUGGCGAGAUAUCUUGAACCAAUAAAUGCAAGUGAGGGAGAAGUGAAUGGAGAAUGCAAAUUAUCAUCGACUCGUUUGGCGCCAUUCAGUAGUCCAUGGAAGCCCGUAGCUCGUAUGCUCAAGGAUUAUUUUAUUUACGAGGGUUAUCAGGACUAUAUAGAGGAUGAAGCAUUAAAACGAGCCACACGAUUUUAUCCUCCAUGAACAAAACAUGAUAAUGUCUAGCCAAAGACAUUAAAGAAAGGCGCUCAUUGGGAGGCAACCCAAUUUCUUUUAGUUGUUUGUUUGAUUUUAUUUGUUAGUUUAAAUCUGUCUUCUUUGAAUUUGACUGAUUUUGGGUGUUAAUUUUCGUUUUUGCUGAUUUGUAGGUGACCUUCAGUCAUGACGCGCCUGCGUGGUGACGUGCAUGAAGCUCACGAUCAGAAACUCCUGGGAGAUCUCUUGCUCUCUUGACGUGCCCGUGUCAAGUUCGUGGGAAAGGUAAGGAUUAAAAAAAAAAAAACAAUUUUCAACCGUAGCUAGGUUUCUCAAUCUCAAAAAAAAAAAUUUAUUUUCUGUGGAAAAAAAAAGAAAAAAAACUGAAAAAAAAAGAUAUUUCUCACCGUAGCAAAUAUUUCUCACAAAAAAAAAAAAUUUCUUUUUCCUUCUUUACUUUUCUUUCUUUUCCUUCUUUUUUCUUUCUUUCUUCUUCUUCUUCUUUCUUCCUCCCCUGCUCCCUCUCUGUUGCCCGAAUCCCUUCGCUCGCCGCCCACUUGCGCCGCAACCCCCAUCACGCAGCAGCCUAACGCCGCACCUCCUCCCUCUUCGCCGCGCGCCGCCACUACGUGGCUCUCUUCCCCCUCGGUCGCAAAUGCUGCCCACGCUGAUGGCCGCGCGCCGCCCCUCUGCUCUUGCCGCCAGCCGCGGCUAUUUUCUUCCACCGCUGCCCAGACCACCAGUGCCCCACUGUCGGCUCCUCCUCGGUCUCCACAGUCGCGCCACCACCAUCUUCAUCGCGAGCUGCCAUCGCGCGCCAUCGCAAGCUGCUACCCUCUGCGCAGCCACUGCUGCUUCAACGCACGAGGCGCGCCCCUCCCAUCUCUCUCUCUCUCUUCACGAGACCGUGGCCGAGCAACCCACGCCGCCUCCACUCCAGCUUGUUCGCCGCUGAAGCUCGAUCCGCCGCCCACUGCGCGGCUUCCUUCCAUCUCCCUCUAGCUCUGCUGAGCUCCGCUGCCCCCGCUACUGCACGCCACCUCCGCAGCAGCAGCCUCCACCUCGCUGCACACGCUCUCACCUCACGCCCCCUCUUUCGCACAACGUGGUGGUACCUCCUUUCCUUAACACUCGCUUGUUUAUUUGGAAUGUAUGUUACUGGGUUUGAUGAUUGGAAUCAAUUGAGCUUUCUGUUGGGACUUUGAGUUGAUCAAUCCUGCUUUUAUUUGUUGAAUUGGGAGCCUAUGCUGCUUGAUUUGCUUGUUGAGGGUAGUAGAAUUUCGUUUAAUUGUUGGGGACAUCCUAGUGAUUGGUUAAUAUUGCUAUUUUGGGACCAUUGUCUGUGACCUCAGUGGCCGGGGUUCCCAACUGGUGGAUUAGUACAUACUUGGGGCUAUUGUUUUACUACUGCUUUGAUCUGCUAUAGCAUUUGUUGAAAUUUCUAGGGAUAUUUGUUGAAAUUUUAGUUGGACCGAGUUUACUUUUGACUGUGAGUUGGAGUUCUCGUUACUUUGGGCCAGCCGUUGGAAUUGUUUCAUCAACUCUGUGGGUAUUUUGACUCCACUAGAUUAAUUCGACUUUACUGGCUGACUGCUUGGAAGCUGGGGGGUUUGAGAUUCAGUUGUUAAUGUCAGAGUUUUCCACUACUAUUGCUUGGCUUGUUCACUUCUUAAGGUCCACUGCUGGGGGCAUUUGUUGAGUCUUUAAGUGCUAUUAUUGGAAUAUUUUAUCUGGAACUUGUUAACUCUAGUUGGUUGGAUAUUUGAUCAAUUGGCAAGACUGUGUGACUGUGUUGCUAUUGCUAAUUUUCUACACUUCUAUUGCUGAAUUUAACAUAUUAUUGGGGCAGUUGUUAUGGUUUGACUGGUGGAGGCAUUUGUUGAAAUUUUAGAAUGCAUUUGUUGAGAGUAUGGAUGGCCCGAGUUUGCUUGUUGACUGACUGAUUUGGGUAGCCCCUGUGCUUAUUGACGUGACCUUGCUAGUUUUUAGUUGUUGAUGAUAAUUGCUGGUUGUUAGUUUUGGAGUGCAACUGUUGCUUUGUUGACCAUAUUUGGGCUUGGAUGGCCCGUAUUUGCCUUUAAUUGUUGAGUUGGAGAGCACCGGUGACUAUGAAUGUGCGUUGGUGAUUGCUAUCUUUGUUGGAUAUUCUGUCUUUUGUUGUUUGGGGUGAUAAUUGGCGUCAAUGGUGAGUGGCGCCACUUACAAGCACAGGUUCACAACGUAGAUGAACGAAUGACGAACAUCACCCGCCAAGUGGCAAGGAUGUCUCAGAACUCGGCUUCCCUCCACUGUUCCCUCCUAUCCUUUCGCCACUCGUGAGGGAAGUUCCGUUGCCCUCUUCGCUUUAAUUGCUUUAAUCCUUCCAUUGAGGACAAUGUAGGAUCUAGGUGUGGGGGGGACAGCUAUACUAGUUUUUUAUUUUUAGUUUGUUAUUUGUCCACCUCUUGUUCAUUUUUUCUUCUUUUUAGUGAUUGGCUCGUAAGUGCAUGCCAAAAUUUGAUGUUGGAUUAUUGCCUCUAUUUCUACUUUUGCCAAGUUUUAAUAAUAAAAGGGUAUCAAGUUAAUGUGGUUGAAUCCAAGAACAUCUCUUUGGUGAAUAUCGAUGAUUGUUUUACUCUUAUAAUUUUUGGUUAACUUUCCUAGGCAUGGGGAAUGAUUAUUGGCAUUUUCAUGUGAAUUGGUCCGGUUAUUAAUUUUAGCUCUCCAUGUUUGAAAAUGAGGCUAGCUGAUGCAAGUUUUCUUUUGGUUCGUGUGUUAUAUUAAGUUUUUAUGAUUUUUAGUUAUGAAUAAAUUUGACUGUACUCCGCUAUUAGUUACUACUGAAUAACCGGGGAUCUGCACCUAAAAGUGUUGAUUCUCGCGUCAAAAGGUAGUAAUUCCUAUGAGUACGUGGUCACGUGACGAUAGAAGCUGAGUAACCGGGCUCCUUCAUCUGGCCAAUGUUGGAGUUCGCGUCAAAAGGCUCAAAUGGCUAGCGACUAAGUCUUUUGUUACUAUUGAAAAAAAAAAGAAUAAAAAAAAGAGAGAAAAGUAGGAAAAAAUGUGAAAAAAAGUGAAGGUUGUGUUAGUGUGUAAUAAAAGUCAGCUUGCCGAAUUAUGGAUUUAAUGUUGAGAUUUUGGUUAAUAGUUGGACCAUUUGUUGAUAAACGUUGUGCGUCAUUCCUUUUUCUUAGAUUAGUUAACCUGAAAUUAGAGAAGUUUGUGGUUUAGAAGCUAACCGGAGUGAUGUUUCUUGGACUUGACCAUUGAUGCUUGAUUAUUAUUUUUCUUGGUAUCUUGGCAAUUUGUUGGAUAGAGCAAUAGCCAUUGUCAAAUAUUGGUAUUUGUCUACUGUUCUUAUGCUUGAGGACAAGCAUGGUUUAGGUGUGGGGGAAUUGAUAGGGUGUAAUUUUAUUAUUUAUUUUAUUAUUAAUUUCCCCUAUUACUUGAUCCAAUGUGGAUUAAUUGUCAGAUUCUAUUCAUUUUUGGCAUUUGUACUUAUCAUAGGGACUAGGAGUAAAAUAUAAUAAAAUGGGUGAAAAUCUCGCAUUCCAAGUGCUGUCUGGCGGGGUCGUGUCAACUCAGGUCUUCACAAGUCCAGAAGUUUAGCAUAGAAAGGAAACUUACUUUGGCAGCUCAGCGGGAGAGAAAAAAGCCAAAGUUUGAUUAGGACUCUAGUGCUUUUGGGAGUAGGGUCGGCCGCAAGAGCGAAACAAAUAAAAGCAACAAAUGGAGUUGGGGGCAGCCGUGACUUCACUUGGGGAAUUAAUCCCGUAAGCCCCUGGCUAGAGGCUAGGGAGAAGACAUUAGCAUCCUCUUCCACUUUGUACUUUUUCUUUCAUUCUUAAUUAUUCGGAUUCCUUCAUCAUAUAGAGAAGGAUGUUCUCGACAAUUAUUGCUGAAUUUUCGCAUGGAAUUUUCUCUAUAGAGAUUAAUUAAAUUUCAUUACUCUGGUCAAGGAGCAACGAAGGCUCUGAUUCGCCUAAAAAUUGUGAGAUCGAUUUAAUUUUAUCUUUUUCUUUUAUUUAUUGGUAUUCGCAUAUUCCUUGGUUGCAGUGCUUAUGAUUGUUUAAUUAAUUGAUUGUUUUGGAUCCGGAUAAUUGGUUAAUUUGAUAAUCUAUUGUCAAUUGGGACGUUAAAUCCGUAAUUGUUUAAUUGUCUCAAAAUAGUGAUAACUGACAUGAUUGGGUUUGUGUCAGGGGGAUAUGCGGGCUAAUCUAAAAUAACCCUGGUAGUGCGUUAUUUGGUUAGAAUAGGGCUCUUCUAAUACGUAAGGCAAUUGGGGAAUUAAAUUCUAUGGGCGUACCUAAGAUUGUUUUUCAAUUAGAGCAGUGAUUAACGGGCGUACCUUAAUCAUCGACACAGUAAGGAGGGAUUGACUGUCAUCGCUUGUUUGGCAGUUAUAACCUAUUUAUUAGUAAAUAAUUGGAAUUGCCUUUGCUUAUCGAUGAUCAAUUAGGUGAACCAUUGCUGAAGUUAUUCCUUGGCUAGAUCCUUAAUUAUCACUCAUUUGAUUUUAGUAAUUUUUUAUUUAAUUUUUAGUAGUUUUUUAGAUUUUAGUUGAACUUCUUGGAUUGUCACCUUCUGCACAAAAACACCCCCCUUGUCACUGUGAAUUUGAAAAGAAACAAUUACUCCCAAUCCCUGUGGAUUCAACCCUGCUCACCACUAUCUACAGAAAUUAAUUUUAGUUUGAGCAGGUUUUAUUAUUGUACAGGUUUCGACAACUUGUCAGUGACCAUCUAGUUGAUGCAUCAAUUAGCACCAUAAAAUAUCGAAAUGGUCCACAUGGUGGAUCUACAGGCCCACAUAUAUCACCAUGAAUUCGUUCUAGAAAUGCAGGGGAUUCAGUCCCAACUUUAAUUUGUGAUGGUCUAAUAAUUAAUUUCCCUUGAGAACAAGCAACACAAGAGAAUUCAUUGGCUUUUAAUACUUUUUUAUUUUUCAAUGAGUGGCCAUGUGAAUUCUCAAUUAUUCGUCUCAUCAUUAUAGAUCCAGGAUGUCCGAGACGAUCAUGCCAAAUCAUAAAAUCAUCGGGAUGAGUAGACUUCUGGUCUACUAGGUGAUGAAUUUCAAUUGCACUAAUUUGUGCAUAAUAUAACCCAGAAGAAAAAGAAGGUAAUUUUUCUAUUUCGCAUUUUUUCCCAUAAAUGAUACUUGUGAUUAAUAAAAAUUCACCAUUUAUCUCAGUCAUUGUCUCGAUAUGAUAUCCAUUUUCACGGAUAUCUUUAAAACUUAAUAAAUUUCUUCGAGACUUGGGAGAGAAUAGUGCAUUAUUUACAAUAAUUUUAGUCCCUUCAGGGAGAAAUAUAGUGGCUCUUCCGGAGCUUUCAAUCAAUUUUGCACUACCACUAAUGGUAUUAACAUUUGUCUCUCCCAUUUUCAAACAAGAAAAAUAUUUUUUAUUUUUCAAUAUGGUGUGCGUAGUCGCACUAUCAAUGAGACAACUAUCAUCAUCACCAUUAUUUAAUCCCAAAUAUUUGACAUCCAUUUCUUCUUCAGGAAGAAAAUUUCAAACAAAAAUAAAUAUUAAUAAAGAUGCGAAAAUAAAUAUUCAAUGGAAAGGAAAUUACAUGAAAGAUAUAAAGCAUCAUAAAAAUAUCUAAAUAAUCAUGGGAUAUUUGUUGACAUCUUCAGGAUGUUCAAAAAAAUCAGCAACAUCGAAGUGUGUCAUGUCAGCAUCAUCACCAUCAUCAUAAUCAUUCUUUUGAUCAAUGAAAUUUGUCUCAACACCUUUGUCUUUCUUUUUCAAUGAUGCUUGAUAGAGGUCAACAAGAUGUUCGGCCGUACGACAGGUACGAGACCAAUGACCUUCCAUACCACACCGGUAGCAUUUUUCUUCAUAAACUUUCUUUUCUCCAUUUUUCUGAUCGUAGUUAUUUUCCUUCUUUUGGGAAACAUUUUGUUGCUUGCCCCGGUUAAAAUUUUCACGGGGCACAAAUUUACUACGAUCACGUCCACGGCCAUGACCACGUCCGCGGCAUCCUCCACGGCCACCUCUACGGCCACGUCCACGACCUCGACCAGAAUUUUGAAAUUGGGUCGCAUUCGCUUCAGGGAAUGGGCUUGCACCAGUUGGUCGGGACUCAUGAUUUUUCAGCAACAAUUCAUUGUUUUGUUCAGCCAAGAGAAGACAUGCAAUAAGUUCAGAAUAUUUUUUAAACCCCUUUUCUCGAUAUUGCUGCUGCAGGAGCAUGUUAGAGACAUGAAAAGUAGAAAAUGUUUUUUCUAACAUAUCUUCAUCAGUGACUUUUUCGCCACAUAAUGAUAAUUGAGAAGUGAUUCUGAACAUGGCUGAAUUAUAUUCAUUGACAGUUUUAAAAUCUUGCAGCCGUAAGUGAAACCAAUCAUAUCGGGCUUUUGGAAGAACGACCAACUUCAGGUGGUCGAAUCUUUCUUUCAAAUCUCGCCAAAGGACAAGAGGAUCUUUAACAGUAAGAUACUCUGAUUUUAAUCCUUCAUCUAAAUGAUGACGAAGAAAAAUCAUAGCUUUGGCACGGUCUUGGUUUGAGGAUUCAUUUUUUCCACAAUAGUAUUACCAAGACCCAUUGCCUCAAGAUGGAUUUCAACAUCUAAUACCCAUGAUAAAUAAUUUUUUCCAGAAAUAUCAAGAGGUACAAACUCUUGUUUUGUAAGAUUAGCCAUAAAAAAUUGAAAUAAGAUUGUGACUUAGAAAUUUACCUCAAAAGUUACUUGAAGAAAUACGGGCAGAAUUUCGGCAAAAUCUUGUGCUUCACUUUUGCUCAAAGUAGCGCCUCCGUUUUCACCUUUUGCUCAAAAGAAGAGCUUUCGUGCCGAUAACGUGUUAUAAAAUUAAUAAAAUGAAAUACUACAAUAGAAAUUGAAGAAGUAUUAGAGAAAGGAGUAGAGAAAGGGAUAAUGAUAUCCUUAUAUUUCAACAAGAUACAAAAGUCAUCCCAAAGGGUCUCAAUGUACCUCUAUAUAUAGGCACUACAAGAUUAAAGGUACAUAAAUCUUAUUAAACAUCCAUUACUACAAUAAUAUGAAGAAACCUAUGAAACGGUUUCUCCACUACAUGAAUGGAUUUAUGAAUUGUAACUUCUAUACAUAAGUAGCCAUAAAAUCAUGAAUUAAUCCCCUUGAGAAUACAAAGGGACAUCCACAUUCUUGUUAUUUCAUAACAAAAUAAUAAUUCUCCUUGCCUUUUAUUUUCUCACUUGCAUCGCUUCACUUUCUUGUUUACUACUAUUUCCUGUCGUUGUUCCUUUUCCCCCUUCUUAAUAUCUUUCUGUACUUCACUCACACCUCAGAGCUCUCAUUGUCUCUGCUGCGAUUACAGACUCGUAAUAUGUGUGUGUCUAUAUAUAUAUAUAUAUAUAUAUAUAUAUAUUUCAAGUGCCUUCAGAAGAAAUUAAUCUUUCAGUGAAUGGUCAGUCUCAAGUACCUCCAGGAUUCCGUUUUCAUCCUACGGAGUAGGAGCUCCUUCGUUACUACUUGAAGAAGAAAGUUGGCUCCAAGAAGAUUGAUCCAGAUGUUAUCGAUGAUGUGGAUCUUAUAAUGACGGCCCUAGUGUUCAUUGGGUUACUGGUAAUCACAGGUUUCAUGCUAUGGCUAUCAUCAAUGCUGUCGAAGAUAUUACUACUUAUUGCCCCACUUUCCUGCUUAGAGGUUCUACCCAUGUAUACAAGGAUGCCGUCGAGAAUGCCAUCGUAAUCUGAAGCUGGACUACUAUACCCAAGAUUUCUUGAAUCCAUGGAGGCAGCUGCGUGUUGGCAACUUUUCACAGCCUUAUGGUAAAUUUUCUUCUUCUUCUUCUAGUAAACAAGGCAGACGACCCACGCUUCUUCUGGGCUUGCUGGAUCUCCAACUAAACUGGAGGCCUGUACAUAUUGUAUUUUAAUUUUUAUUCCAAAAAGAAAAUGAAAUAAGUAUUCUAUUGUCCUGAUCAGUGGUAAAUCUGGAAGUUGAUGCAUCAUGAAACUAACUAAAAAUAUCAUUGGCAUGCAAGAUGAAAUCAAUUGAGGCAGGGAAAAUAUAAAAGCAUGAUGACUGCUUUCAUUUCAAGCAUUUUCAUUACACCUUUUAGUAAUAGCAUGAUGACUGCAUGGAAAGGCAAGAUAUGGCAUAUACAUGAGUAGGACCAACAAUCUCAUGGGAGGCGGCGGAGACAUUGUUGUUGUAGGGGUUGUCAUCUAGUCGAUAUUCAUGUAUGAUCCAAUCUGAUAGCUGUCCGUCGGGUGCUCGACCUUUAUAGAAAACAAUAGUCUUCCUUAUUCCGAAUCUUUUAGAGUUGCUGUAAAUGACCUUGUCCCGACCCGUUGCCUUCCAAAAUCCAGCCGCAAUUGCGCAAUUUGUUCAGGUCCCGUGGGGGAACUUUUUGCCUUUGUGACUGAAGAAUUACCAGUCGUUUUGUGGGGUGGAUCCUAUUUUGCUUUUCUCCGGUCCCAUAAAAUUAAUUAGUUAAUUAGUGGGCAAACAAAAUGUAGUUAAGGGAUGCUCCUGCUCAACAUAAACUUAAUUAAUUUCUUAACUACAUUUUGCUUGCCCACUAAUUAACUAAUUAAUUUUAUGGGAUCAGAGAGAUGCAGAAUAGGAUCCACCCCACAAAACGACUGGUACUUCUUCAGUCAGAAAGGCAAAAGGUACCCCACAGGGACUCGACUAAAUUGCGCAAUUGCGGCUGGAUUUUGGAAGGCAACGGGUCGGGACAAGGUCAUUUACAGCAACUCUAAAAGAUUUGGAAUACGGAAGACUAUUGUUUUCUAGUAAGGUCGAGCACCCCAUGGGCAGCUAUCAGAUUCGAUCAUACACGAAUAUCGACUAGAUGACAACCCCAACAAAAACAACGUCUCCACCGCCUCCCAUGAUAUUGUUGUUCCUACUCACGUAUAUGCCAUAUCCUGCCUUUCCAUGCAGUCAUCUUGUUUUUACUACUAGGAGGUAUAAAACGCGCGAUGCGCGUAGGUAACUAAAGACAAUAUGCCCUGCCAAGUAUGAGGAUCAAGGGAGUGAUUGAAUUUCGGUGCAUUCUUCUUUUAUCCAGCAUGUUAUGCAAAUUUAUUUAUUUUUUUGUAUAUCAAUAUGAAUUUGCAUGGCAGUUGACAAAGGGAAAAAUAGAACUGUGUCAUAUAGAUUAAGGUUGAUAAUCCAAAGUGCUAUAAACUUCAAGGAAGUGCAGAGACUUUAAAUCUAUUCCAUUACAUGAAUUUGGCAAUGAUUCUGAUAAUAUAACCCACAAAGAGACUUGGUAAAAGAAGCAUCAGUUGUUCUCAAGUUGACACUGCAAUGUCCUCCUUUCCCUAUUAACGGUACCAAAUCUAGUUUGACUACUGAUUCUCUGCAAUGCUGUAAUCCAAACCAUUUAAUGUGUAGUAUAUAUCCUACUAUUUCCUAAUUAAAGUUACAAUGAUUAGUACCCACUACAAUGGAGAAGCAGAGAAGUCCUUCAAUGAAGCCCGCUAGAUUUCUGGUGUUUCCUCUUACAAUCUCUUCCUCUUUAACCUUUCUCGCCGUCUUUUCCAUUUGGGUUCUCAAAGGUACCUCUCCAUUUCAACGCCAACAGUCCCCUCCUCUCCAUCUCCCCUUCAACCAAACUCCUCUGCAGAGUUCCUGUCCCCGCAAAGUUUGGAAGCCAAUAGCAAAGCUAGAACACAUGUCGGAUCAACCGCCCUACUCAACAACUUCCUUGACAAAUUCAAAGCAGCCCAUUUAUCGCCUUCUCCAUAAUAACAGAGGGCUAGCUUCUCAUACCUAUCUUUCUGCUCUAUUGUCCUCGGAAGCAAUUCUUCCACUUGGUAAGCUAAAGCCCUUAAACCCCUUGAUACAGACAAUGCAUAAGUAAGGUGAUCCAAAACCGAUGGAUCCCACUCAAUUCUUUUGAGAGAAACUUUUCUCAAUAGAAUCAUCAAAAGAAGAAUAGCUUCUUCAAUAUUGUUUCUAGGAACAAAGAACUGUCCAUUUGGGAUCACACGUUUGGAGGGUUUGCCUCACUUUCACUGUAAAGAAGAAAGACAACAAGCUCUUUUUGAAUCCUGGCAACAGUGUGUGCAUCAAGAUUCCAUGACUGGGAAAAUCAGCAAGUUUCCACAGUUCUGGAAGUAACUCAACAGCCUUGCUCAGUGUUUCCUGCAAUUUACAAUCAGCAGCAAAGUUUUUAGGCAAGUCUGCUGCUAAUGAAGAUUCAACUAUGUCUAGAAUAACUGAGCAUGAUUGAACAGCUUCUGCAAGAUAAUAGGAAUUAUGUAUUAGCCAGAAAAUAAAAAUUUAUGUGUUGGCCUUGGAAAUCCUCCUUCUCUUUGUCACCAAUACAGAGGAAAACUUGGAAAAUUUGCAAAAAGCAAGAGCUUUACAUUCAUGCAUGUCAGUGUUAGAAUACAAACCCCCAAAACACAAAGGGAAGUACAAAAGCUAGGCAUAAGUGUUAUUCAAUAGAAAUGAUCUCGCUUACAUCAGUCGGUAGACCAAAUUAAAUAGUUAUAUAUCCAUUGCAUUGCAAAUUUAAAAAUUUCAGUAGUAGUAAAUCUAUUGCCCACAAAUUCCAGUACAAUGAAAUACACCACCAUCUCUGUCAUGAAAUUAUAGAAAGUCUUUUGGAAUCCAACUUCUGAGUCAAGGUGUUUUGAUUGUGGUAGCCCUCCAAGUUCAAAUUUUCAAUUGCAUGAAGCAGAAAAUUAUAGUAAUACAUGGGACAGUACUGGGAGAAUAACAAAAUAAGGGGGCAAUCUCUAUUUUCCAAGUAAUCUGGCAAAAGGGCAAUAAAUGUCAGGAAAAGUCUUACAAGCAUUUUAAGAAAGUGACCGUAAAAUCUAAUAAUUAUGAGCAAUAAAAAAUGUACUGUAGUCUUAACAUGACAUCACUAUCAAAAGAACAUCUAAGAAGAAUGAUCAGAGUGCAGCAAAAGUAGGUAAAGACAUUCAAAACUCCAAAAAACCAGCAGAAAUGUAUGAUAUGGACUUAUAGAAAACAGAUUGAAGUUUCACCAAGUAGUUGAAAACUACCUUUAUAUCUCCUGAGAGCCUCAAGAGAUUUCGCUUUUAGAAAUAUUGCUUCCAGGAGCAAACUAACAGCAUGUAAUGACAUGGGCAGCGAGGAAUAAUUUUGAGAUUGUUUUCUGGGAUGGUCUCCUCGUCUGGCAAGUGUGAUUUUCAUCUUCAGAGUAACUGUAACAAUAUUGAUUCCUUCAAAAACAUGUAAAGUAGCUUCUAUGUUUCCCUUUUGAUAUUCAUAUCUUCCUAACAGUGCUCUAGCUUCCUGAAAAGUAAGGACAAAUUAGUGCAAGCAAAGGAUCAGCCAAGAAAUCGUUUAACUUUGAAAAAACACAAAUUAAGAAAGCAUUCACAAGCAAGAAACUGCAAAACUUAAGUAAAAGAUGUUCAGAAAAGAAAGCUUUUGACAACCCCUCAUAAUUCAAAGAACCACUCUCACGCAGAGACAAUUCAACCUCUUCAAUGUUGCCUGCAUCAGGCUUCAUUUCAGCUUCUCUAGCUUGAGAAGAAUAAACACUUGUGGAACAAUCUUUAGUUGCAAGUGAUUCAGAAGAAGGGAUCAUUUCAUCUGCUUUUGCAAGUUCCCCUGAGCAGAGGCAAUUCAUGGCCUUUCGCAAUUUAACUUUAACUUGAGCCAUCUUCUGCUCUUUGCCCAACUUUUCAUUCCUCAUGCUUUGUCACCAGUCUCAAAAAUCUUCAGCAUGCAACAACAUAGGGAAUAACAAAUUAGAAUCCAUUCCUUAAAGGGAAAAAACUAAUUGCAAUGAAUCCUGUCCAGAGAUUCAGUGAAGGGAUAUGCCAAUGGUAAUUAAGAAACAUAAGCAUCUCGACCUUAGAAAAAAUGAGAACCUAUUUUAUGCAUGGCUGAAUCAUGAAAAACACAACAAAAGAGGAAGUAAAUACUGAGGAAACAUUCCUAAAUAGGAACAGAACUAUAACAAUGCAACACUAAGAUCAUUUCAGAAAUGGGAACCUUUUUAGCAAUCAGUAUGAAGCAACAUAUUCGGAACUUAUUCUCAAAACCUUGAGCCUGAUAUAAUCAAUUUCAUCAUCAAAAGCAAAUAAAUUUCCUUAAAAUCAAAAAAAUUCUAAAAGCCCAUUUCAGAUUUCAAAACAUGAACCUAUUUCAGAACGUCUGAAGCCAGAAUUAUGGGACUUGGAUCACAAAAUUCACAAACCAAAACCUCAACCCAACACAGCAAGCUACCAAACAGAUGAAGUAAAAUCCCAUAGAAUAUUACCAAAAAAAAAACCAACUGCAAACAACACAAACAAUGACACCUAUCAAACUUGAUGAAUCAAAAUUAAAACAAAAAAUUCUCACCUUUCACUAUUCUUGGAAGAAAAAAAGGGAUGACAGAGCUUGAAAGCCGACAAGGCAUCACCACCAAGCUUCAUCUCUUAUGCCCAAUUUUAAAUUCCCACUUUGAAGGCAAAUUUGGUAUGAUCCCGUGGUCUCGAAAACUCUAGAUCCUCAUGUUUUCCAGGGAGAUCUUUCAGUAAAAAGCAUCAAUUUCUUCAGUCCCCUCCAGGGCCUCGAACUCAUUCCAGAGUGUCAAUAUAAUAGGCUUCAUGCUUCAAUCACAGGGCCAAACAAACAAAAGUUAUCAAAUCAAAUACAACAAGUACCAAUAACAGACAGAACAAAAAUAAAAUCGACACAUACUCAUAAUUAACAAUUACAUAGUCCCGUGCAACAGAUGGUCCCCCUUCAAAAUAAACAUCCCUAGCAGGAAAAGCACAGAGAACAAUUCCCAUGAUAUCUGCCAAGUUCAAAAAAAAAAACCAGUGAAAACCAGAACAUACAGAUAUAGUUGUAUCCAUUACAUAGAAAACAGAUUAAUCAAUAAUGCAUUACUUAUAAACUUUUCUGUCUCAGCAACAGUGUGACAAGAAGAAAUAGAAGCCAACGCAAAAUAAUAUGGAAGUUUUGGAGCCUCUAUUUCAAAUACUUCAUCAAGCACAGUUUCGUCGGUCAAAACCCAAUAAUAAGGAUAAGAUCCAACAGCCACGCAAUCAGGGAUCUUAUAAACACGAGCCUUGGAUAUACGGUACUUUCUAAACGGUACAAGUAACUGGCUAACACAAUCAAUGUUACCAUCAAUUGCAAGUGCAGUAACCUUCACGCCCUAAAAGAAACAAAUGCACAGUCAGUGAAAGCAUCAAGGAAAGUAAAACAACAGAUCAGCAGAAAUCUAUACCUGGAAAUCACAAAAAACAAAGUAGCGGAAUUUUUUCGGUAAAUCGCUUCCACAGGUUGUCUUUACAUGCGAUGCCUCGAUAAGUUGAACUUGACAUGUCCAAUGAACCAGGCAAGAAUCAAAGAUAAAAACCAAUUAGAAAAAGAGUAUCCCAAAAAAAUAACAGCAACACACAAUAAAAGCCACCACAAAUAAACACUGAAUAAAAGCAAAAACACUAAACUUCAAGAGAGCACCAAACAAGAAACUACCACAAAGCUAAAAUUCCAAAAAAAAAAACAGAAAACAAUCACAGGUAUACCAGAAGCAAAUGGAGCAAACAAACCAAACCAUAAAAAAAAUAAAAUAAAAAACAAAUGAAGAAAGGAAAAACAAUUUACAAAUCACAAAAGUACAAUAACAAAGCAAAGCAGAUAACAAUAUGCUACCAAAGUAAAAAAGAAAAACAAAUUGUCAAUCAGAAGCAAACCACUAAAAAAAACGUAAAACCAGCCUCACACUGCGAAAACAAACCACUAAAAAAGCCAGCGUUACAACCCCACAUAAGAAAAUACAAAGAAGAAACCUGAAAAAAAAAAAAGCAGAAAGCUACAAAAGACACAGAAUAAAAAAUAAAUUCAAAGAAAAAAUACAUUGACAAAGAAAUAAGAAAACAAACACAUACAAAAAAAAGACCACUUUCGAAGGGAAAAAAUUCUCAUAAAAGGCAACAUCCAACUACAAAAAAAAAGAACCACGGACACCAACAAAACAUAUAGUUGGCCUUAAAAAUCCACAUAAGCAAAAAAAAGACGAAAAUACAUUUUCAAAAAAACCAUCGAACAAGAAAGACAAAAUCUAUAUCGUAGAAGUCCCAAAAAAACUACAACAAAAACUCAUUCGACAAAACAUACAUACAACGCUGGAUGCAAAAAAGGGGAAAAAUCGAAGGAAAAUCAAACCAGCAACAAGUUCCAACAAGGAGUCAUUAUUUUCUUGUUACAACAAGAAGCAAAAAAAAACAGUAAGAAACGCCCCCUUUUCUUUCCACCAGAAGCUAAAAAACAGCUGGGAAAAUAGCACAAAAAAAAAACAAAAAGCAUGAAACAGAACAAUGGAGGCAAUACCUUAAAAAAGCAGAACAAAAUCAGAAAUGCUUACAUCAUGGCCAUGGAUAUCUGUUUGAAAUCAUGUUUUUUUUUUGUGGGAAAUGGAGAAGAAUUGCCCAAAAAAUUUCUAAAAUUUAAGCGAGAAUCCAGGAAACUUUAGCUUUGCAGUUGAUCGGAGAAGGAGAGAGAGGUGAUUGACAACUUCUUUGUAGAGGAGAGGGUAUAAGUGGGCUGGAGUUGCGGCCUGGAGGGAUAUGAGAGAAUUUUUUGUUGGAAUUCUGCCUAGCUGGAGCUGCGGUUUAGGGUUGAAAGGAAACAAAGGAAAAAGGAGGAAGAAAUGGAGAGUAGGGAGAAGAAAGAAAGCGGCUGAGGUUUAGGGUUGAAAAGAAGACAAUGGAAAAAGGAGGAGAGAGAAGGAAUGGAGAGUGGCGUGAGUAGCACGAGGGCCGACGAAAAAAAGCCUGGCACGCGAGGAGCACGAGGGCCGACGAAAAAAAAUGAGCCUCAGGCCGACGAAAGAGCCUCAGACCAAAACCCCCCACUCGCUCUUAUUCUAUAUAUGUUGAAAAGGUGUAACGAAAAUGCUUGACAUGAAAGCUGUCAUCAUGCUUUUAUAUUUUCGCUUCCUCAAUUGAUUUCAUGCUGCUAAUGAUAUUUUUACUUAGUUUCAUGUUGCAUUGACUUCCGGAUUUACCACCGAUCAGGACAAUAGAGUACUUAUUUCAUCUUCUUUUUGGAAAAAAAUAAUAAAAUACAAUAUGUAAAGGCCUCUAGUUUAGUAGGAGACCCAAUAAGUCCAGAAGAAGAGUGGGUCGCCUGCCGUGUUUACAAGAAGAAGAAGAAAAUUUACCACUAGGCUGUGAAAAGUUGCCAACAUGCAGUUGCCUCCAGGGAUUCAAGAAAUCUUGGGUAUAGUAGUCCUGCUUCAGAUAACAAUGGCAUUCUCAACCGUAUCCUUGUAUACAUGGGUAGAACCUCUAAGCAGGAAAGUGGGGCAAUAAGUAGUAAUAUCUUUGACAGCAAUGAUGAUAGCGAUAGCAUGCAACCUGUGAUUACUAGUAACCCAAUGAACACUAGUGCCCUCAUCAGCGAGGGGGUUCUUCAAGACAAGUCAUGCAUCCUCUGCCGUUGUCCCUAGCAGACUGUUAACAGAAAAAGGAUAGCGAAUCAUGAGAAGAAUUGUGUAUCUUAUAUUUUCUGUACAAGGAUACAACAUCUAUUUAUACUUGAAAAUCUCUUUAACAAAUCUCCCAUAAUUAUACUAAAUAAAAUCUCCUAUAAUUAUGCUACAAUUAUGCUAAAUAAAUCUCCUAUAAUUAUGCCAACAUGUCCCCUCAAACUCAUGAUGGUAUAGUAGAUGCUAACUUGAGUUUGUCUAAGAGAUCUUGAAAGCAAGGCGGAAGAUGUGUUUUGGUAAAUAUAUCAGCUGUUUAAUUAGAGGAAAUAGUUACCAAACAUUCACUGCCAUGAGUAACAUUUAUACUGCCUUUUUUUAUUAUUAUUAUAACUCAACUUUUAUUGCCACCGAUCGAACAAAGAUACACAGAGCCAAAAAAGCCUAGACAAAACUACACGAAACUAAUGUCGGAACCUGCCUAGCCGAAUCGAGGGAACUGAGAGCCUGUCCAAUUGGAGGGCGGACCGGGCCUUCCGAGGAAGCUCAGCCCGGACAGUAAAAACGCCAUCCUGUUGAGGCCGCGAGCACGCAAGGGCAUCCGCUACCGUAUUUGCUUCUCGAUAGAUAUGUGCCACUGAGACCCCCAUUUGCCCUGAAAGCCAUUGAAUAUGACGUAGAGUGUUGACCAAAGGCCAUCGGGCAGGGCCGCAAGAGGAGACCAUGCGCACCAAAACACUCGAAUCCACCUCAGCCACAAAGUGCAUGAUGUGCCGAGCAUAACAUAACCGCAAACCUUCCAAUAACGCCAACGCCUCUGCUGUGAGCACAUCGCACUCCCCGAACUCCUUGUAGAAUGCAAAAACCAGGUCGCCAUCUGAGGUACGCACCAGUCCCCCCCCGGUGGCCAGCCCCUCGGUGACGCUAGCAUCGGUAUUCAGUUUCACUGAGGACGUGGGUGGCAAUGCCCAAGUAAUUGCGCGGGGUAUAACCUGCCGUCGAUUGUCUAUGCCAAAUAUCGCCCACUCGCAAUCCGCAUCCCCCUGGAAGUCCUGCCGGCGUAACCGACCGCCCCUUCCCAGCUGCUGGAUAAAAGCGCUAACCUGCAAAAUGAUAAUCCCUGGGGACAUGGCCGUCCCCUCAAAACGAGCUGCAUUACGGGAUUUCCAUAGAAACCAUAGGAUCACCAUAGGAAGAAGGACACGAAUAUGAUUCCUGCUCACACAGGAGUGGGAGAAGAACCAGCUGGAGAGUCUAGCCUGCACCCCCCGCCCCUGUGUCAUAAUCCCAAAGCGAUCUGCAAAAAACCUCCACACUGUCACAGCCACUGGCCCAGAUACCAAGAGAUGGCCAGUGGUCUCCGUCGCACCCCCACAACAUGAGCACCUUGACGCCAAAGGACGUCCCCGCUGCUGUAAUACACCAUCCAAUCACUGCCAUGAGUAACAUGAUAACAUACAAAGUGACAAUCAAUUUCAAUGUGUUUUGUAAGCUCAUGAAAUACAUCAUUGUGAGAUAUUUGUAUGGCAUUUCUAUUAUCACAAUGAAACAUAGUGGCAGAAGAAUGCGUGACACCUAUAUCGGUUAACAACCACCAUAAUCAAGGUAAUUCAGAUGCAGCAUCAUCAAGACCACGACAUUCAGAUUCUAUGCUAGAGCGGCGAACGGUAGUUUGCUUUUUUUCUAUGCCAAGAUAUAAGACAUUCACCCAAGAAGAAAUAGUAACCAGUUGUACAGCAACGAUCUGUUGCAUCACUGGCCCCAUCAGCACUAAAGAUGAGUUAGCAGAGAAGUGUAAACCAUGAAAGAGUUCCUUUAAUAUAGCGAAGGAUCCGAAGUACUGUAGAGAAAUGAGAUGAGUGAGGAGUAGACAUGAACUAACUAACGAGGUGAAUAGCAUAUAGGAUAUCAAGACGAGUAACAGUGAGACAAACAAGACUCCCAACAAGUUGUUGGUAUGACGGAAGAUCAGCAAGGGGAAUGCCAUUGAGAGGUGUAAGUUUGCAAUUGAGUUCCAAGGGAGUUGAUACCGUUUCGUUAUCAGUGAUGCUAGCUCGAGAAAGUAAGUCAGAUGCAUACUUGGCUUGAGAGAGAUAAUAACCUUCAGAAUUUUGACAAACUUCAAGACCCAAAAAAUAGCUAAGAAAACCAAGAUCUUUCAUUUCAAAAUGAUGACUAAAAUAAUGUUGUACUUCUGAAAUACCAGAUGCAUCAUCUCCUGUUAUUAUCAUAUCAUCAACGUAGAGUAAUAGAAGGACAAUUCCACCAUCAGUUCGUCGAAUGAAUAAUGUAGAAUUAUAUGGACUAGUGAUCGACGAAUUCCUGCAAGUGCACAUGGUCGAUCACAGUAAUAAAUUACUUGGAGUAUUCCAGGAUUGAACCCAUAGGAAUGAAUUAAUUUUCUACUUUAAUUAUUCUAACAAAAGAAUAAAAUUCAAAUUCAAGAGUUAUAUUUUCUAACUAAGCAAUAAAAUAAUCAAUGCAAAUAAAGUAGUGGUGAGAAAAAAUAGACGCCAGUCUAGGGUUUCAUAUGUUAAACUAGAAUUUGAAUCAAUUAUCUAGUUAUUUCUUAAUAAACUAUGAACGCAUCACACGACUAUAUUUUAGACCACCUCUCGAUGCAUCUAAAGUGUGUUUAACUAAAUCCUAUACCUCUCUCAAUGGUCAUAAGAGUUCAAUUAAACUCAUUAAGAUUCUCAGUAAUAUAGGUGCGUCACGCACAUUCUAAUCUACUCUCAUGAUUAAUCUAUAUAUGUUUAUCUACCUAGUGCACGGUUGUAUCUUCUUUCUCAAUUUGACACAAACCCAACUUCAUGUUCGUGGUGAUCAGGCAUAAUUACGCAUUAAGAACAAGAUAAAUAAAUCAUAGUAAAAGGCAAGGAAUUAAACUAAAAGAAUGAAUCAAAUUCUUUUAUAAAAACCCUAACCCUAGAAACAAUUUAGUUCAAUAUGAUUUGAAAAUUAUAACCACUAAUUCAAAGAGUUGCUACAAAGAUAAGACAAAGAAUAAGAAAACUUCUCAAUUGCUCGCUUCAAUCUUCUCUCCUUGCACGCUCCAUGAUUCAUCUCUGUUUGAUCUUAAUCUCUCAAGAAGAAACUAGGAAAAGAUGUUAAAACUUGCCUAAACUAAUGUUUUCCACCCUAAAAAUGACCUUAAAAACCCCUAUUUAUAGUUUCUUGAAGAUAUAUCCUAACUAGGGUAGGAAUAGGCUUUAUUAGACUAAAAAAAUCACAUUUCUGCACUUUUUCUCAAUGAAGGUUGGCCCAAUGACCAGCCCAAUGUCUGGCGUCGGUCUUCGGGCCAAGCAAGAAGCAUAACAGAAUCUAGCAAUGUUCGGCGUGAAGUCCGGUGCCAAGUCUGAUGCUGGAUUUUUCAAAAACUCUAUCAAAUAGGCCAAAUCAGUUCUUGUUCAAAAUAAAAAAUUGCCUAAAAUAACUUUCCAAUGCCACAAGAAUCAAGUCAUUUGGUGGUCUGUACGCUGAGAUAUGCCUAAAAUAUUGAAACCUAGUAGUAAGAGUAUCGCAACGCACUUAUACUUCAGUAAUUUGAAUUUUUUACUAUGAAAACGUGAGAACGAAAAUUUGAUGUCUUCAUAAGAGUUGUAGAGCAUUCGCUUAUCUUCAAAUUGAAUUAAGAAUCAUCUCAAUCUACUUUGUGUAGCUCAAGUUAUUGCCAAAAUCCUAAAAUAUAUCAAUCCUGCCAAACCCGUUCCUCUUGACUUUUUCCUUUUUCAUUGCUACUUCACAUCAGAUUUUUAGUCUGUUUUCUCUUCAAUUGAGCUCUUAACCUAUUAGAACAAUAUACGAGAAAAAUUAAACAAUUUCUAUCCAAGAUAAAACUCAAAUAAUAUAAUUAACUAGCAACUUAUACCUAUAAAUGCACUAUAAUUUACAUCCUAUCAAAUUCCCUCACACUUAGCCUGUGCUUGUCCUCAAGCACAAGAACAAAACUAAUUAAAUCCAAACAAUUGCUAUAUUCAAGGGUAUCAAUAUUAAAGCAACCAUUCUACACAAGUGUUAAGCGUUUAAUAGUGAAAACCAAAAUGAUACUUCUUCGGUUUGUUUUUAACCCCAUCGACCCUUUAACUUUGGCUAACUAAACUAGGAAUAUAAAAUAUUUAGCCAGCAUUUUCUCGCAAAUGACCCAACUAUUAAGCAAAAUCUUAAACAUAUAAUCAUAUGGAUUUGUAGAUUAUUAUUAUAUCCACUUAUUUACUUUUUUUUUUUCAUAUUUUUCUCUUAGUUCUCUUCAAAUUCCCCCACACUUAAGAUUUUUCACAUUUUAACAGGGGGAAUGUACUUAAUUCUUAGCCGUUCAAGCAUUUUGACGUGAACUCCAACAUCUUCUAAAUGAAAGAGCCCAGUUACUCAACUUUUCAUCGCUCAAAAAUCAUAUAGUCAUAGCUAUCAUCAUUUUUUGACAUGAAAGUCGAUAUUUUUAGGUGGAGACCCCCGAUUACUAGGCAACGAUAACUAGCGGAGUAUAGUUCAACUAAAUAAAAUAAGUAUAUAUCACGAAUAAGAACAUAAAAGUCUGCUUCAUAUCCCAAUAAUGUGGAGAAUUAAUAUUAAUAAUUAGGCCAAAUUCACAAGAAAAAUGCUAGAAAAAUAUUUACAAUGCCUAGAAAAAUUAGCUAAAAAUUGAAAAAGUCUCAAAAUACCAAAUAUUCACCAAAGAAGCUCUUUAAAGCAACACCUUUUAACACUUAACACAUUCAUACACAUAUCGCUUUAACAAUAAUAACACUCGAAAUGCAAGCCAUUGCCUUAUCAGGGAAUCAACAAUAAAAAUUUGAAAAAUUUUGUCCCAAAUAUUCAAAAUUUUCGCUUCACCCAUUUACCUCUCUCCCAGACUUAAGACAACAUUGUCCUCAAUGUUAGGGAUAAAAUAAGGAAAUAACAACAGGAAAAGAGAUGAAAAUGAAACUUCUCUAAUAACAAAUGAAGUGCCAAAGACCAAAUGGGGUGAGAGAAGUUGCUAGUUACCAUCCAAUAGUCAAGGUCAAGAAGCCAUCCUACCAACCUAUAAAAAGACAAGAAAACACUACAAAUAAGAGUUAACUAUACCACCAAAUAACCCAAACGAGAAAGCAAUAAAAUUGUAAGGAAAUAAACACCACCAUUAAUCCUAAAUGAAAGAAAAAUAUUAAAUGAAAUUAAAAAGAAAAUUGGGUUGCCUCCCGAGAAGCGCUAAGUUUAACGUCUUCAGCCAAACAGGGUCACAUAUGAUUGUGGUAGAUGAAAUAGUUCAAAUGAUUUCAUAGUUUUCUUAUUGUGUGCCUACAAUUUUGCAUGAUUUUUCGCAUCUCCAUUGUGCAACUAUUGAAGAAGAAUAUGCACGAUGAUUUUGCAAAGGGAUGACCUCUACAUCCUGCUCUACUACAUAUUUUUCAGCAUGCAAAUCAUUAGAAGCAAUGAUAUAGGAACAAGACCCCUCAUAUGAAGAGUAUUUUAAGGGUUCAAAGAUAUUAAAUUCUUCUUUCUUUUUACCAACCCUUAAAGUCAAUUUCCCUUUUAAUAAGUCUAUAUUAGCUUCCCCCAUAGCUAAGAACCCUCUACCAAGGAUAAUUGACACAGAAAUAUCUUUCUCUAUGUCAAGAACAAGAAAAUCAGGAGGAAAAUAAAAUUUACUGACUUUAACUAACAAAUCUUCUACAAUACCAACAGGAUAACAUACUAAAUGAUCAACCAGUUGUAGAAUCACUUGAGUAGGCCCCAAAUUGGCAAACUUCAAUUUCCUAAAAAAUGAUAGAGGCAUCAAAUUAACACUAGAUCCAAGGUCGCACAAACAUUUAUCAACAAGAAUAUGUUCAAAUUGGCAAGGCACAGUAAAACUUGUUGGAUCUUUCAUCUUGAUAGGAAGACGAUUUUGUAGUACUGCACUGCAUUCCUUAGUAAGAGACACCUCUGCCAAGUCUUCUAACUUCUUUAUAGGAGACACUAUCUCCUUCAAGAACUUUGCAUAAGCAGGUAUAUUAUCAAGAACUUCAGAAAAAGGCAUGUUCACUCGAAGUGUCAUGUGCAUCUCUACGAACUUUUGGUAUUACUCAUUAGUUGCCUUUUUCUUAAACCUCUGGGGAAAAGAGAUAGGCGGUACAUAACAUUUCACCUCAGGCGUUGGCUAUCUUCCCCUUGAUUCUUUUCACCUAAACCAUUCUCCAAAUCUCCAGUUUCUUCACUAUUAAUGGCAAUUUCACUCCUAUCUUGCUUUGCACUUGGAUUAGUCUGGGGCUUAAUGAUAGGAUAAUCCAAUACUUUACCUGAACGAAAAGUCACAGCCACAGUAGUUUCUUUUGGACUCACCUCAGUGCUACUAAGCAAUUUUCCUUGUACCUUUUCAGUUACUGCCUUUACCAGCAGACCAACUUGCCUUUCAAGAUUUUGAAUGGAGGCUUGUUGAGAUUGGGCAAUUCUAUAGAAUUGGUCCAUCCUUUGGUCCAACUUUUGCAUGUAUUGGAGCAUCAUUUCUUCAAGGUUGGACUUUUUCUCCUAAGUAAGUUGAGGAGGAUAUUGAGAAAGUUGCUGCAAAUUUUGGAACCCAGGUGGUCCCAUAGGUCUAACUCCUUGAUCCUUACAUGAAAAGUUAGGGUGAUUCUUCCACCUCUCAUUGUAUGUAUUAGAGAACGGAUCAUUCCUUGGCUGCAACUUCUACCCACCUUAUGCUUCAGUGAAAUUAAUGUCUUCUACCAUGGUGGAGGGAUCUCUAUUAUAGCAACCAACGGCAGAAUUCCUAUACAUGUACUAAGAUUGAGUUACCCGAUUUAAGAGCUGUUGCAUCUGAUGACUCAAUUCAACUACCUGUGAACUCAAAUCUUGUGACACAUUCACUUUAUGCACUCCUACUCUCUUACCCCGAAUUGCCUUUUGUUGAGAAUUGCUAGCUAACAAUUCAUAGAGACUAACUAAUUCCUCCAGGGUUUGGUCACCAAUAUACCCUCUUGCAGCAAUAUCCACCAUAUUCUUGGUUGUUAAGGUCAACCCAUCAUAGAAAAAUUAAACUUGCAACACCAAUGAAUAUUGGUGAUGAGGACAUGGAGAGGGUAGUAACUUAAAGUGCUCCUAUACUUAAUGUAUUGGCUCUCCUUCUAUUUGAGAAAAUGUGUAAAUCUUGUUCCUUUCUGAGGUGAAUAGUACUCGGUCAUAAUGAUAUUAUAAACAUCUUCCCGUGUCCUCAAAGAUCCUUUAGGUAGAUGAAGUAAUCAAGACUUUGCACAAUCCUUUAGACAAUAAGGGAAGCACCUCAUUCGUAAGUCAUCUUCGGGUACUCCACUCAAAGGGAAAGUUUGGACCACAGAAUAAAAUUCUCUUAUGAAGAAGAGUGGAUCCUUCAUUGGCUACACCAUGGAAAGCAGGCAAAAUGCUAAAGUAUAUCGUUUUGAGCUCAUAGUUCCUUGCUUCUUCACUUAGUAUGAUGUAGUGGGAAGAAGCCGCAAUCACAGGAUGUUGGAUGUCCCGAAGACGAAGUCCUACGGGUGGUUGCACUACCUGCUGUUGAUUGCUGUCAUUAUUUCUAUUCUCCUCAGCCAUCUCUUUAUUGUCAGCCUUGCCGACUCAGCUCUAAGGUAAUAUGGAAUCCUAGUGAAGAUGGUUACAAAGUUGUUUAUCUCAACUCAUAUCUUUUGAUGAUUACAAAACAAUUGGAUGUUUCUAAUACCUUUUAUAAAGAUCCUUUUCAGAAAUGAACCAAACAGGUCUGUGGAUUUAAAGCAGAAAAAGAAGAUCAAAAAAGAAUGAAGUCUGCUGAGGAUGAUGUCGGACGCACAAAAGGAGAGUAUCGGACGUCCGACAUUCUUUGAGUAUCUUCGGACGAGUAAAGAACUCAGACUCGGACGUCCGAAGAAGACAAGCCAGGAGUUACUUGAUUACUGUUCAGGAUCGGACGCUCAACAUCUGUGUAUCGGACGUUCGACAAGCUUUGCUGCACAUCGAACGCAUGGUGAUGAGGGAUCGGAUGUCCUAAAGAGAUUCAAGAAAACUUCCAGAAAUCAUUGAUCUCGUUCGGACUCAUGAAAACUGAGUGUCGGACGUCCGACAGCACCAACGGCUAGUUGACUCUUCAGUUUCCUUCUAUCCGUUGACAGCAUUAAUUGAAGAAUUUUCUGGUCUCCUAUAAAGAGGAAAAAGUCAACCACCGAAAAAGAACUUUGCACAUCAAGUCUACAUCAGAUAGUGAGUGAUUCAAGUGCUAGAAUACUCCAAAGGAACGUUUGUACUCCUUGCUUGUUCAAUUUUCUUGUAGCUUUUCAAGUGUGUCUAAGCUUCUUCAAUAGUGUAGCUUUGUGAGGGUUUUCAAAGUGUGUAAAACUUCCUUACUUGACCAAGUGUGGUUUGGGGCAACAAGGAAGUGAUCCAUCCUUUGUACACAAGAAAUUGGUUGCAAGCUUGUUCAACUUGAAGUAGCUGGUUAUAUAAAGUUCUGUUCAAACUCAAGUGGAGUUUGAAGUCUGGUUUGUUUUUUUCUCUAUCUUCAUUUACAGCUUUAACUAUAUAAUCUGUUCACACUUUCAUCUCACGAACAUCAGUAUUUUCUUGUAAUCUGAUCCAUUGAGUGGUUUUUGAGAAAAGCAGGGUAGGCUUGAAAAAAGAGUGACUUAUAUCUCAGCUGAUUUUUAGAAAACCUAAUUCUCUUAGGUUGUCUUCGAUCCUUACAAUUGGUAUCAGACCUUGGUCUCCUAGAGAUUAAGCUCAAUCGGCUUGGGAGUAAACAUGACAACCAACAAUGCAUGUUCUUUUAGGGACAAUCUGUCACUAGAUCUUCAAUGUUCAAUGGAUCAAACUAUGUGAGCUGGAAGGAAAGGAUGAUUAUAUUCUUGCAAUCUAUUGAUAUUGAGUUGUGGUUUAUUGUCAGUGAGGGUCCAUAUAACGCAACUAUUAUUGAUGAAGCUACUCAUAGGCCGAGACAAAAAACUAGAAGUGAGCUGACUGCUGAAGAUAGAACUCAUCUCACUCUAAAUGCCAAAGCUAUGAAUGUUCUAUACAGUGCAUUAGAUUCAAAUGAAUCUAUUAGAGUCAAAGGCUGCAGAUCUGCAAAAGAAAUUUGGGAUAAACUUAGAGAGAUCCAUGAGGGAAGCGAAAAUGUGAGAGAGCAGAAGAAAUCCAUUCUGGUCACUAAGUAUGAAUCUUUUAAGAUGGAACCUCAUGAAAAUAUUGACAAAAUGUACUGUAGAUUCAAUGAUCUGAUCAAGGAUUUAGAGGUGCUUGAGAAGGAGUACUCUCUAGGUGAAAAGAACAGAAAAAUUCUGAAUGCUCUAUCAAAGGACUGGGAAAUCAAAGUGACUGCCAUAGAGGAAGCCAAGGAUCUAAACACCUUAUCCAUUGAAUCUCUGAUUAACUCUCUAACAUCUUACGAACUGAAACUUAAAUCUAAGAUGCAGGAUGAAGAAGACACCAAGGUGAGAAAGAGCAUUGCUCUAAAAGCCUCACAAGAUGAAGAUGAAACUGCCUCACAGGAUGAAAAUGACUUGGAAGGUGAUGAGAGUGAUAUUGCACUCAUCACAAGAGGCUUCAAAAGGUUUCUCAACAAGAGAAGAUUCAGGAAAGGCGGAUCCAGCAAUUCCUUCCCAAAUCAGUCUAAUGACUUCAGAAACAGAGGGAAACUGGAGUUCAACAAGAAGCUUACUGAUAAGUGUUUCGAUUGUGGCCAACCAGGACACUAUGCGAAUGAGUGUCCAAUGAAGAAAAAGAAGGAGAGCAAGAUUGAACGAAAAUCAAAGUUCAACAAUUUCCAGAUUACCUGGAAUGAUUGCAACUCAGAAGGCGAAGUUGAAGAAGAAGAGGAAUCUGCUCAAGUGGCUUUCAUGGCCAUUGGAGACGAAGAGGUAACACAAUACAACUCUCAAACCGACAGUGAUAGUGAAUCUGAUGAUGAUGUUAACUCUUUUCUAAAAAAAAUGCAUAACAGCUUAAAAGAAUCUUAUGUUAAAAAUAAGGAACCAAAGCAGAAAAUUACCUUUUUAAUACAAGACAAUGCAAAUCUUUUUCGACAAAACAAGUGUCUUAAGCAUGAAAAUGAGAAUCUGAAAAGGAUUGAAACUGAGGUGCUUGCUGAUCUUAAAAAAAGGGAAAAACUGUGUAACAUACUCAAAAGAAGAAUGAUGCAGUCUAAAAAGAAGAAUGAAUGAUUUGUGUCAAGUGUUGCAACAUAUAAAAUAGAACCACUCUCAAAAGAAUGACACUGUACCUUAUGUUAAUAUUCAUCAAAUAAGACUGAAUCAAAAUGCAAAUGAAUAUGCUAUCCACAGGAGAAGGCAAGUCAGAUUCAUUAAACCUGUUCAUUUGAUUGAUCCAUUGUCUGUAUGCAACUUUUGUUGUCAAUUUGGUCACAUGAGUAGCAAUUGUUAUGUUAAGAAAAACAUGAGGAAUGGCAUGAGAUGCAUGUGGGUAGUUAGACAUAAGACUAACUCUCAAGGACCCAACAUGUAAAGGGUACCAAGUAUUAUCUUGUGAAUUUGUGUGUAGGUGAACCAGGAUAACAUUACUAAAGAAUCAAAAUGGUUCAUUGAUAGUGGAUGUUCUAGACAUAUGACUGACGAGGCAUCACAGUUCGUUAAACUCAAGAAAAAAGCAAGUGAAAAGGUAACGUUUGGAGAUGAUAACAAAGCCAAAACUGUUGGCAUUGGUAUGUUGGUAGGAAUGGUCAAACCUUUAUUCAUAAUGUUCUUCUCGUUGACAAUCUGAGCUACAAUUUAUUAAGUGUUAGCCAAUUGUGUGAUAGGAAUCUGUUUGUAUUGUUCAAAAAGCUUGAAUGUCUCAUUUUUGACUCAAAGUUCAACAUUGUUUUCAAAGGAAAAAGAGUUAAUGAUGUUUAUGUAGUUGUUCUUGAAAAAAUUGAUUCCUCCUAUCUUAAAUGUCUUAAAGUAGCAAAUGAGGACCCAUGGUUAUGGCAUACAAGGCUGUGUCACUUCAAUAUGGAUUUGCUAAAAGAAAUCUCUAAAAAGGAACUAGUUAGAGGUCUUCCAAAAAUCAGAUUUGAAAAGGACCGGAUAUGUGAUGCUUGUCAAUUUGGAAAACAAAUCAAAGUAUCUUUUAAACCCAAGAAAUGUGUGUCUACUUCAAAACCUCUUGAACUUUUACAUCUUGACCUGUUUGGUCCUAUACAAACUACAAGCCUUGGUGGUAAGAGAUAUUGUUUUGUGAUUGUUGAUAAUUAUACUAGAUAUACUUGGGUGAUAUUCCUUGCUCAUAAAGAUGAUGCUUUUAAGAAUUUUACUUCAUUAUUUGCUAAAGUGCAAAAUCUGCUUGGAUUGAAAAUUGUCAGGAUUAGAAGCGAUAAUGGGACAGAAUUCAAGUUCUGUGGCUUUCCAGAAUUUUGUGAUCAUAAUAGCAUUACUCAUAAAUUUUCUAUUGCUAGAGUCCCUCAACAAAAUGGAGUUGUAGAAAGAAAAAAUUGAACUCUCCAAGAGGCUGCUCGAACCAUGCUUAGUGAAUGCAAUUUACCAAAAUAUUUUUGGGCUGAAGCCAUAAACACAGCAUGUUAUACCAUGAACAGAGUUCUCUUAAAACCAAUUUUGAACAAAACUUCAUACGAGCUCAUGUUUGACAAAAAGCCUGUUGUUGGUUACUUCAAAGUAUUUGGUUGUAAAUGUUUCAUUUUGAAUAUCAAGGAGCAUCUUGAAAAGUUUGAUAAGAAAUCUGAUGAGGGAAUUUUCUUGGGAUAUUGUGAAAACAAAAGAGGCUUUAGAGUUUAUAAUCGUAGAAUAUUGAUUAUAGAAGAGACUAUACAUAUUACUUUUGAUGAAUCUAAUGGUGACAUUUCUAUGAAUGGUGGUGAAGAUGAUGAUACAGAUGUUCAAGAAGAACUAAAGAAGUUAGCAGUCAAUGAUCAUGACUCUGCUUCACCAGAGACUGAUUUAAAGGAUGCUGAUAUUCAGGUCAGUCCAGCUGAAGAAGUGAAUGACAGAGAUACCACUACUCCCAAUGAUCUUUCAAGAGCCUGGAAAAUUUGUUCAUAAUCAUCCUAGGGAGCUUAUAAUUGGUGAUCCAUCUGAAAAGGUCAGAACUCGUUCCUCUAGACACCUAGUAGAUAAUCUUGCUUUUAUAUCACAUAUUGAACCUAAAAAUGUUGUUGAUGCUUUGAGUGAUGAGCACUGGAUUUUAGCUAUGGAAGAGAAGUUAACUCAAUUUGAAAGAAACAAGGUUUGGACCCUGGUUGCCAGACCACAAGGUCAUCCUAUCAUUGGCACCAAGUGGGUUUUUAAAAAUAAAAUGAAUGAUAAAGGGGAGGUUGUUAGAAAUAAGGCCAGGUUGGUGGCUAAGGGAUACACUCAAGAAGAGGGAAUAGACUUUGAUGAGUCUUUUGCACCUGUGGCCAGGCUGGAGUCCAUAAGAAUGUUCUUAGCAUUUGCAUGUUUCAAGAAUUUUAAAUUAUUUCAGAUAGAUGUUAAAAGUGCUUUCUUAAAUGGCUUUAUAGAUCAAGAAGUCUAUGUUGACCAACCUCCUGGUUUUGAAAAUGAAUCUUAUCCAGAUCAUAUUUUUAAACUCUCAAAAGCUUUAUACGGAUUAAAGCAAGCUCCUAGAGCUUGGUAUGAACGUCUGAGUGGAUUUCUGAUUGAAAAUGGUUUUAAAAGGGGGAUUAUAGACACUACACUUUUCACAAAACAAAGCUCACGAGAUCUCUUAAUUGUGCAAAUAUAUGUGGAUGAUAUCAUAUUUAGUGCUACUAAUGAGAGCUUAUGCAAGGACUUUUCCAUCAUAAUGCAAAAAGAAUUUGAAAUGAGCAUGAUGGGAGAACUGAACUUCUUCCUUGGACUCCAAGUAACUCAAACACAAGAUGGAACAUUUAUAAAUCAAACAAAAUAUACCAAGGAGCUGCUGAAAAGAUUCAGAAUGGAGGACUCAAAGGCUGUUGGAACACCUAUGUGCACAUCUACCAAACUUGACAAAGAUGAAGAAAGUACAAAAGUUGAGGAAAAGAAGUAUAGAGGUAUGAUUGGAAGUUUACUUUAUUUAACUGCUAGUAGGCCUGACAUCAUGUUUGCUGUAUGCUUAUGUGCUCGAUUUCAAUCCUAUCCAAAGGAAUCUCACUUGAUUGUAGUAAAAAGAAUUUUGAGAUAUCUUAAAGGAACCUUAAAUUUUGGCCUGUAGUAUCCAAAAUGUCAUGAACUUCCUUUAUGUGGAUUUUCAGAUGCUGACUUUGGAGGUUGUAAGAUAGAUAGAAACAGUACUACUGGUAUAUGCAACUUUCUUGGAAAUUGCUUGGUAUCCUGGUUUAGUAAAAAAUAAAAUGCUAUCUCAUUGUCCACUACUGAAGCUGAAUAUGUUGCUGCUGGUGCUUGUUGUGCUCAAAUGUUAUGGAUGAAAAACACAUUGAAUGAUUUUGGUUUAGUAUAUGAAUGUGUACCUAUGUAUUGUGACAACACUAGUGCAAUUAAUCUGACAAAAAAUCCCAUUCAACACUCUAGGACUAAGCACAUUGAUGUAAAGCAUCAUUUCAUUCGCGAUCUUGUCUCCAAGGGGGUAAUCCGUGUUGAGUUUGUUUGUUCUAAAGAUCAGAUCACUGAUAUCCUCACAAAAGCUCUUCCGUUAGAUCAAUUCGUGUCCUUGAGAACAAAAUUGGGUGUUUCAAAAAAAAUAUUCUAAGUUUUAUUUUUAGUCAAUCUUUAUCGGACGUCCAAUGAAUUGGAACGGACGUCCAACAGUGUUCUUCGUCCAAAUUCAGAAAAAACCCUGGUUCGGACGGUUGUGUCGGACGCUUCACUUCGUUCGGACGUCCGACACUCAAAAACUUGAGUCUUAUAAGGCAGUUACCCAUUCUUCUCAGUUCAUUUUUUCUUAAGUCUCGGACGCAACCGUUCAGUUUCCUCCAAUAUUUAAAAUUCAAAUUCCUCUCUCCUCAAACCAAGUUCCGAGGAAUUGAACCAACCAACUCAAUUACACCUCUGUCGCUCUUCAAUCACUCAUAAAAAUCACUCCUAACCCCCAACUACCCCAAAACUCCCAAUUUACAUACGAAACCCUAACUUCCCAUAACUCCCUCCUUGCGGCAUCUCAGUGCACAUUAGUUGGUUCUUACUGCACUCUUUCUUUGCACACCACAUUCCUUAUUCAAAAUCAUAUCUACAUUGUAUCAUGGUUAGAAUUAGAGGCGGAUCUACCAGUGCCGGGCGGUCCUUUAGACUUAGGGAUGAAGACAUUGAAAUUUUGGAACCACCUCUUGUGGCUCCCAAAAAGAAGAUUGUAACCCGUGGUGGUAAGGUGAAGUAAACUGCCCAAAGAAAACUGGAUAUUCCAACUGUUGAAUCAUCUGAUGAACAGUUGGAAGAACAGAGCUCUGAAGAAAACAUUGCUGGUGGAAACAAGGAACCAGAACAGGCUGUCCGGGGUGAUAAAGCUGUCACAAAGUCCUCUGCUAAAAGAAAGAGGUCUGCAAAGAGGAAGAGCACUCCUCAAUCCAAGAAAAAGCAGUUUGCUGAUCCCUCUGAUGAUCAGCAGAAUGAAGGAAACACCACUGGGAGUCAGAAAACUCCUGAACCCUCUACUAGGAAAUCUCCAAGAACACGGACUGAGACUCAAAAUGCUGAGGCAUCUGCCACACAAACUUCACAAGGGACACGUUCUGGGAAGAAUCCAGUAUCUCAGCCCAUACCUGAACCCAGUCCUCUACCAAAGUUCAUUGAUGAUGAAGCCAGAGACAGAUUUGAGUUAGUCUCUCAAAAAGGGUUCAUCACCCAAAGACUCAUCAUUCCCUUUGAAUUUCGUAAGCUUGAUCUUGAACCUGUCAUCAAACUGUUUGAUUUCCAGAAAUGGACUCAUCUUUUGACCAUUCCUAAUGUCUUUUACCCUGACAUGCUGUAUCAAUUUUUUGCUAAUCUUAGAAAGGGUAAAUCACACACUGAACUCAUCUCUAGGGUCAAUUCUGUAGACAUCAUGUUAACUCCUGACAUUGUGAAUUCCAUUCUGAAAACCAGUAUUGAACCUAGCUUCAAAGGAAAAAUUACAAAUUUCUUUUCAUAUGAGGAAUUUCCUUCUACCUACUAUCAUUUUUACAAUGCUAAACUCAUGACAUAUUUUCAAACCACAUUCAAUACUCCUGCUGAGGCAAGACUGAAUGAUCUUAGUCCUCAGAACCUGAUCAUCUUCACCAUCAUUUCAAAUCUGUUAGUGCUGAUUGAUGGCCACAGAACAGAUGCAAACAAAAUGGAACUCUAUCUGUUCUACUGCUUUGUUGAAAAAAUUCGCGUUGACUUUGGUUUUGUAAUGUGCAAGUUUUUGCUCAAAAUUAGCACUGAUAGCCGUAGGAAGCUCUCUUAUGGCAGAUUUCUGACCCCUAUCUUUGCCCAUUUUGAAAUUCCUUUUUCUGAAAAAUCUCCCAAAGACAGUGCUUCAUCAGUCUUCUCAAAAGCUUAUUUUGAACGAAAGAAUUUAAAAUUUUUUGAAGGCCAUUGGUGCUAUAAGGAGACUGUUGCUGAGUCUAAAAGAAAAAAUUUUCAUGAAACCCCUGUCACUCCUAGGACUCCUCGUGAUCAGUCAGAUUUUGUCUCCCCUUUCACCAUUCAUCCUAGGAAGUCUACUAGCAGGUCCUUCGCAUCAAAUUCUGAAGUCAUCUCCUUGCUUGAAGACCUUAAACAGCAUGUCUUGCUUAUUGAAGAAGGUCUCAUGAUGACCAUGACCUCUGACCAAAAAUCCUCCUUCAUUGAAAAAAGAAACCUUCUUGUCCCUCCAACACCUGAGGACAAUGUAAAUGAGCCAAGAACUGAGCCCACAGGACCAACUACUGGUGCUGAGACUACACCAGCUUCCAGUUCUCAGCCCAAGGAUAAAGGCAAGGCUCCAGCAACUGAGGAAUCAGAUGAAGAUAGUGAUGAGGAAACUAAAGAAGAAGAGGAUCCUGCACAGUAUCGUCUGGCAAGGAGAAGGCCUGGAUCAUCUAAAAUCACCAUCUAGGCACUACUAGGUCACUGCACCUUUAUCUAGGACUAUAGUUCAUCUUUUGCAUUGCACUUUUGUAUUAAGUGCUGAACACAUGGUCUGUACAACUGGAUAUUUUUUUACUGCUCUUGAAUGUUAUAACUAAGUGUUUUGUUAUGAAUGUUUUGAAUGGGUGAUAUGAUUGGUUAUGUGUUUGUGAAAUCUGCUGAUUGAAUGAAUGGUUCUGAUUGAUAUCAGCUAAAUGAUUGAUUCCAAACUGUGCUGUACAUUGUAAAUGUGUAUACUGAUAUUGUUUCUGAUAAGAUACAUUGCUGGUACCUAAAUUGAUACUAAAUCUUGUGAUGACAAAAAGGGGGAGAAUUGGAAUUGGAUUGGAUUUGGUUUAACACAAAUGGUAUAGAGUAACUAGUUAGGGGGAGUCAGUCUCAGGGGGAGUUGAGUUGGAUCAGCACUGAUGAUGUGGAUUGCGUUUCUUCCUGUAUACUACUCAUGCACUUCGUUAGGGGGAGCUGUUAUAUUUUUGCUCUAUCCAAUUGUUUUGUCAUCAUCAAAAAGGGGGAGAUUGUUUAUCUCAACUCAUAUCUUUUGAUGAUUACAAAACAAUUGGAUGUUUCUAAUACCUUUUAUAAAGAUCCUUUUCAGAAAUAAACCAAACAGGUCUGUGGAUUUAAAGCAGAAAAAGAAGAUCAAAAAAGAAUGAAGUCUGCUGAGAAUGAUGUCGGACGCACAAAAGGAGAGUAUCGGACGUCCGACAUUCUUUGAGUAUCUUCGAACGAGUAAAGAACUCAGACUCGGAUGUUCAAAGAAGACAAGCCAGGAGUUACUUGAUUACUGUUCAGGAUCGGACGCUCAACAUCUAUGUAUCGGACGUCCGACAAGCGUUGCUGCACUUCGGACGCAACACUCUGGACACAUUGGCCGUCCGAAGGUAUUGAAGAGAAAAAUCCCAGUGUGCAUCUUACCCUCGGACGCAUGGUGAUGAGGGAUCGGACGUUCUAAAGAGAUUCAAGAAAACUUCCAGAAAUCAUUGAUCUCAUUCGGAUGCAUGAAAACUGAGUGUCGGACGUCCGACAGCACCAACGGCUAGUUGACUCUUCAGUUUCCUUCUAUCCGUUGACAGCAUUAAUUGAAGAAUUUUCUGGUCUCCUAUAAAGAGGAAAAAGUCAACCACCGAAAAAGAACUUUGCACAUCAAGUCUACAUCAGAUAGUGAGUGAUUCAAGUGCUAGAAUACUCCAAAGGAACGUUUGUACUCCUUGCUUGUUCAAUUUUCUUGUAGCUUUUCAAGUGUGUCUAAGCUUCUUCAAUAGUGUAGCUUUGUGAGGGUUUUCAAAGUGUGUAAAACUUCCUUACUUGACCAAGUGUGGUUUGGGGCAACAAGGAAGUGAUCCAUCCUUUGUACACAAGAAAUUGGUUGCAAGCUUGUUCAACUUGAAGUAGCUGGUUAUAUAAAGUUCUGUUCAAACUCAAGUGGAGUUUGAAGUCUGGUUUGUUUUUUUCUCUAUCUUCAUUUACAGCUUUAACUAUAUAAUCUGUUCACACUUUCAUCUCACGAACAUCAGUAUUUUCUUGUAAUCUGAUCCAUUGAGUGGUCUUUGAGAAUAGCAGGGUAGGCUUGAAAAAAGAGUGACUUAUAUCUCAGCUGGUUUUUAGAAAACCUAAUUCACCCCCCUCUUAGGUUGUCUUCGAUCCUUACAAAAGUUUAUUUUUGCAAGUGAGUUUGUUUCCUCAAGUACUUCGCAGUUUUUUCAAAUUCUGGGUCAAAAUUCAAAUUACCUUUUUGAGAUCGGGUCAUACACCAAACACCUAAACAAGAAAAGUCAAAACUAAAAGUGAAGAACUAGAAAUAAAAUAAGAUAAGAUAAAAUAAAAUAAUCCCUGGUAACGGCGCCAAAAAAUUAAUCGAUGAAUUCGUGCAAGCACACAGGGUCGAUUGAAGUAAUAAAUUAUCUGGAGUAUUCCAGGGUUGAACCCACAGGACGAAUUAAUUUUCUACUUUAAUUAUUCUAACAAAAUAAUAAAAUUCAAAUUCAAGAGUUUCAUUUUCUAACUAAACAAUAAAAUUAACAAUCCAAAUAAAGUAGUGAUGAGAAAACAAUAGACGCGAGUUUAAGGUUUCAUGUUUUAAUCUAGAAUUUGAAUCAAUUAUCUAGUUAAAUUCUUAAUAAACUAUAAAUGCAUCACAUGAAUAUAUUUUAGACCACCUCUCGAUGCAUCUAAAGUAUGUUUAAUUAAAUCCUACGCCUCUCUCGAUGGUCAUAAAAGUUCAAUUAAACCUAUUAAGAUUCUCAGUGAUAUAGAUGCAUCAUGCAUAUCUUAACCUACUCUUGUGAUUAGUCUACGUGUAUUUAUCUAUCUAGUGCAUGGUUGUAUCUCCUUUCUCAAUUUGACACAAACCCAACAUUUAUAAUCAUAGCGAUCAGGCAUAAAUACGCAUUAAGAACAAGAUAAAUAAAUCAUAGUAAAAGACAAGGAAUUAAACUAAAAGAAUGAAUCAAAUUCUUUCAUAAAAACUCUAACUCUAGAAACAAUUUAGUUCAACAUGAUUUGACAAUUAUAACCACAAAUUCAAAGAGUUACUGCAAAGAUGCGAGAAAGAGUAAGAAAACUUCUCAGUUGCUCGCUCCAAUCUUAUCUUCUUGCGCGCUCCCUGAUUUGCCUUUAUUUGAUCUUGAUCUCUCAAGAAGAAACUAGGAAAAGAUGUUAAAACUUGUCUAGACUAAUGUUUUCCACCCUAAAAAUGAUCUAAAGAACCCCUAUCUAUAGUUUCUUGGAGAUAUAUCCUAACUAGGAUAGGAAUAAGCUUUAUUACACUAAAAAAAUCACAUUUCCACACUUUUUCUCAAUGAAGACCAGCCCGAAGCCCGAUGAUAGGCCAGCAUCCGGCGCUGGUCUUCGGGCCAAGCAAGUAGCAUAAAAGAAUCUGGCAAUGUUCGGCGUGAAAUCCGGUGCCAAGUCCAAUGCUUGACUUUGAGCCUCAAAAGCUCAAUCAAAUAAGUUGAAUCAGUUCUUGAUCAAAACAUGAAAGUUGUAGCCCUUUUAACACGUUUUCCAAUUCCAUAAGAAUCAAGUCAUUUGGAGGUCUAGACACUAAGAUAUUCCUAAAAUAUUGAGACCUGGUUGUAAGAGCAUCGCAGCGCACUUGUACUUCAGUAAUUUGCAUUUUUGACUAUGAAAAUGAGAGAACCAAACUUUGAUGUCUUCAUACGAGUUGUAGAGCAUUCUCUUAGCUUCAAAUUGAAUUAAGAAUCAUCUAAACCCGCUUUGUGUAGCUCAAGUUAUCACCAAAUCCUAAAACAUAUCAAUCCUGCCAAACCCGUUCCUCUUGACUUUUUCCCUUUUUAUUGCUACUUCACACCACAUUUUUAGUCCAUUUUCUCUUCAAUUGAGCUCUUAACCUUUUAGAAAAAUAUACAAGAAAAAUUAAGUAAUUUCUAUCCAAUAUAAAGCUCAAAUAACAUAAUUAACUAGCAAUUUAUACCAAUAAAUGAACUACAAUUUACACCCUAUCAACUAGAAACAAAACCAAAUUGAGCAAGAGUGGAACUGAAUUUGGCAAACCAAGCCCUGGGAUCUUGCUUUAGUCCAUACAAGGCUCGUCAAAGUUUACAAACCUUAUGAGGAGAAUGAUAGCCAGGAGGAUGCAUAUGAACCUCUUCUAUUAAAUGACUAUAAAGGAAGGCGAUUUUAACAACCAUUUGGAAAAGCUUCUAUUUACGAACUGAAGCAAUAGCUCAGAGACUGCGGAUAGAUGUCAAUCGAGCUAGUGGAACAAAAGUUUCUAUAUAGUUUAUGCCAUACUCUUGAGUGUACCCUUUGGCUACUAAGCAAGCUUCGUAACACUCAACAGUUUCAUCAAAGUGGGUCUUGAUUUUGUAAACCCAUUUUCACAAAAUAUAAGUUUGGGGAUGUAGGUGCAAUUGAGUUCAAUACGGUUGUAUACUGUUGUUUCACUUCUUCUGAGAUUUAGUGUACACUUACAUUUAGUAUUACUUACAGAAUAAGUGAUUUUUUUGUACAUUAAGUUAGUUUGCUAGAGUACAACAAAGUUAUUUGAUGAUGCACUAAAUCAAGCAAAGAAUUUAACAAACAUAAAGUCCCACCAAAUAUCAACUUCAUCUACCCCUAGUUCGUAGAAGUUGGUGAGGACUAUAUAUUUAGGGGCAGAGACACAUUGUUUUUAGGGGUUGAAAUUGCACCCGUUCACUUUUUAAAAGCUAUAAAACAACCUAUACAAAGUUUAGGUUUUUAUAAUUGCCAAAUUUUUACCCUUCCUUCCUCCCCUCUCCCUCUAGAAUUUUCAAAAUAUUCUAUCUUGUUCCACUACUGCACCCCCAAAACUAUUGAAAUUUUUUUAUAGUUUCCUUCACCAUUUCUAUGAUAAAAUCUUUAAAAAAAAUGAUGCUAUUUGUAUUUCCUUUCUGAUAAAUCUUAUUUGCUUAAUAUUGAACUCCAUUUAUAUGUCUAACUAUACAAUUUACUAGUGAAGUAAAUAUUCAUUUAUUUAUUUGACUAAAUAUACAUUGAUUGUCUAUUCUAUAUAUUUGCAUAUACAUGUUAUAGUUUUACAUCUUAUGUUAACGAUUUUACAAUUUUAUGCCAUUAAAUGACCCUGAUAACUGCUACAAAUAAUGAAUCACAAUAUAUACAAAUUUUUAUCUUAUUUUUGCAAUAUUGAAUAAAUUUGUAUAUAAGAAACAUUUAAUUGCGCUAAAAGCCCACAAAACACAUAUUCUAUGUUUAAACAUUGAUUUUUACUCAAAUAGUGAAAAUGCCUUUUGACGUGAAAAUCAACACUUUUAGGUGAAGAUCCCCGGUUAUUCAACAUUUCACAUAUUUAAGUUGCUAUGCAUACUCUUAAUUCAAGUACCUUUUUACAUGAAUAUCAACAUUUGUAGAUGCCAACCCUCGGUUACUCGGUACAUGAGUCAUUGGAGUUGAACAAAAACUCUUUUUCUUUUUUCCUUUUUUUUCUUCAUUUACAAAAGUAAAAGACAAUAAAUAGAUAUUCCCUCUUAACAAGUACACAAGAAUAAUCAAAGGAAGAUUAUAGCCUUUAUUGACUAUAUCAAUAAUUUACUUGCAAAAUUAAGUAAAGAGGAGAAAUCUCGUUAAACAUGCAAAAUUAUAAAUAUAAUUUUCCUCAUUUUACUAGAUAUACUUUCUAAAAUGCAAAAAUCCUAAUUGCAUAAUAACCAUUUCCAAGUCAAAUGAGGACCAAAUCUUCCAAAAUACAUAUAAAGUUUCAACAAGUGGAAGAAUUAGACACUUAAAGUUGAAACAAUUUGGCCCUUUUUUAAAUAAAAGUGUAAAAAUUUGAAGAAUUUUUGGGCCAUAGUGAAAUAUUGAAAAAGAUUUUAGAAAAAUUUUGAUAGAGUUUCCCUUUAUAAAUGGACGAAACUCCCUGCCAACAAACCCAAUUUCAAGAAAAUUAUCCACAUGGUAAUAUUUCAAAGCACGAUUCCAACAUUUCUAAGCAUUUAAAUCCAUAAAAUAUCAUCACAUGGUAUUAGAAUGCAAGUUCAAAUAUUUCUCUCCCCCACACUUAAACUUCACAUUGUCUUCAGUGUGAGAAAAGGAAAAUAAAUAAAGAGUAAGAGAAAAUACUCCCGAUAUGAACUUGCGUUAUCCAAAUCCAUGGCCAAGUGAUGAAUUUCCAACCUAAAGAAGUCUUGAAGCACUAAAAUCACAAUGUAAAUGAAGAUCACUUGGAUGAGUUGAUACAAAAGAAGUAAGAAAAACCACUAAAAGAUAAACAUCAAAAGCACUAAGGAAAACAAAAGAAAAAUAGCAACAAUGUCAAGUGGUGCUAGCACUCCCUCAAGUAGCCGCUUGAUCAGGUGAAGUGGGUGGAGUCGGGAGGAGAUUCAAUGCCAAGUUUGGCCUCAAUGCGACGAAGACGCUCGGAAUUUCGUUUGUUCUCUUGUCUACCCUUCUUCACUUCGGCCUCUAUGCAAAGCAACUUAUCCAUUAUGUUCUUGAGAAAUGACCGAGUGUCUUAAGGUGAAGAUGGGCGACGUGAGGAGGAUGGAUCAGUUGAGACCGGCGGGACAGUUGUCUCGACCCCUUGAGUUUCCUCAAUACGUGUAAUUUCAGCUUCUUCCUCUUGCCGAAUGUCACCUUGAGCAUCUCCUUGAGUUGAAGGACUACCCACAUCUUUACUUUUCAAAAGAAACCUGCAACAAUCCAAUGUGAAGAUGUCCUUCUUCUUGAGGCAUGUAGGGAUAGGAUUAGAGAAAUUAACUCCAGCCUUUUGAAACACUAAGGUCAAGAACCGAGUAUAUGGGAAAGCAUGUUUGACAUCGUUAUUUCAAACCAUAGCCCACAUGUGGUUGGUGAUAAUACUUCCCAAUGGAAUACCUUGGAUGUUGCCUAAACCAUGCUCCAUUUUAUCCAAAAAAUAGAUGUCACUUGUGCGUGCCUUAUUGGUUCCACUUGCUCUCGGAAUGAUAUUGGAGGCAAACAAGUAGAUAAGAAGACGAUGCAACUCCGAAAAGGAAGAAGUCAACACAGAAUGUUGCCCAAUCUUUCAAAUAGACUUGUACUCAACUCCCAAGCGUAAAAGUGCCUCUAGCAUGUUCCAAGAGUCCAAAUCACGGGGUUUGAAUGCUUUCUUCAAAUUUACCUUAUACCCAACGUCAGAAACUUGAAGAUAGCUUUCCAAAUGAGUUCUAUGGAUUCGAACUCUGGUUCCUCGCAUUGUACUUGUAAUCACUUCCAUAUCGAAGUGAAAAGCCUGCUUGACCUCCACAUUGGCGUAAAAUUCUCAGACAAGCUCCUCGUAAUAAAUAUUUGGGAUGUUGAAGAAAUUCUCCCAUCCCAAUUUGGCAAAGGAGGCCUUGAGAUGGUAGACCUCCUCAACAUCCGGAGUGAUAUCUUUCUCCACCAAUACCUUAGCUCCCCUCCUCGAAUUAUACCAAGCUUCAUUUUUGGCGGAGGUAAAGCGCGACCUAUCAUAAGGAACUUGCUCCACUUGUUGCUCUUCGUGUUAUUGAAUCUCCUCUUCAGGUGAUGGUUCAUCUUCAAGCACAAGUCGUCUCCUUUCUUUUCUCUUCAUACGCGGUGGUCUAGAAGUAGACAUAGAGGCUUCUCCUUUCCUCUUGGGAGGUGGAGAUUUCACUCCGACUUUCUUAGUGCGAGCCAUUGCACCUAAAUAAAAUUUUUAAGCAUUAACUUCAACUAAUAGGUACAUUGUUAAAUAAAGCAUAACGAACACUUGGUCGCAUUUACCUUUAUCUUUAAAGAGACAAACUCAUUAACUUACUUACAUAAUAAGUAGCAAUCAACAUCAUAAGUAAGUAUUAAAAUCGAUUAUCAACGACAAGUGCUCUUAUAUUUUUCCCAAAUGAAACAUUUGAACAUAUAAUGUCCAUAUAAUUAAAGGAAGUAAUUAAGCAAACACAUAACUCACUCCCAUCUUAAUGACUUAAAUAAGCAUAAUUAAAUGCUAAAUAACACCUUAACCAUGAGUUUAAAGCUUUAAAAGGUCAUUAAUUCACUUUUCACCAAAGAUUCUAGAAUAAACAUGCCAAAAAUCAAGAGAUAAGUAAAUUAAGCCUAAAUUUAGCGUGCAAAUAUCCUAGAGCAAUCCAUUAAUCUCAUUAAUUUUCCUUCAAUCCAAUUAGCUCAAGAAUUUAGCUAAUUGACGGGUAUUUUACAUACGUGCAAGCUAAAAAAUACCGAAUUACACCCGUUCACUGCAAGUAUACAGAUCAACUAGUAGUUUAGGGUAUAUAUCGGGUCGAUCCCACAGGGAAGAGUGAACAAUUACCGGUCUUACUAAAGCUUCUCUAUUAUUUAGACUAUCAAUGAAUUAUAACAAGUAAAACUUACUGAACUUAUGCAAGAAAAUAACAAAUGAAAGCUCCUUAGGUUGUGGUAUCCCUAACUACUCAUGCAAGUGCUAUUUUUGGAUCCUUGAGUACUACAUCUAAGCUAGUUAUAGUGUAAUUUCCUUAAACAUGUGAAACCUACUUUCGUAGUGGAUCAACUAUACUCAUAACUAAUCCAUACCUAUUUUCAUGGUUAUGAAAUUAGCUACAAGUUCAUUUCUUCAAUGAAAUUACAUGAAAUGAAUCACUAAAAACCACAUAAGUGCACCUCUACUUUCGUGAGUAUACUCCCUAUGUUUAGCACCUCUUGAACUAGUGUUAAAUCUCAAUUUUCAUUGCAGAAACAACACCUUAGAUAAUCAUAAUUAAUGGUACCAGAUUAAUCAUGAUUUAAAGAGUCAAAGUGCUAAAUAACUUGCUCAAAUCAUAGCAAUCAAAUAACCAAAUAAUAAACACUAACAAUCAUAGAAAGUUCAACCAAACCCAAGGCUUAAACUUUAGAUACACAUAUUAAACACAAAAUCCAGAACUUGUAUAUUAACUAAACUUGGAAUCAAGUACAAAAGAUAAAGAUUUGGAAAGGAAUGUAACCCAUGUCACUUGAGCUCAUCACCUUGCCUUCUUCAUCUCCAUCUUAAUCCUAGUCUAGCAAUAUACAAGAGUGGAUGAACUACACUAGCUAAACUAUCCUACACUAAAGAAAUGGAAGAGCUACAUUUCUGCACUCUUCAAGCUUUUUCCCGUAGCUCACUCUCUAUUUCUGCUAUGAACUCCAUCUCUUUCGUAUGAUCUUUCUCUUUUGUUGCAAUGAAUUUGGCUCUUUUAUCAUGAAAGGUGGUCAAGAAAUGAGGAUUACAUCACCCUUUUACAGCUGGGAAUGUUUCUCACAUGUCUAGCAUCGCAUGUGAGUUGGUGGGAGUGAAAUUGAGUUUUACGCGUACAGAGCAGCCUUUUCUGACCACAAUCCGGCCAGGAAUCCGGCCACAAAUCCGGCCAAAUUCCGGUCGGAUUGCUACAAUAAAUCUGGGCUGCUACAGUGAUCCGAGCUGCUAUAGUGCCUCGGAUCCACUAACCCAGAAACAACCGAGGGUUCGGAUGAAUAGUGGAUCCGAGUGUGGAUCACUUGCUCUGUUUUUGGCCCAACUUCAACCAAUCUUUUCUUGAUGUUAGAGGCUGAACCAGCUCAUGUCUAAAACAUGAAAGUUGUAGCCUUUUGAGUUAUCUUUCCAAUGCAUCAAAAAUCACCUCAUUUGGAUCUGUGUAGGCUGAGAUAUGACUGAAAUACCCUUGACUGCUCAUUGCCCUGUUUCAGUUUCGACCAGUAGAAAUUUGCUAUUGUAAUUCGGCAUUUUGACCUGGAAAACCUUCAAACUGGAUUUAUAUGUCUUCACCAAAGUUGUAGAGCUAUCUCUUAUCUUCAAAUUGGUUCAAGAAUCAUCUUAAUCCGAUCACUGUAGCUCAAGUUAUAGCCGAAAUACGAAAAUGUAUCAAAACUGUCAAAAUACACAAAAUCCAAGUAAAAAAAGUGAUAAAAACCUCAUUUAAUCACUUAAAAACAUUUAUUCACCAAUUAUAGCCAAAAUAAUUCAUUUUCUUCCAAUAAUAUAGCAAAAGUGACUAAAAAUAAUAUAAAAUAUCAUACAAUUAUUACGUAAAUUAGUCACUUAUCACUAAUAAUUAUCAAGUCACAUUAAUCCUCAAAAUUAGCUAAAAAUUGAUAAAUUCACCAAUUAAUCACAAACCCUUGAGUUAAAUAUCACCAAUAAUCAUCAAUAACCUCAAUAAGCACAAUGUAAAGCACCAAACAUCUUAAAAUAAAGAAAUUUGAAAUUGCCCAAAAAAUGAGAAAAAAAUGAAAAAUGGCAAAAUUUAAAUGAUAACAUUUGGUGAAGAUUUGUUACCUCAACUUGCUGUUUGAUGAUUAUGGAUGCAAAUGGUGAAGAAACCCCCUAAAAUCUCACUCUAAUUCGGCCCUCAAAUGGAGAGUUCAAAAAUUUGAAACUUUGUUCUUGCCAAGCUCAAAUCCGAAUUAAAUCUUGUUUUUGAAGAAGUUUAAACUGUGAAAUCAUCUCUAGAGGUAAAGGCAAGUGUUUUGGUGAAGUUAGUUUGAAAAUUUGAUGUUGAAAAGAGGGAUUUUGGUGAAUAGUGUGUGUUUUGGGGUAUGAGUGUGUGUUUUGGGGUAUGAGUGUGUGUUAAAGUUGAAGAAGAAAGGAAGAAGGAAAUGGGGAAUCUGUUGUGCGCGAUUUUGGCCGGAUUUUUGGCCGGAUACUGGCCAGAGAACUAGAAAAUUUUUUUUGAAGUCCCCUGUCAAUUCGGCAGUGAAUCCGGCCUAAAAUUGGCUGGAUUUCAUGCAGAAAUCUCUGAUUUCUACAGUUUUUUCCUCUAGUUCCCUGCGUGAUCAAGUUUCCACACUCACUCGGUUUUCGACUGUUUUCAUGUUCUUUAAGAAAAAAAUUCACUUUAAACCACAAAAAGGUGCUUUUCUCAACCAAAUGCACUUAGAAACAUGAAAUCAUGCAUAAAUAUAAUUUUAGCAUAAAUCACUUUAAAUGCAUCAAAUGCAUCAAAUGAACAUGAAAACUCCCUUUAUGCUUCCUUCUACGCUCUUUUGCACUUGAAACAAUUUGCAUGAACCCUUGCUAUUGCCACCUAUAAAACACACAAAAACACUAGUUAAACGACUAAAACCUACUUAAAACAAGAAAUCAUUGGGUUGCCUCCCAACAAGCGCUUCUUUAUAGUCAUUAGCUUGACUAUAUAACCUCAUUAUCAAGGAGGUUUAGUUAACGAAUAAUCCACCAUUUUUUGUCGUGGUGGAUCAUUAAAAUGUGGCUUAAUAGCAAAAGUCACAUGUUCUAAUGAUGUGAGAUUUGAAAGUGACUUACCUAUUUCAAGUGAUUCAUAGAUAUUACCUUGAAUGUGUAUCACUUGAGAACUCACCAAAGGAACAUCUACAUGGCUUUCUUGAGUUAUAAUACCUUUAGAACCUAUACUAUCACACUUGAGAUCCUCGGUGACAUGUUUUCUAUGCCAAUCCAAUGCCACCAAUAGUAUUGUGCCAAGUGUCAUGUUAUUAUUUACCCUUGUGUUAAAUCAAGCCAAAUUAAAUGAUUAGAAAAUUAAAAUGUAAAUAAUAACAUGACACUUGGCACAACAUUAUUGGUGGCAUUGAGUUGGCAUAGAAAAUAUGUCACCGAGGAUCUCAAGUGAUACUAUCAACACAUUCCUCAAGAUGAGUGACAAAUGAGUCAUUAAGGCUCACCCCUUGAGGUUCAAGAUUAGUUCCAAAGGUACUAUCAUGUGAAAUGGAUAUUUUUUCAUUGAAACUCAAAUUAGAUUCAUUAUUUUGAUCAAAAUUUAAUCCAUUAUCACAUACAACAUUCCCACCAUUCAUAAUAGGGUAAUUUUGCAUAUCAUUAGAGGAAAUAACUUCACACAAUGCAUAUAAUUGUUCUUGUAUUCUACCAAAGUGAGAAGCUAAUUCAUCUAACAUUUCCUCAACCCUAUCAAAACGGUUGAAGGUCGCAUUUGCUAGAUUUUCUAUAGCUAACUCCCAAUAUGGCUUAGAAUCAUUAGCUACUGGUUCACUUUCUAAUUCCAAAGGUGAAAGUGCAUUAACUAACCUUUCUAUUGCCAAUUCCCAAAAUGGUUUUGAUUCAUAAUGGACACAUUCGGGUGGAUAAUCAUAAAAACAUGGAGAAUCACUAUAAGUACAUUGAUUAUCCCAACCAAAAGUAGAAGAAUUGCCCCUAUUAGCACCAUAUUGAUCAAAACAAGAAUUAUAAUGCCCCAAUUCAUCAUAAUAAUCCACAUUUUGUACUUGCAUACAUGUAUAAGUAGCAUGAUAACCUCCACACAAGUCAUAAAUCACAUGAUUAGAAUUAAAAACAUUAACAUUCCUCUUUUGCUCAAUUUCAUGCAUAAUGGCAUCCAUUUGAAUUUGUAACGUUAUAACAUCAAGUUUAGUCUUUAAGCACCUUAAACCAUCUUCAAAUGACAUACCUUCGGUAAUUUCUUGGUUAUCUCUAUUCAAGGAGCUUUGCAUGUAGUAACCAUCCAUUGUCGAUUUUCUACUUCUCAUGCAUUGUCCUCCAUAUUGACCUACUCUCCUCAUUAUCUAAAAUUGCUUUUAAACAACUUAAGAGCAAGAUUAGUAAGAAGAAUAGGUUAUAAAACACAUACACAUAAUAAACACUAAAAUAAAAGAAAAUAACAUUCAAGACUAACUCAAUAAACACACAACAAACUAUACUUAAUUAACACACUAGAAAACUAAUAAAAUGUCCAAACUAAUAAAGUUACUUUUCACGCCGAUAUUGCCACAAAUCUUCUCCAGCAACGGCGCCAAAAACUUGACGAAAUUUUUAUAUAAGUACAAGUUUAAUUCCGAAAUAUACCCAUUUUGACUGCAAGUAUACAUGUCAAAUUAGUAGUUUAGGGCAUAUACCGGGUCGAUCCCACGAGGAAGAUUGGACAAUUACCGGCACUACUAAAUCUUCUCUAUUAUUUAGACGAUCAAUGAAUUAAAAGAGAUAAAACUAUGCUAAACUUAUGCAAGAAAAUAGUAAAUAAAAGCUCCUAAGGUUAUGGUAUCCCUAACUACUCAUGCAAGUGCUAUUUUUGGAUCAUUAAGUACUACUAUCUUGGCUAGUUAUGGCAUAAUUUCCUUAUGUAUGUGAAACCUACUUUCGUACUGAAUCAACUAUACUUAUAGCUAAUUCAUACCUACUCUCCUGGUUAUGAAAUUAGUUAUAAGUUCAUUUCUUCUAUGAAAUUACAUGAAAUGAAUCACUAAAACCACAUAGGUGCACCUCUAUUCUCGUGAGUGUACUCCCUAGGUUUAGCACUUCUUGAACUAGUGUUAAAUCUCAAUUUUCAUUGAAGAAACAACACCUUUAGAUAAUCACAAUUAAUGGUACCAAGUUAAUUAUGAUUUAAAGAGUUAAAAUACUAAAUAACUUGCUUAAAAUAAUAGCAUCAAAUAGCCAAAUAAUAAACACAAACAAUCAUAGAAAGUUCAACCAAACCCAAGGCAUAAACUUUAAAGACACAUAAUAAACAUAACAUCUAAAACUUGUAUAUUAACUAAACUUAGAAUCAAGUACAAAAGAUAAAGAGUUGGAAAGGUAAAGUAACCCUUGUCACAUGAGUUCUUUCCUUGCCUUCUUCAUCUCCAUCUUCAUCUUUGCCUAGCUAAUAAACAAGAAGGAUGAACUACUAGUUAAACUAUCCUAUACUAUACUAACCUAACACUAAGAGAAUGUAAGAACUACAUUUUUAUGGUAUUUCUUGUACUCUCCAAGCUCCUUUGUCUUUGCAAGUCCAUGGCUAUUUAUAGAUGAUUUAGUCAAGAAAUGAGACUUCAAACAUCACUUUUAUAGCUGCAAAGUUGGUGUCACACGUUCAUCAAUAACUGUGAAUUAUUGGAGGAGGAAACAAGUUGUACAAGUGGGGAGCAGCCAUUUCUGACCAGAAUCCGGCCACAAAUCCGGCCAGAAUCUGGCAGGAUUGCUCCCUUGCCAUUCUUAGCAAUUUCUGUCCAAUCUUCAAUGUUGCUCCAAUUUUGUCUCAAUUUCAACUGAACUUUUCUUGAUGAUAGAAGUUGAAUUAACUCUUGACCAAAACAUGAAACUUGUAGCCCUUUAAGUUAGCUUUCCACUUCAUUGAGAAUCACCUCAUUUGGAUUUGUGUAGGCAGAGAAAUGAUAGAAAUACCCUUGACUGCUUACUGCCUUGUCUCGGCUUCGACCAUAGAAAAUUAGCUACUGUAAUUCAGCUUUUUGACCUGGAAAACCUUCAAACUGGAUUUCGAUGUCUUCACAUGAAUUGUAGAUCUAUCUCUUAUCUUCAAAAUGGUUUAGAAUCAUCUCAAUCCGAUCAUUGUAACUCAAGUUAUAGCCGAAAUACAAAAAUGUGUCAAAACUGUCAACUUCCUUUUUCAUCCAAAUGAAGUAUAUUUCCAGCUCCUAUACAAAUUAUGGACAAAAUGCAAGUAAAAAGUGACAUAAAUCUCAUUUAAUCACUUAAGAGUAUUUUACACUAAUUAUAGACAAAAUGAUCCAUUUUCUUCCUACAAUAUUGCCAAAGUGACUAAAAAUAACAUAAAAUAUUAUUCAAAUAUAGCGUAAAUUAGUCACUUAUCAAACAUAAAAUUAUUGCAUCCCCUAAAUAAAGAUCCUAACUCGGCCAUCAUAUGUAUUGACAGGAAUCGGAUGAGUUGAGCAAAUUAAUUUUCUUUUUUUUUUAACUUUUAAAAAAUCGAACGUUCUCAAAAUAAAAAAUUUGGCGAGACAACCUCUUUGCAAUUGCGUUGUCAUAUUUGAUAUGGACCCACGUGCCCUAUAAAAGAAAGUUACCAAAUAAACAUUUAUAAUCAACUGUCAAGGAUCAAGAAGAUGGGGUGGCUGGAGACGCUUUCUCAGGCGCCAUGGAUGAUGUAUCUGAUCAAAUAUUUCCCUUGAGAACUUCACACUUAUUUAAGUACGUGAGACCAAUGAACAUGUCCUCUGACAGGGUAUUAUAUGUCUGAUUAGUUGGGUUUACUCCCAUAAUUCAUUAGAUUCUUAACAAGAUCACUUGAAUCAUAGCUGAUAUAAAUAGACAAUACCGCAUAUUCUAUAACAUUCUUUGUUUUUAAUUUUUUUAUUUGGCAGUGAAAGCCAGAAGAAGCCACCAUGACUAGAUAGACACUCUUAAUGCCUAUGUAAGCACAUGCACCAACAGCUACUUAAAUUAGUAGAAAAUGGUAAUUUUCCAUGCACAGUUUACUUUUGUCUAUUUAUUUAUUUAUUUAUCAAAUGAGGAGUUUGAGUGAUGUUUUAUGCAAGAUGUAACUUUUGCAUUCUUGAAUCAGAAAUUUUGAAGAAGCAUAUGGAGAAAAUCAUUGGAGGAAGGCAAUGGAAGAGAAGAUUCAUGCAAUUGAAAAGAACAGGACUUGGAAGUUAGUUGAACAAAUUCAAGACAAGAAAAUCGUUGGUGUCAAGUGGGUUCACAAAGUCAAACUAAAUCCGGAUGGCUCAAUCCAAAAGAAGAAUGCAAGAUUUGUUGCAAAGGGUUAUUCGCUAUAGUUUGGAAUUGACUACAAUGACACUUUUGCACUGAUUGCAAAAUUUGAUACAACUAGAACUUUUAUUGACAUGGUAGCCCAAAAAGGUUGGAAUCUCUAUCAAAUUGAUAUCAAAUCUGCAUUUUUGAAUGGAGAAUUGAAGGAAAAAGUGCCAUGUUCAACAACCUCAAGACUUUAUCAAAGAAGGAGAAGAAAACAAAGUGUAUAAGUUGAAUAAAGUAUUGUACGAAUUGACACAAGCUCCUAGGGUUUGGUAUAGCUAAGUUGAUUUUUGCUUCAUGGAGUAAGGAUUCAAGAAGAGCAAAAGUGAGUCAACAUUGUAUGUGAAGUCUCAAGGUAACUCAGACAUUCUCAUUGUUGCUUCAUAUAUUGAUGAUUUUCUUUACACCAGUAACAAUGAAAAGAUGACUGAUCUUAAGAAAGGCAUGAUGAAAAGAUAUGAAAUGAAUGAUGUAGGACUGCUAUAUCAUUUUCUUGGCAUGGAGAAUUAUCAAUAUGAUAAUGGAGUGUUUGUUUGUCAAGAAAUAUGUUGAAAAUAUUCUUGUGAAACUCAGCAUGUCUGAUUGCAAACCUAUGGUUACACCACUUGUUGUGAGUGAAAAACUUGUUAAAGAAAAUGGAGAAAAGAGAGCUGAUUUCACUUUGUAUAGAAGCUUGGUGGGAAAUUUGCUUUACCUCACAGUUACAAGGUCGAACAUCAUGUUUGCUUCAAACUUAUUAUCAAGGUUUAUGUACAAUCCUAGUCAAUUACAUCUUGGAUUAACUAAGAGAAUGUUAAGACACAACAAAGAGACACUCAACUAUGGUAUCAAAUUUAGCAAAGGAGCUUCCACAAAUUUGUGUGGUUAUUGUGAUAGUGAUUGGAGGGGUUGUGUUGAUGAUAUGAAGAGCACCUCAAACUAUUAUUUUUCACUUGAUUCGAGAGUAUUUUAUCAGGUAUCAAAGAAGCAAUGAUGUAUGGCACAAUAAUUCAUUGUAGCUGAAUAUAUGUCCACAAGAUUGGCAACAUCACAAGUCAUUUGGUUUGGAAAAAUUCUUGAAUACAUUGGUACUGAAAGCAAUAGAAAACUACAGUUAUAUUUCACAAUAGUAAAUCAGCCAUCGACAUUGCCAAAAAUUCAAUCUAUGAUAGUAGAACUCGCCACUUUGCUAUCAUGCAUCAUUUCAUUCAUGAUGCAAUUGAAGAUGGCGAAAUUGAACUGAUAUUUUGUAAGAGUCAAAACCAAGUUGCAGAUAUCUUUACCAUUGCACUUCCAAAAAACAAGUUCAACUAUUUCGAGAAAAGCUUAGAGUUCAAAAAUAGCACAUUGGGGGGGGGGGAAUGUGUUGAAUAAUGUGUUUAAUUAAUUAGUUCGUUGGCAAAUCAAGUUAAUGAGUUAGUUGGUAAGUGACUUGUUUAGACUACUUUCAUGUACUCCAAUGAAUCUAGAAUGAUGUAUUUACAAAUAUAAAUAAGUCCUGUAAAUUCCAAGAUAAUUAACGGAAAAAGAAAUCAAUGAAUGAGAAACUCAAAAUAUUCUUCUAUCCAACAAACUAUGCGUUGCCUUUCAAAUGGAGCCACAAGAACCUGUUGAGGAUAAGGCCGAGCUUUGAACUUCACGAUCGAGACCUAUGUACAAUAGUUAAUGCUGGUAAUGUUUUUUGUUGUCUGAUAGGAAAAUAGUUAAGCAAUAAUUAUGCUACUCAACACUUGGAAUUUUGCAAGGUAAAUAUAUAUAUAUAUAUAUAUAUAUAUAUAUAUAUAUAUAUAUUUCAUUUAUUCAAGAUCUGGGAUAAAAAUUGUUAUUGAAAUUGUUGGCGAAAGAAUCUAUUUUUUGCUCAAGGGGAAAAUAAUUUUACAACUCAUACCAUGCUCUCUGGAAUUAUUCAUACUAUUUACAUCUCAAUUAACGGAAGCAAGACACUGUCGGAAGCAAAUUAAUAAGAUCGUUGAAUCAAAUUUUUUUUCCUUCGCAUCCAUGGGUUACAUCUUGAUGUAACUACAGCAUCCAUUUUUGACAAGUUUUAGCAUCAAUCUUGACUCUUGGGUACCAUUUAUCUGCAUCACAAUAAGUCCAGUAGUGCUUUUCAUUUCAUUAAUAUAUUCUCUGCUUCUAUAAACUUUCAACUUGAAUGCCGUAGGUGGUUUGUUACUACUUGGUUCUAAUAUUAACAAAAUUCAUUUAAAUCACUAAAUUAUUGAGAAUACAAACAUUCGACACAAAUUUGCAGUAUUAUUAAAUUUUUUAUGGUAAACAUAAUAAAAGUCUCAAGUCUACCUGGAAAAGAAGAGCAAAAAAGAUCCUUUAUAUUGAAUAACUAGGUGAACAACUAUAAUCGUAUGUAGAUUAUUCAAAAAAUUUUUGAGCUAGACUAUUCAGAUUUUAAUUAGUAAAGAAAAAGAAACUUAGAACACAUUCUUGCCUUGGAUUGUACGAGGAAAGAUCUAGCAAUAGUUACACCAAAUUAUUCAAAAGUAUUGCUAAUCAUACUGUUUUAUUGAUAGAGUGAAUACAGCUCACAGCAUACAUUUUAAUAAUACAUACAUGAAGAAAUUCUUGACCUGAUGACUUAUAGGGCCCAGGGUCAAGUUUAUUUGCAUCAGUUAUUAAUGAAGAGCGAUACCAGGGUAGUCAUCCUAUAUGUCCUGUCUAAUGUGGAGGUUCGACCUUACAGUAAUAUAAUCUUCUGUUGUGCGGACAGUCUCAAAGGUAAUAUACCCCGUUGCAUGCCGAAAUUGUUUGGUUCCUCCCACAAUUGCAACUUCAUUGACAUGCAUAGACUGUAUAAGAAUUCCUUUCAUUUCCAGAGUGCUGCCAUUGUACUUUCCAUCAGUGAACAGAAACGUUUCCGCAAGCUCUAUGUUGGUGUUAUCAAGGGAUGCUACUGCAGCAAUGCCCUGCAAACAACCAACUAGUGCGGAUUUGACUGAAACGCUUUGUGUCAAGGUAUUAUCAACGACAAAAACAGUUCCAAAUUGGUUAAAGCCCCAAGUUACGUUGGAGAGACCUGCAACUGGGAAAAUACUCUGACCUUCUCCACUUCGAAAUUCAUGGACGUACACCGUCAAAUUUGUGAACAAUGCCCUUGAUUGUCCCGAGCUUGCUAGUAAAAGUAGGCUGAGAAUUUGGAGGGAUGCUAUGGCUAAACUCUUUGCCAUUGUUUCGUUACGGGGAAAAGCGAAACAAAGGAGGAGAAGCAAGAUGGAACAAGUUGGUGUGGUUUGAAGUAUAAAGCUGAUGAGGACUAUAUAUACUUUAUAGGACCGCAGUUGGGGAGAACAGAAAUUUAUUAAGAGAGAGAGAGAGAGAGAGAGAGAGAGAGGAAAGGAAAAAAAGAAAAAGUUUGUCACGUAACCGCUUUUCAAGUGCAAUAUUUUGUGUUAGAUACAGCCCCACUUGCCUAAAAUUGUAAAGAGUGUGUAAAGUCAAACCAAAAAAAAAGAAAAGCGAAAGGACAAGUACAAAUGUCAUCUAUGUAUGAUACAAAGUUUUCGAAGGAAGAUGGGGCGAGAAAUCUUCAUUAAAAACAUGGUACACAACAGAAUAUUAUCAGUUGCCAAUGAGGCCUUGGUUUAAUUUUUUAGCCAUCAAUUUUUCAGUCUCAAGAAUUAGACAUCUUGAGUUCAUGUAUAUUUAACGGUGAGUUUAUUUAAUUAGAUUCCAGUGUUUAUCUAUAAAUUUUAGCAAUAAUGUUGUUUAGGUUUAAUCUGAGUGUGUUGGUCAUACCUAUAUAGAUAAUGUUUAAUCACAUAGAAAAGUAAAUAAACAUGUUCAAGAAAACGGAAUGUUGGAUCAAAUGCGUCCAUAUUCAUUAGUUUAAUUCAAGUUGCCAACUAUCAUAUCAAUUAGGCGUCCAAUCGAUGAAAUUAAACAAAGAAUGAAGGCCCGGCAGAGAACAUUGACGCGCUGAAAGUUAUGUUGUUAUUUUGCAUGAUUGAAGACUUUUCUUGUUGAUUCAGAUACAUGAAUGAGAAUUCUUCAGGCUGUUUAACCAUUCAAACGGAGAUCCUUUACUGAUUAAAAUCUGCCAACAUUUUUCAUUGGAGCAAAAGAUGGAGGCCUUGUCCUGGUCAAAAUUAAAAUUAUUGUACGUGGGAAGCUGUGCUGUUGUAAAAUAAUUGCAAAGAAUUGUCCAAUUACAAAGAGGUAACCUGUUGAAAAAGAAUUUACAUUCUUAAUCAAAUCGUAUGUAAUACUUUAUGUUAAUUAGACUGUUUCCUUUUCACCAAAGUGUUAUUCUCAAUUAUAUUUUCUGAAAGAAAAUGUAUAAAUUGUGUAUAAGAUUUCAUAUUAAUUAUGAGAAGUUGCGCAUUGAACCCUUAACCAGCUCUCUGAGUUCAGCCUAAUUUUGAGACUUAAUAUCAUUGAAUACAUGUAUAACUAAUUCUAGAUAACCAUACAAUUUUCUUCAAAUGUGGUCAUAAGUUCAUUUUUUCUGUUGGUACGUUGCCUAUGCCAUAGUAACCCCAAGACUCCACAAGCAACUAUUGAGGACAAGGCCGAAAUUUGAACUUCACCGUGGAGACCUACGUUCAAUAGUUAAUGCUGGUAAUGCUUUUGUUGGUGCAGCAUGAAGUAACAUUUAAGUAAUGUUAUGCUACUCCACACUUGGAAUUUUGCCAGGUUUAAAAAAAAGUCUUUUUCUUUAUUCAAGACCAAAUGCAAAAAAUGUUAUUCACAUUUUUGGCAAAAAAUCUAAGUUAUGUUGCGCAGCGGAUCUUCUGUCCCACACUCUGUGCCACUCUCUGUGCCACUUUUUAUUAUAUUGCUAUUUCUCCGUCAUAAACAUCAUGUUUUAAUUCUUUUUUAUUUUCUUAAGAUCUAAUAACUAUUAAUUGAGUAAUACACAAAAUUUAACAAACUCAAAAAAUCAAAAUGCAUAAAAAAUGAGAUUUUUUAUGAAUUUUCUGCUAUAUUUUUUAAUUUUCUAUUAUAUAUUGCUUUUUUGAAAUUGAUGUAUUUAUUUUUUAUUCAAUUAAUAGUUAUUGAAUCUUAGGAAACUUACAGUUACGCCUGGUGUUAGGAAAUUUAUGGGGUACCUAAAAACCCUGAAAAAUAAUAAGAAAUGACAAUUAAACAAGUAGAGAGACACCAGAUUAACUUGGUUCGAUCAAAUUGAUAUAUGCCAAUGAGCAAAGGAGUAACAUACUAUCACCAUAAGGAAUAGGCUACAAUCUCUAGGAAAGUGUUACUAGAAUCAAAAGCACUUAUUUCAAAAAACAGAGGAGUGUCUAAAACAUUACAAAAUGUUUAACGGCCCAAAUGUCCAAAAUAACCCUCUAACUUGCUCUCUUGGUUUAGUGCUUAUCCAAAACCUUUCUUAGACUGUGGUCUUGCCUCCUCCAGAAACUUUUCUUGGGUGGUGCAUUCACACGCUUGAAUUUAGUUAAAUCCAGUAUAUUUAUAACCAUUUUAAAACUUUUGAUAUAAUACAAAUAUAAACUCAACAAAUCUUCACUUUAAUGUGUACCCAAUAUCGACAAAUAGUACAAUCAAUUCACUUUUUCUACAAAAGUUCUGGUAGACCCUAACCAGUCAAGAUCACAUAUGGCCCAAUGAGUUCUAACAGGCCAAAAUUGGAAGGCCCCAAAUGGGCCAAAUUCACAAAAGUCCCAAUGGGCAAAAAUUAUAAAAGUCUCAACAAAUUUCAAUAGGUCAAAAUUCACAAAAGUCUGGACGAAUCCCAAUAAAUUUCACGAACAUAACAAUCUUUCUCCACUUUCUCCUAAAACCUCAAAAAGCUCCAUUGAGCCAAAUAGCAAACAUGCUGCUCCUCCACAAAAGUCCAACCGGUACCAGUGGUCUUUUUUUCUUCCAUUCCUUGUAGUUAGGGGUGGGUAAAAUUAUCCGCUAAACCGAAAAUCUGUCAUAUCCGAUCCGAAAAUUAGGAUAUUCGAUUUUUAUUAUUUGAUCGGGUCAAAAUAGGGUCGGGUAUCCGCUAAGAUGCGGGGCGGGUUAGGGUCACAUAAUUAAAAACCCGCGGGUACCCGAUCCGCCCCGUAUAUAUAUAUUUUUUAUUUUUAUACACACACUAUAAAAUAAUAAGUUAGAACUAAAUAAGUAAUUUUAUUGAACAAAUUGCAUUACAAAUAUGAGAGACUAUAGUUUAUUUACAAGAUUCAUUUGUAAAGACCAUGAUCUUAUAUUUUAUAGAAAAAAGUUUAAUUAAUGUGAAAUAUAGAUAUUAAAAAUUGUGCUACUUAUUUCAAACUUUUAUUGAUUUUGAAUUCUUUUAAUUUUUUUCCUUUAUCUUAUAUUCUCUUCAUAUGCUUGUUUCUUGGUGGGAAACCUUUUUUAGAAAAAAAAUUAUUAAAUCUUAGAUGAAUGUGUAAAAUAUAAAAUUAAAUUGGUAUAAAUCAUUUUUUUUAAAAAAAUUAAAUGAUAAACGGGGCGGGGCGGGUACUCGCUGAUCCGACCCUAUCUCAGUGGGUACCCGUUAUAGGGUACCCGCUGAUAUGCGGAGCGGAUAAGGGUCAGAAAAUGGCUGACCCGCAAGGUGCGGGUCGGGUCAACCAAAUGGUGAAUGGGGCGGGUACCCGACCCGCGCCCACCCCUACUUGUAGUGCAAAAUCAAUAGUCUGUUAUAGUCCGUUAUAUCAAAGUCAAUGGUCUUUUUUUUUACUGUCAUCGUUGUUGCAGAAUCCAAAACUUAAAGCUCUUGUACUAGUGUGUUAGGAAUUGUCAUACAGUCUCUUAUAGUCAUCAACAUCCCUAAAAUUGACACUCAUACCAUGAUUUAAUAAAACAUGUAUACAUAGUUUAUUAAGGUAUCUAUAUUUUGCUAAUAAAAAAAAGGCUAAAUUGCAACACCAUAGGGUGCCAUGGUAGAAUUAAUAAAAUUCGUAUAUUACAUACGGGGAUACAUUGCAAAAGUCAAAGUGCGAUUGUUGACUUAGUGAAAUUGGCAAAUUACAUAGGGGGCUAAAUUGCAAAAUUUAGGGUGUAAUAGUAGAAUUAAAGAAAUUAUUGUACUACAUAUGGGGCUAAAUUGCAAAAGUUAAGGUGUCAUAAUAGAAUUAAUGGAAUUUUUUUAUCACAUUUGGGGCUAGAUCAUAAAAGUUAGGGUGACACAUUAGAAUUAAUGAAAGUGAUCUAGGAGCAAGUACUUUAGACAGUGACGACUAAUUGUUGUCACUACCUCUGAAUCGAUAGAGUGAUAGUGACGAUGUUGGAAGUUGUCACUAGAUGGACCAUUUUAGUGACAACAUUUUUCCAGAUCGUCACAAAAGUAAUUUUCUGCCACACCAACAGGUUGUGCACCACCAAUGUUGUGACGACAAAUCCCAUGUUGUCACUCAUGAUAAGUCUAUGUGAGUUCAUCUGUGACGACAUCAAAAGUCAUCACUAAAUUGGGUCAACUAUGACAAGUUUUUCAUUGUCAUUGAAAAUAUUGUCACAAAAGGCGAAAUUUCUUGUAAUGAGACGACCAAAGACUUGUGGGAUAAUUCGAAGCUUUUGUAUAUAAAGAAGACGAUAGUGAAUCGACUCCACUUGAAGCAAAGUUUAUAUAUGCUUCACAUGUCCGAAGGUACGUCUACAAUUUUACAUCAUGAUAAAUUUGAUUCUAUUAUUAUGAAUUUUACAAAUAUAGACGUUACAAUUGAGAAUGAGGACCAAGCCCUAUUAUUGUUAUGUUCCCUAUUCCAGUCAUUUAAGCAUUUUAGACACAUAAUGUUUUAUGGUAAAGAUACAAAUUCUUACAAAGAAAUAAAUUCUAUCCUUGAAUCCAAAGAACAUAUUGGUAGGGAUAUUAUUGGCGAAACUAAAGGGAGUCAAAAUAGAUGCCUUAUUGGUUCCGGGUAGAUCCACACAUAAAAAUUUGGUAUGCAGAUACUAUCGCAAGACGGGCCAUAUUAUCUCUGAAUGCACUAAAUUAAAGAAUAAAGAAAGGCAUAAAGAGAAAAGUGAUUUGAAAUGCAAUGAAAUUGCUGAGGCUAGUGUUGUAGCUUAUAAGAAUAAUGGAACCAUUUUCUUAGCAGUAGAAAAUAAUUUAAGGUCUAACAAUGAGUGGAUUUUAGAUUCAGUUUGUUCGUAUCAUGUGUCUAUUAGCAAUUCAACAUAUGAAUCAACUGAAAGUGGAGUUGUCUAAAUGGCCAACAACACCUUUUGUAAAGUUGUUGGUAAAGGUACAGUUUGAAUCAAAAUACAUGAUGGUAACAUGAGGACGCUUCCAAAUCUUAUCUCUUUAGGUACUUUUGAGUAUAUUGGGUGCAGGUAUAUAGCUGAAGGUGGAGUUGUAAAUAUCACUCGAGGUGCUCUUAUUGUUAUGAAGACACAUAGGUCUGGUACUUUAUAUAUUUUGCAGGGAUCUACUAUUACAAGUACUGUUGCUAUUUCGACAUCAACUUUGUGUGAUUUUGAUUUCACCAUAUGCAGUUAUGACUUUUGUGAUUUUUUGUCCAUUGGGACCUACUGAGUCUUUUGCGAUUUUUGACUCGUUGAGAUCUAUCGGAACUUUUGUGAUUUUUGUCCUGUUGAGAUCGAUUAAGGCAUUUGUGAUUUUGGCCUAUUGGGAUCUGUUAAGGUUUUUGUGAUUCAAGUUCAUUGAAAUCCAUUGUAACUUUUGUGUUUUUGACUCAUUGGAAUAUAUUGAUGCUUUCGUAAUUUGAUUCAUUGGCAUUCGUUGAGGCUUUCAUAAUUUGCUUGUUGGAAUCUAAUGAUAUUUUUUGUGAUAUUAACUCGUUGGAGUUUUUUAGAGAAAAGGUGGAGCAAUUUCACUUUUUUCGAUUUUUUUGUAUGACAGAUGCAAAGCCAAGGUGGAGAUUUGUUAAAAUAUAUCUUUGACAUCCUUGUGAAAUCAUUUAUGGUACUAUUGAUGAGCAUGUAUUUUGAGUAAUUAAGUCUGUUUUAUUAUUUAGUUUUGAUGUGUUUUAAUUAUUUUUAGAGCUAAUUUACUAGGGUUCAAGUGAAGUUGACAUUUUGUGGUUUAAGUAUCAAAAAUUACAUUUCUAUGGAUUAAAGUGGUGAAAACUUCAUAUUUUUAUAGGUUUAAUGACUCAAUCAACAAAUGGAGUAAUUUGAGAAGACAUUUGAAUGAUUGUUGAUGAUUUGAAGUGAUUUAAAAAGAAUAUGAAGUGCAAAGAUGAAAUGCAAUCAAGUGUAAAAGAAAGGGAGUUUGACAACUUUGACACCUUUUAAUAUUUUGGCUAUAUCUUGAGUUAAAAGUAUUGGAUUGAGGUGAUUCUUGAGCCAUUUUGAAGUUAACACUAUAAGACAUCGCAAUCCAAUUCAUGAGUUUUCAUAGUCAAAAUGUCAAAAUACAGCCGGCCAUUUUUGUUGUCAAAAGGUGAAACAAAUUUUUUAUCAAUCAGGGGUAUUUUGAUAAUUUUCCAGUAUAUAGAGCUCCAAAUUUGAUAAUUGUUGAAGCAUUGGAAAACUAAUUCAAAAAGCUACAACUUUAAUGUUUUUCAAAAGAGCUAGUUCAACAUUCGUCAUUGAGAAAAUAUUAGUUGAAAUUAGUAUAAAGACAAAGCAAAAUUGAAGACUGACCAGAAUUGAGAGAACCUGCAAAGAGGCAAAUGGGGGCUAAUACGUGACCUCAUGUCCACGUUUUCAUGACCGCAUAUUCUUCAAAUGAAGCUGCAACUUACAUUUCAAUUUGCUCUACAUUCACAUAGCUUUUCUAACUGUUUUUCAGCUCAGAAUUUCGACUGUAGCUGUAAAAAAAAUGUGGAAACUUAGAGAAACACUUUUGACGAUUUCAAGAGACAAAAAUUUCCAACUAGAAACGACUCACUUGGAGCUUUAAUUCCUCUAUAAAUAUGGGCCUUUGUUGAGCUUGUUUUAGAAGUGUGGAAGGCUAAAGACACUACAAAAAAUGUAACUUUCACUAAUUUUUCUUAGUUUAUUAGUUUAGUAUAGCGUAAUAUAGUUUCCAUCCAUUCUUGUAUUAGCUAAACUUGCAUGAGAUAGAGGAUGAAGAUGGAGAUGCUUGGAGCUCAUUGACAAAUGUGUCUUCUCUCUUAUCACUUUGUUUCUUGUAUUGAUUCUAACGUUUGGUUAUACUACAAAUUUGGAUUUUGAUUUCAUGUUUUUCAUGUUUAGCUAAGGUUUAUACCUAGAGUUAUGGAUGAACUUUCUAUAUCUUGUUAGUGAUUUUAAUUGGUUAUUUGAUGAUAUUAUUUUAAAUAAGUUAUUUAGCACUUUUGCUUGUCUAAUUAUGAUUAACUUGCCAUUAAUUAUGAUAAUCUUUAAGGUAUUAAGUUUGCAAUAAAAAUUGAAAUUUGACACUAAUUCAAAGAAGUGCUAAAUCUAGGAAAUACACUCACGAGAGUAGAGGUGCACCUUUGUGAUUUUAGUGACUUAUUCUAUGUAAUUUCAUAGAAGAAAUGAGCUUAUAGUUAAUUCCAAAAUCAUGAGAGUAUGUAUGACUUAACUACAACUAUAUUGAUUCUCAACGAGAGUAGGUUUCAUAUAUAUAAGGAAAAUAUGUCAUAACUAGCCAAGAUAAAAGCAUUCAAUUAACCGAUAAUUUCACUUAAUUGCAAGAGUAAUAAGGAAUUCCAUAACCUUAGGAGGUUUCUGUUUUUAUUUUUAUUACUUUUAUUUCAUGUGUGUAGUAUAGAUUUAAUCUCUAACAUUUAUGGUAGUCUAAAUAAUAAAGGCGUUCAAAAACCAUCGGUAAUUAACAAUCUUUCCUGUGGGAUCAACACCUAAUAUCCUCUAUACUUGAUAAAUGACCUGUAUAUUUAUAGAAAAUGGGGUAUUUAAGUUUUAUUAAAAUUUGGUAUCUGACAGAACCUCGUCAGGUGUCAAAUUUUGAGAGCUACAUGGACAUAAUUCUUUUAUCUAUUUACCGUCCUAGCAAAUAGCCCAACUAUUGAGUUGUAUGUUUUAAUAGUCAAAUUUGCAGCAACCAUUUCUGUUCAAAUACUAUUCAUUUGAAGGCUUUCGCAUGGAAGAAUUUCUCCUAUAAAUAGGGGUUUUUUUCUUGUUUUGACAGAACCCCAUUUGGGGAGGGACGCCACCCCAUUAUUCCAUUAAUCAAUUAAGGAGCCGAUUACAUGAAAAUCCAUGCCAGCACAUGAAUACCCAAAACAGAUGAGGCCUACUCCUUUACAACCAUAUUACGUGAUGCAGGAAAUGAUCUAGCAUCUAAGUUCAAAGUACUUUUCACAGUUGGAGGCAAAGUGGAAAUAUCUUCCCAAACGACAUCCGAGCCUCUUAUACAUUAUGUGUAAUCAUAUUAGAAAGCAAAUAAAUUUGUUCAAGAAAACGGUAUGAAUGUUUGAUCAAAUACGUCCAUAUUCAUUAGAAUCUUAUUAAAAUUACUUGUGUAACUAAUAUAAUUAGACCAAGUAUUUUUAAUCCCACUACAUAUUUCAGCAUUUAUCUGUCUUCUUAAUUCCAAUUUAGCUCUUAGUUGCUCCUCCUGAUUUCUAUUUCAUAAGGAUAUAUUAAUACACAGAAAUGAAAGCACUUUUCUUAGUGUGGCUACAAUCCUAUUGUUAAUGCUUCUUUCAAGACUAGACAAGGAAGUUGCAUCUUGUUUUGAUAAAGAACUCAAGGAUCUAUUUGCGUAAAUGAUCACAGAAAGAUUGUUGUAAGAGUGUAAAUGAUCCAAGUAUCAAACUCAAAUCGAGCUCAAGUGUAAUUUACGUAACACUUGAGAGAUUUGCGAAAGAAUUUUAUUAUUAUUAAACUAGUAUAUUUUAUAAGGUAGUUCAAGUUCUUUUUUUAAUGGCAAGUUUCAUUUAUAGGGAGGGAUACCAGCCUGUUAGUUUAUUAAUACACAGAAAGAUCUAAAUAUAACAUAGAGUUUGGGAGGGGAGGGCCAAACCUGACUUCAAAUAAAAGGCAAAAAAUGUAAAGAAGGAGUAGUGGAGUUCUACUCCCUUAUAUCCAUGCUGUUAAAACUAAUUACAAGACAUUACCUUCUACGAAAAGAUAGAAAUCCUAUCCUAUCGAGCUAUAAAUCACCACGAACUAGCCUAGGCAAAUUAGCAAACGAAUUAUAAAUGGAAUCGCCGUUAGAAAGAGCACCAACAUUAGACAACCGAUCAACAAGGCGAUUAGCUUCUCUAUAACAAUGGUUAAUUCGACAAAUAUAGCGCUGAAAUUGCAUAAGAUCAAACAAAUCUCGUUCUAGUUUCCACAGACAAGUAUAUAAACCAUUAAGAAUAUUCAUUAAAACCAAACCAUUAAAAAUAUUCACUAAAACCAAAGAAUCAGACUCCAAAUAUAGACAUUAAAAACCCCAAGAAACACAAGCCUUCACUCCAAAUAACAAAGCCUAUAACUCAACCUUUAGACUAGUAGUAAUGCCAAAAUGAUAUGAAAAGGCCAUCAAAAAAUGGCCCUGGCAAUCACGCAAAAUGCCACCUCCCCCACGAAAACUAGGAUCAAGUUCUAAAGCAAACGGACAAAGAUGGAGGAAACCGUUUAAGUUCUAAAGCAAACACCUCCAGAGUUCAUGAAAAUUACAGAGUAACCAGCCCAUUGGUUAGUAUUCACUUGAGGAUCCGCACAUUUAGCACUGUUAUGAUAUAAUUUGUUGUUCCAUAUAUCGUAUGGUGGUGUUACUGGAAAGCGGAAGCGUCCCAUAUCUUAACUGUUGAAGAAUUUUCAGUAGAAUAUUUCUUGAAGUUUCCAAUAUGAAUUAGGUCUAUAAUCAACGAGACGAAACAAAAAAAAGGAGGCCUAGCAGAAAUUGACAUCUUUAUUACAUUAGCGCAAAAAAAUAAAUAAAUAAAAACGUACUGAAAAUUUUAGUUUUUAAUUCUGCAUGAUUGAAGUCUGUCCAUUAGUGCUAGUAAGUGCUUAAUUUACGUGCUUUCGUGCGGUGAAUUGUAUGCAUUUUAGUCAUUACAAAAGCCAAAUAACUAGAUUUUUAGUUGAAUUUUGCAUUUUGUGAUGAAAUGAGAAAAACUACAUUUCUAUGAAUUUAAGUGUGAAGGUUUCAUGUUUUUUGUAGGUUUUAAUAAUUUAAUCAUCAAUUGGAAUGAAAUGAGAAAAUACUUGCGUGAUCCUUGAUAAUUUGAAGUGAUUUCAACUGAAUAUAAAGUGCAAAACGAUCAAAGUAUGAAAUGCAAUUAAGUUUAAAGGAAGAAAAGUAUUUGCAGUCUUGAUAUAUUUUAGUAUUUUGGCCAUAAUUUGAACUACACCUUUUGGAUUGAGAUGAUUCUUGAAGCGUUUUAAAGUUAAGACCAAUGGAUACAAUUCUUAUAAGACAUUGACGUCCAAAUUACACAUUUUGAAGGUCAAAAGACUGAAAUAUAUGCAUGCAUUUUUGGAACAUUCUUUUGACUAGUGUGGAGUAUUUUGAUCAUAACUUAAGACGUAGACCUCCAGGUCACUUGAUUCUUAAGUUGUUACAAAGCUAACUCAAUAGAAUGUAACUUUCAUUUUUUUUUCACAAGAGCCGGUUGGGCCAUCUUCAUGGAGAUAUUUUUACAUCAAAUCAGGGCAGCAGCAAACCUGGCCCAGAAUUCGGUCCCAGAUUAUAGGCCGAAUUCAAGGCAAAAUGCAACUUCUCCAAGAUCAAAACAGAGCAACAAUCCAGUCAUGAACACUAAACUAAUCCAGUGCCACAUUGUGGGCUCCAUUAUAGUCAGAGAGUGCGGUUGCAAUGUGCUCAACUUUUACAACAUGCUCAAACUUGCUCACUUUUUCAUGGAAAUUCAAGGGAUGUUUUUGCUGCUGAAAUGAAGGCUCUAGACCAUCUUUUGAACUCCUUUCUCUCUCUAUAAACGUUGUUGAAGGAUUGGAGAGUAGAGAACUUCAUCAUAAAAAUGUAGCUCUUAUAUUCUCUUAGUUUAGGUUAGUGUAGGAGCAGUUUAGAGUUGUUAGAUCAUACUUUCUUGUAUAAAGUUGAACCAUGAUAAAUAGAGCGCGGAGCCAGAAAAAAUUUUAAUGAGGGGAAAAACAACUCUAAAAUUUUUACCUACUCUUUUUCUAGUUUUUUAAGUAAAAAUAAAUUCACCAACAAGUACAAAUGAUGGUUAUAUUCCAUGAAAAACAUAAAAAGACAAACUCAAAAUUAUUAAUGUAAUAAUAAUUUUAUUUCAAAAAGCAAAUUAAAACAUUUACAAUUGCUCAUGACUAGUUUUCAUAUUUUGAUAACGGUUUACAACCUUCUCGUUUUGAACUUCACGAAUUAUAUUUUCUCAAUGUAAGUAAUUAAACAAUCAUUCAUCCAGGUGUCUUCCAUUCUAUUUCGUAACUGAUUAUUCACUAUAUUCGUAACUGAAAAAUCCCUUUCUACAGUAAUUGUAGUGACAGGCAAAAUCAAAGCCAACUUUAGGAGCAUCAAAACCUCCAGGGUUACACUUGAGGUUACAUCAAAAUUCUAUAGGUACUUUAAAAAUUUAAGGGGGCCCCAGUGCCCCUACUGUAGAUCCUCCCCUGACGAUAAAGUUGAAGGAUAAAAAAGGUAAAGAAGGUGCUCAUGUGACAAGGGUUUUCUUCCCUUACACCUCUUUAUCUUUCCUAGUUCAUUCUAAGUUUUAUUAUUAUAGAAGUUUGAAUUUUGUGAUCAUUAUGUGUUUCUAAAAUUUGUGUCUAAAGUUAUGAAUGAACUUUCUAUGUCUUGGUUGUAAAGUUUGCUUGGUUAUUUAAUGCUAUUAUUUUGAACAAGUUAUUUAGUACUUUUGCUUAUCCAAUCAUUUAUUAGUUGGCCAUUAAUUGUUCUAUUCUCAAAGUAUUAAGUUUGCAAUGAAAAUUGAGGUUUAAAACUAGUUCAAAGAAGUGUUGAACCCAAGGAGUACGCUUAUGAAUGUAGAUGUGCACCUUUAUACCCUUAGUAGCUAAUUUCAUAUAAUUUCAUAGAAUUUAAUGAAUUUGUAAUUGGUUUCAUAACUACGAAAGUAAGUAUGAAUUAGUUGUAGAUAUAGUUGAUACAUCGGUGAAAGCGGUUAUCAUGUAUAUUAAAAAAUCACGCCACAAUUUAGCUGAGGUAAUAAAAUUCAAUUAACUGGUAGAUUCAUUUACAAGAAUAGUUAGAAAUUUCACGAUCCUAAGAACGUUAUAUUAUUAUUUUUACUUCUUUUAUUUCAUAUUUGUAAUGUAGAUGUAAUUUUUUGUAUUUGUGAUAGUCUAACUAAUAAAAAAAUUCAAAAAUCACCAGUAACGAAUCACCCUUUCUUGUGGAAUCGACACCCUUCUAUUCAAUAAACAAUCUAUCUACUUGCAAAAAUGAGGUAAUAAGGUUUUUCAAAUUGUAACGAAUGAUGAAACCUCGUCAAGUGUAAAAGACGUGGGCAUGAUUGAAGACUAUUUUGUUAAUUGUGAUGCAUGCAUGAUUCAGAAUUCCUCUGCUGUUUUACCAAUCAUACAGGGAUCCGUUUGGUCAUUAAAAUUUUGGAACCUUUGAGGCUGUUUAUAAUUUAGUCAUUCGCAAAAUAUUUAAUGCCAGCUCAAUGGUUUGUCGUUUGGUAUAUUUGAAUUUUCGCACAGCUCAUGCAUUGGAAAGCGGUUAAUGGUCCAAAGGUUGUCGGGGCAGUGCUCAAAUAAUUGCAAAGAACCAAAUUUCGUACGUCAUGGAUGUCCUCCAAAGGGGGCCAGUAUCAGCCUCAUCUUGAUCAGCCUUCCAGCGCACUAAAGAAACAUAUAAAUAUAGUAGCCUUCCUCCGGGGUGUUUCUCCGACAAAUUUUAUGUAAUGUACUCUAUGUUAAUUAGACUGUUUCCUUUUCACCAAAAUGUUGUUCGCAAUUACUCCUUUCGUUCCACUUUGAUAGUCAUGUUUUCCUUUUUCGUUUGUCUCAAAUUAUAGUUCACUUUUUAAUUGAAGAAUGUAAUUGUAUUUUAAUUUUUCUAAAAUACCCUUAUUUAAUGUAAGUUGUUGUUACUAUAAAUCUACCCCAUUUAAUGAGAGUUGAUUCUUUUUUUACCAUCAAUUCAAGUUCCCAUAAAAUUGUACACUAUUUAAUGUGAGGGUAUUUUAGAAAAAUAGCAAUCUAAAUUUACUUUUCUAACAAAAUUAACUACUUUUUCUUAAACUGUGUGAAAAAAGAAACGGGUCUAUCAAAGUGGGACGGAGGGAGUAUAUGGUUUCUAAAAGAAACCGUACAUUCUAGUAAUAAAAUUGCCAAUGCGUGAAAGACUUUUUUUUUUUUUUCCCUUAAGCCACGUUGACCUGAAAUCAGUUCCAACGGCCGGAAAUUGGCUAAUUGGACUAUAUUACGAAAAAGUGUAAGAUCAAGGUGAUUAAGUGCUAAAAUUGAAAGUUGAGGCACAAAUUACAAUCUAGUAAUAUGUUGAUCGGUGCAAAGUAAAAUUAACCCAUAUAUUAAAGAAAAGCAAUACCAGGGUAGUCAUCCGGUAUGUCCUGUCUAAUGUAGAGGUCCACCCUUGAAAUGAUGUAACCUCCUACUGCGCUGACCAGCUCAAAGAUAAUAUACCCUGUUGCAUACCGAAAUUGUUUGGUUCCUCCUAUAAUCGCAAAUUCAUUGGCAUCCACAGAUCGCAGGGCAAUUCCUUUAAAUUCCACAGUGCUACCCAUGUACUUUCCAUUAGUGAACAGAAUCGUUGCAGCAAGCGCCGUGUUGUUGCCAUCAAGGGAUGCUACUACUGGAAUGGCUUGCGAACGACCAACUAGUGCGGAUUCGAUUGAAACGCCUUGUGUGAAGAUAUUAUCAUCGACGAAAACAGUUCCAAAAUUGGCCAAAUCCCCAAGUUACGUUGGGGAGACCUGCAACUGGGAAAAUAGACUGAGCAUCUCCACUUUGAAAUUCGUGGAGGUACAUCGUCAAAUUUGUGAACAGAGUUUUUGAUUGUCCUAAGCUUGCUAGUAAAAGCACGCUGAGAAUUUGGAGGGAUGCUAUAGCUAAACCCUUUGCCAUUGUUUUGUCGCAGAAACAAAGGAGGAGAAGAAAGAAGGAAACAAUUUGGUGUAGCGUGAUUCGUGAUUCGUGAAGUAUAAAGCUGAUGAGGAGGACUGUUUGUGGGACCGCCGUUGAGGGGAGCACAGCGAUAUUCUCUUUCUAGAAAAAAAUUCAAAAAAAAAUGAAAAUUUUUGUUCCUUUACCGCUUUUUUUUUUUUUUUUUUUUGUCAGCAACGAUACAUUUGUAUAACCUAUUCUAUCCUAAUCUAGGGGGAGGGGGAGCCUAAGGAGACUGUAGUAGGAGCUAGUGGGUAUACAGACCCAACUAGACCAAGGGAGUGCUAUGACACAACCCUUAGAUUUUUUUCGCUGCUGGUAAGGUUUGAACCCUCACCAACAGCCCAAGGAGGGACUUAAGUCCCUUCCUGGUGGCCACUGGGCCAAUCCCCAGUGGUUACCACUUUUCAAUUGCAGUGUUAUUGUGUUAAUAUAGCUCAACCUGCCUAAAAUUGUACGGUGUAGCCGCAGAGGAAGUUUACCCCCACCACAUCACCCGUUAAAAACAAUUAAAUUUAUAUGUAUAUAAUUACAUAUGUGAUAUUUAAUUUAAUUAGUUACAAAAUUAUAAUAAUGAUAUUAUUAGUUAUAAAUAUUAUAUAAUGUAUAUUAGUAUUUGUAAUAUAAUUGAUAUUGUCAAAUGCUAAUAAUUAUACAUGUCUACUAAUAGAAAUUAUUAAUUAGUUGUAUCAAUUUUACUAAUACAUUUAUACUAAAUUCAUAAUUACACUUAACACAAUAACACUUCUUUUCUCAAAAAACCACACAACAAUGAUUUAGUGAUUGUAUUUGUAUCAAAAGGGAAAAAUUGACUACUUUAGUUGUGUUUGUUUCAUCAUAUUGGGCUGCAUUUAAAUAACUUUUGUUUGAUUCUUUUUAUGACAUACAAUUGUGAAAUUAAAAUGAAUAAUGAUUUGGUGAUGUGUUGGCAUUUAUGUAUUUGAUCCUUUGUUCAAAUUUGACUACAAUGAAAUUGUAUGACAAAUUUUUAUUCGCCCUGUGGGUGCGUCCAUAGGGUAAGCGGGGCAAGGCGGGGACGGGGCGGGGGAGGAGUCCCCCGUCUAACCCCCACCCCAUUGCCAUUCCUAAUUUCUUUUGCUAUAUAGUGUAAUAAUGGAAACCUUGAAAACUUGAAACACAUUUACCAAAAAAAAAUGAAAUACAUUUAACAGGGCUCCGAAAAAUGACUAACUCCACUUUGCACCUUCAAAUUUGUACCGGUUUAACAAUGUUCCAAACUUAUACUCAGGAGAUAAAUCAAACUUGACUUUUGAUUUUUCUGCAUAUGAAUGGUUUAAAUGAAAUAAGAUUACGUUUCAAAGAGUUUGGUAGAGCAUAAAAAGUUUUAAAACAGAAUUAAACAUCAAUGGGUGGCCACCUAUCAAAGUAGGUUUGUGUAGAAUGGUAUGGUAUACAUAGCAGAUAUGUCAUUCAAAGUUCAGAGUCAAGAAUUUCUUUUGCUAUAUAUAUAGUGAGAUAAUGGAAAGCCUUGAAAUCUUGAAACACUUUUACCUAAAAAACAAAUUACAAAACAAUGAAACACAUUUCACAAGGUUCUGGAAAAGAAUUAACUCCGCUUUGCACCUUCGAACUUCUACCACCUUAAUAAGGUUCCGAACUUACAUUGAGUAGCUAAAUCAAUCUUGACUUUUGAUUUUUCGGCAUAUAAAUGGUUUGAAUGAAAUAUGAUUACAUUUCUAAGAGUUAGGUAGAGCGUAAAAAGUUUUAAGAGAGAGUUCAAUAUAAAUGGGUAGCCACCUAUGAAAAUUGGUUUGUAUAGAGUGGUAUACUCAGCAGAUGUAUCAUUCAAAGUCGAUUGUCGAGAAUUUCAUCUAUUGUAUUGUGGGAUAAUGGAAAGCCUUAAAAACUUGAAUCAAAAUUACCUGAAAAAAAAAAAACAAGGAAACACAUUUAAUAAGGUUCUAGAAAAGGAUUAACUUAACUUUGCAUCACCAAACUUAUCCCAAUUUUUCAUUUUGUACCCUAAAUUUUAAUUUUGAACACUUUACACCCUAAGCUUUAAUUUCACCUUUUAGUCUGGGGCCUUUCAUGUUUGCAAAUUGCAUAAGAGCCACUCAUUUUCUUGUUAGUUACGUGCAGUAAUAGGCUUUUAGCAUCCUCUCAUUAAAAAAUUAAUUUUAAAAAAUGUCCAAGUAUAAGUUUCAAUUUUGUAGUUGAAAUUGAAAAUGUUCACACAUGUUUAGCUAUUUACAUGCCAUAUAGGCUUCCAACCUCCUAACCCUAAAAUUUAGGGGGUUUUGGGGGAAGGGGAGGGUUGGAUGAAGAACAGAGAUUGAAAUAAUAAAUCUUUUGUAGCCUUCAUUAAGACAUUGAUCGAACAAGAGAAUGUCUGAAGAGAAAUUAGAAUGAAACAAAUAUCUUAAUUGCACUAGAGAAGUGCAAUUGAAUAUAGUUCUCAAGAAUGUAAUUUCCGUUGAUUUCUAUGUAGCUGGUUGUUGUAAAAUUUGUCUGAAGAGACAAUCGAAUACCCCCAAAACUCGCCGAAUUCCGAACAAUUCACAUAUCUUUUGGGGUCGUAUUACAAGUCCACGUAUGUUUCUCCCCUAUUUAGAGGAAGAAAUAACAAAAAAAAAAAAUUCAAAAGCUGACUUUCCUGAUAAUAUGUUUUUGCUCCGUCCAAUCCACAUAUGUUUAUAUAUGAUUCAGCAGUAAAAUCGAACAAAAGCUCAAAAGUUGACUUUCCCGUUUUAUAAGGCAUUGACUAACCAUUUUGUGGCCAAACCAUUAUCCAUCUUGACCAUCUAAAUGGUGCAUUGCACUUUAGGCUUAAUGCUCAAUAAAACAGAAGUUCUUAACCAUGUUAAGAAAAAAUAGAUGAAAAGGUCUUUUGUCACCUUUUAUUAGUUGUGGUAGUUAUAUAGGAGAAGGAUUACCAUUUGUUAAACUGAGUAAAAGAUUAUUUUUCGUAAAACAAGUUGGAUGUACAUCAUAUGUAAAACAAAAAUUAUGAAAAAUAAAGACUACCUUACAAUUAAACUUGGUGUACAAUUAUCAGUUCAAGCAAAUUUUAGGUGUAGAUUUUAUCUAAGUUUCAAUACACAUCUUUAUUAGCAAAUGCACAUAUCUUAGUUUAACACAUUCACAAGCUUGCGUAAUUGAAGAACACCAAUAGUAUAAUUCACAAGCUUGCGUAAUGCGAAACCACGUGUAAUUGAAGAACACCAAUAGUGUUUUUAUGAAGAUGGACAUAUUGACGAAACAAGAAGUGCACGAAGAAACGUCAUACAUUGAUCACCGAGUACAUAUAAGUCCACAAUAAAGAUAAAAAUCUAUACUUGGUUUUCUUAAUUAUUAUUUUUCUUUUAUUAGUUAUUUUUUCCCAUCCUCCUAGAUAGAUUUCUUAGUAAGAUGGUCGAGUGAACAAGUAGUACAUAAGAAACAUAGACCACCAAGUACGUAUAUAUAUGGUCUGUAAUUGGCUUUCUUUAUUAUUGGUUUUUCCUUUAUUGUUCAAACUUUCCCUCCUCCUGGGUAUUGGAUUACGGUAAUAUCGCCCCUUAUAACCGUUUUAUUCUGUGCCGGAUUUUGCAGAACUGUCUGGAAAAAUCCAUAUCCCCGAGCAAGCCUAAACGUUUGGGUACCACCAACUAUUGGAAUUUCUCUCGCCGUACCACCAACUUGUAAGUUAUAUCCUGGUCCUUGGAAUUCCAAUGUGCUACCGUUGUAUUGGAAGUUGGAGAAAAGGAGGGAAAAUAUGCCCUGUGAGCUUGAUCCAUCACGGGAUGAAGCUAUGUAGAUGCCUUGGGCCCGACCAAUAGUUGGAGAAUUGUUGCUGAUGCCCUGUGUCAUUUUAGCAUCAUUAACAAUAAUGGUUCCAAAAUUGGAGGGAGUUCUCGGCAUACCAGGGGCGCCGGCAACUGCAACACUGGUGGUAUUUGGUCCGCCCGUAAACACUUGAAGGUACACAGUAAUAUUUGUUUCCUUUCCACGGCAGCAACAGACAGGGCCAAGAAGAUCAGCUUCUGAACAAACAAAUAUUGCUAGUAAUAGCACAAGGGAAAUUUGGAUGGAUGCUAAAGCUGAACCUUUUGCCAUUUUGUAUGUUGAAAGGCUAGCUGAAAAACAAAGAAGGAAGAAACAAAU
rnacentral:lncRNA from 1 species